rnacentral:lncRNA from 1 species
UAGGAAUUUCUCCGUGCAAUCUAUUGAAUGAGACAUUCAAAUACUUGAGAUACAAGAGUUUUUGCAAGGACUUUGGAAUAAUUCCAGAAAAAUUAUUCCUUGAUAGAUCCAAGAAUUCCAAUCCUAUCAGCCCACCAAAUAACUCAGGUAUAGACCCAUACAAUUUGUUACGGGAUAAAGAAAGAUAAGCUAGGUCUUCAAGAGCACUAAUGCUACUCGGAAUUUCACUUGAUAAUUGAUUGUUGGAAAAAUCAAUAUGAAUAACAACUUUCCACUUUCCAAUGUCGAUUUGGGAGAGCCCCACUAAGAAAAUUGGAAGACAAGUCUAGUUCCAAGAUAACUAUAAGCCUUGUGAAGGUGGAAGGUAUCGAGUUUGUAAACUUAUUGGAGCCCAAAUAUAGACCUCUAAGAGAAACGAGAUCACCCAAGCAUGCUGGUAUUGGUCCAACCAAUCUGUUCUCUGUGAGAUCCAAGAAACCCACACUCUUCAGACGGCAUAAGUCAGAUGGAAUAAAUCCUUCUAACUUAUUGCCUUCAAGAGAAAGACCUUGUAACUUUUCUAAUCUUCCUAUUGUGGUGGGAAUAGAUCCAAUCAGUUGAUUGUUACCUAUGGACAAGGUGAUCAAGUUGCUUAGGUUGCUAAUCUCUUCCGGAAUGUUGCCUCCAAUGUUGCAGCCCCUAGAAUAGAAAUAUUGUAGCGCAAUAGAAAGAUUUCCUAUAGAAAUAGGAAGUUCAGCAUCGAUCAAUGGAUUAUAACUAAAAUCCAAGACUCUCAAGUCUUUGCAAUAUGCUACAGAUGAGAGAAAGCUCAAUUUUGGGGAUGAAAGUGUGCUAGCUAAAUUAUUAGAAUGUAGUUUGAGGCAUUCUAGAUCUCUUAGAUUGCCGAGAUCAACAGGAAUAUAUCCAGAAAAUGAAUUCACUGACAAGUCAAGCGUUGUUAGCUUAGAGGCAUUGGAGAUGGAGGUAGGUAUUGUUCCGUUCAACUCAUUUAUAUCAAGUAGAAGCCGUUCAAGCUUUGGAAGCCAUAGUCCUGUGCUCCAUGGAAGACAACCUGAGAGAUGGUUUGAAUUGAGGUCAAUGAGCGUCACAGUUGAGCUAUUAAAGAUACCAGGAGGGAUAUGUCCGGAGAUACUGUUCAAUCCCAAAUUCAAAAGUACCAAAUUUGGUAGGUUGCCUAUCUCAAGUGGUAUUUUACGUGCCAUAAAAUCACAAGAGUCAUUUGGAUUUGUUCCAAUGAUCCAGAAGCAAAUAACAAAAUUAAUCAUCAAAGUUUUACACACAUUUCUAUUUUUAUAUUUUAUAUUGUAAAUAUAUAUAACAAAGAGUGAAACAGUUGGGAUUUGUAAAUAAUAGUUUUCAAAUAUUUAUAACAUUUGCAACUAUGCAGAAACUCAACAUACAUAAGAAUAAAUGUAACAUAUUACCUGUCAAGUUAUUUUCGCCAAAAGCAAGUUCUUCCAAAAGUGUUAGGUUGCCAAUUUGUUGUGGAAUGUCACCUGCGUAAUGUAAUUGAUCCAUUAAUUAUUUUUAAAUUUAGCAACAAAUAUAAGGUCCAUUUAUUUGUCAAAUGAAACUAUCAAAAUUAUCAAACAAAGUUUAGAAUUUAGAUAAUACAAAGCAAUGCAAUCUUUCACUUUGUGAAUAAUUUAUUAUUUUCUGUUGUUAAAUUUAUAUAAUAUAAUGAAAAUAUAUUAGAAAAAGUUGGAAAAAAAAAGAACAUAGAUAAGUAGAUAGUAUAUUUGAAUUUUUGAUUGAAUAAUUCAUGAACAGAAUAGAAAUAAAAUUCUUGAUUAUUUAAAAAAGAAAUUAAAAAGGUGAAAAUGAACGGUAAUAAUUAAUUUAAAUAAAAAUAAUUAUUUAAAUAAAGAGUGCGACACUAUGAUCAAAAAGUAGAAAGAUAUAGAAAAGAAAGAUGUGGAAAAUUCACAUGAUAUCAUAAGCCGAAAAACAGGUAAAACAAUUAAUUUUCUUUUACCUUUAAGGUUGUUCCGACCAAGAUAGAGAAUUUUAAGCAUAGCCAAAUUCCCAAUUUCUUUUAGUAUAGUUCCCUCCAAAUCAUUGUAAGAUAAGGAUAAUAUUUCCAACUUUUGACAUUUGAAAGACAUGUUGAGCGGGAUGGAACCAAUUAGCUGGUUGUCGCUAAGAGCAAUCCGUUGCAAUGAAGAUAUGCUGAAGACCGAGGAAGGUAUGGAGCCUGAAAGCUGAUUGCCGCCCAAAUAUAAAAAUCUCAAGCUAGAAAGAUUUCCGAUUUCCACAGGGAUACGUCCUUGCAGAUUGUUGUUAUACAAGCUCAAUAACUCUAGUUUUGACAAAGAGCACAAAGAAGAUGAGAUAUCUCCCACGAAGUUAUUACCGGCCAAACUCAAGUUUUGAAGUUUAGAGAAGAAACCAAACCAAGAUGGGAUUUCUCCGUUGAAAUUGUUGUUUCUCAACAGUAGAGAUUUCAACCGGCACAAAUUAGCCAACUCGAUGGGCAACGAACCAUGAAAACUGUUGUUUCCAAUGCCAAGGAAAGCAACGAAAGACAGAUUUCCCAUGUCUGGUGGUAUGGUUCCAUAGAGAUUCAUGCCAAAUAGAUCCAAAGCAAUGACUCUGUGGUGUCGAGAUCCACAAGUGACACCAACCCAAUUGCAAAUAGUGGUAGCAGUUGACCAGUUGGUGGCUAGAAGAUCACUGUUGACACGGGCUUUCAGUGCAAGAAGAGCCAAUCGGUCUGUACUGAUGUUGGUUGUUGAUUUCAUAGAGAAUGAAACCCCAAAAUUAGGCAGCAACACCACCACCAUAAGAGCCAGAAUGAACUUAGUGUUUCCCAUGAAGUUAUGUCGAAGUGGAACUUGUGAAAGGAAAAUUUCUGAAUUAUAAAUGGGAAAGAUGAUGUUUCUUUUCCAAUAUAUAGAAAAUGCCAAAAUUGUGAUGGGACCGAUUUCCACACGCUUUCCCCGCCCUUCCACAGUGAGAAAAUUUACCGCUUUGGCAUAUUGGAAAAAAUUCUUAAAAUGCAACAUUAUAAUUUCUUAUUCAUUUUUAUUGACAUGUUUAAAGGCCAAAAAAAAAAAAUUUAUUUAUAAAGUUUAUUAGAGCAUCAAUUUAUUUUUUUUUAUAGAUGUGUUACACGAUUACAUAAGGAGAAGUAACUCGCUUUCAUCCCAAAAAUCUCAUUCUCCUCUCAAAUCAUGAUUGAAAUCUGAAAUUUCAAGUUAAAAUUUUAAAAUUAAAUUAUCGAGUUAUUUGUUCAAUUACUAAAAUAAACAAUUAUGAUUAAGGAAAAUAUAUGUAGAUACGUUAUAAAAUUUAUUCUGACUGCAAAAAUGAACAUCGAAACAGAUAUAACCAUUAAAAUAUUAGCUUCACAGAAUAGCAUAUGAAAAUGUGAAUUAUAGACAAAUCACUUUCUGUCAAGCUCCAUUAAUUCUAACGAAGAUUUUUUUGGUGGCUAUAAUUAAUUAAAUCAAUUUCUGUCAAGGCCCAUUAAUUCUAACAAAGAAUUUUUUGGUGGUUAUAAUUAAUUAAGUCUUCUCAAACGCAGACGUGGUUCGAAUACUUCAACCCAAUCAUGCAUGACGAACUCAUUUGUCAUUAAGGUUGAAAAUUUCAAGCUACUAGUUUUUCUUGCAAUGCGCUUUGCAGGUCCAUGUAUCUAUUUAUUAUUUACUCCACCGAUAAGUCUACAUUAUCUUUGUUUUUUAUUUAUUUGAAAAUUUAAAUUUAACUUUUUAAAUAAAAAUGUAUAUAUGUUUAUUAUUGAAUCAAAUAUUAGGGUCUAUUUAGUAAAAUUUUUUCAGUGUAAAAUAUUUGACAAGAAAAAUUAAUAUUUUCUAUUAUUUAAAUAAACAGUUGAAAAUAUUUAAAUUUAUUUGGACCAUCUUGUAAAAAAUAUUUUCCACAUCAUUGGUGGAGUUAUCUUGUGUUAAAUGAUAAAUAGGAGUUGAUGAUGUCAUUUGGUUUUCACUAAUUUGAGAUCAAAAUUUAUAAUAAAAAUGAAAGUGGGCAAAAUCAAUAAUGAUGUUUGCCAAAAUAUUUAACCACACAUCUAUAAUAAAAGUAAGCUCUAAUUUUCAAGCAAUUUAAUUUCCUUCUCAUUGCUUUUUACCAUAACACUUCAAAAAUAUCAAUAUUCAUCAAUUGUGUAUGACAUCCAAAACCUAUACUUAUAAAUUUGUAUUCAUUAAUUUACGAUCAUCGAAAUAUUUUUUAUUAUAAUUAUUAGUAAGAUUUAUUCAAUUUGUAAAUAAAAAUUUUAUUACAUUAAGUGAUUUCAUUAAAAAUAUAUAUAUUUAAAAUUUUAAUAGUAUUGAACAAUUUAAAUAUUUAUAUUUAAAAUUAAAUUUUUUAAGGUAAAUAUCCUUAGGGGCAUAAGACAUUUUAUGUUGCCAACAGGUGUUUUUCCCGUUGACCUGUAAAAUGUUUUACUUUUGAAAUAAAUUUUUAAUUUUUUAAAUAAGUCAUGAGAAUGUUUUCUAAAAAAUAUUUUAUGUCAAAAUAAAUAGACCCUUAAAUACAUUUUUACUUUCUGUUUGAACAACAAACUCUCUACUAUCUUUCUUUUUAGUAUGGGAUUCAAUUCCCACUUCCAAUUUGAAAAAAUUGUGGGAAAAAUCACAUCUUUCAGUUUCUUUCACAAAUGUUAAUGUGGUCAAAUGUCUAAGAUAUGGAGUUAACCAUAAAAAAAAAAAAAGAAGAAAAGACCCAAGAUAAGGGGCAGCCAAUUUUCAAUUGAGAUGGAGGAAAUUGAAGACCACUCAAUUAGUGCAAGAUUCAAUGAAUGAUUAUCACUUAUAGAUGGAGUUUUUGGAAGCAAUGCUUUUGGCUAAGCUUCAUUUUGUCAACAAAAUCCAGAUAAGUGCUUCUUUAGGGAUCAAAUUUUUGAGCAAAGUUUAAACAUUUAAGAAAGUGAGUUAAUUAAGUGUGGUAAGACAAUACAAUCUGUUUCUGACAUCUUAAUUCUUUACAUAAAAGAAGCUUUAAAAUUAGUUCAAUGCUCACUUUUCAAUUAGGAAAAACCGGAAUAAGAUACAGGAUCAAUACUGUAGAAAUAUUUGACUCCUUUUUUAAUUAAAAGUUAAAAACAAUAAUUUCUGAGUCGAUUAUUAGUUGUCAUUUUAAUGCUGAAUUAGAAAACCAAUGAAGUUUUCUAACCCAAACAAUACUCUAUAAUGGUACAUAUGACUUGAAGGCAACAUUUUUCCUGUAUUUACAACUUGUAACUUAGAAAGAUUGUGGUUGACUUAAGACUUAUAUGAUCACAAUAUUCUACCACCUAGCUCAAAAAGCAAGUUCAAGUUGCACUCUUGUCAAUUCCAUUAUUUUCAAUAAGACAUUCAUAGCUAGAAAUCAACCAAAUAUUGACAAAAGGAGAAAAUGUAAACCAUUUUACAACAGCAAAAGACUACUGAAGAGACAUGAGAUGUCUCUUUGACAUUUCAACUGAUUUAUCACAAAGCCACCUGCCACCUUGACUAAUGUCUCUUUUGAGAAUUAACAUGGAAAGAUGGUAAGGGUAUAUGAUCUUUGUGUAGCAUCCUCCCACUACUCGUGUUUUUUUCUUUUCCAGUCAGAGUAGGAAAUGAUGGAAUCCUAUCCAGAAGAAAGUUGUUGCCUCAUCCUAAUCACUCUCAAAUAGAAAUUAAAUGCAUAUUUUCAACAAUGAUUUACUUCAAUUAAACGUUAUACAUUUAACUUGAUUCUUAUGAAAAAAGAAAAGCAUGCUCUUUGAGGUCCAGGUUUUGAAUGUCUCUCUUUUUCCUUGAACUUCCUCGUAUAAAUGAAAUGUCCCAAAAUGAAACACGUCACAUGUCCUGCCCUCAUGAAUUCAUCACUUGGUUUUAAUUUGAUUUGUUGCUUCUUAAAGUCAAGGUACACUACUUCCAACAACCAAUCAUAAUUUUUAGUAAUUACAGAAUACUUCUCCCGAUCAGGCACGACGAAGACCGCAUUGCGUUGGCUCUUCAUGGUAAUGACCCUUGAAUUUAAUCGAUUUCCAUUAAGGUUAAUAUUCUUCAAUUUGUCAAUUGGUAUGCCCAAACUUCAAAAUUAUGGUUGAUUAAGAUCUAUUCUACAUUGAGUUUAGUAGUUGCAAGAAAUUCUUUCGAAAUAAACUUCCUUUGUGUUAAUCAAAUCCAGGUACGUGCUUCAUUCGGAGAUCAAAUCUUGAAAUUUGCCUCCAAUCUCGAUAAAUUGAGCAUCUCAUCUCAGUGAAACUUAUUUUGAGAUUCAGGUGUUAUAUAAGACAAUACAAUCCAUUUCUAACUUCUUUAUUCAUAAUAGCACCUUCAAAAUCUAGUGCUCACUUUUCAACAAGAAAUUAAUACACUGCAUUACUCAAUUUCCAAUUAAAAUUAAUUAGAAAAGGGGAAAAAAUCUUCUGAUUUGGUUAUUAAUUGUCGUUUAAUUAUUUUCCACACUGAAAUAUAAAACCACAAAACUUUUCUAACUCCAACAGUACGCUAUAAUUAACCAUGUAAGACUUAGAGGAAAAUUUUCCUGUAUUAUUGACUACUUAAAAUGGAAAUAUUUUGAUUGACUUAUGACUUAUAUCAUCAAAUUCUGCCAUCAAGAAAGCGAGUCAAGCUACAGUCUUAUCAAUUUAAUUGUCUUCAAUAGAGCACUUAUGACUUAUAUCCUCAAAUUCUACCACCUAGAAAACAAGUUAAGCUACCCUCUUGUCAAUUCAAUUGUUUUCAAUAAGACAUUUCGGCUUUAGAAAUCAACCAUUACUGAUAAGAAAAAAUGUAACCAUUGUAAUACAGCGAAAACGACUACUGAGGAAAUGCUAUUAAUAUUUAUCAACACACCCUCUAAUUUCUCAGAAUCCACAUUAUUCCAGCUUGACUAAUUAAUGACUUUUUUGACAACAAUUAACAUGGAAGGAAGUUAAGGGUUAUCACUCUGGUACUCUUUUCCUGAAGAAAUUUAAUACAUAUCAUUCUCUUUCUAUAUUCUAAAUCAAAGACAUAAUAGAUAGGUCUGUACUUACUUCAGCAUAUAUCAAGUAGAGAAUCAAGAUAUAUACCGAAAGAAAAAAAAUAAAUUGUUUAUAAAUCCACUCGAGUUGAAAUUUAUGUUCUGCAAUUAUCUAAACAUGCAUUUGAAAACUUAAAUUGGAACUAAACUCAUGAAAAAUAACUUUCAUAUUUAGACUUCACAGCUAGUACAAAUUGUGAACUCAUGACAAAUGAUUUCCACAGUUAGAUGAAAGUCAUUUUUCAUGGCUUCUCAAUUUAUUUAUUUAUUUGAUGCUACAGCCAACUUCAAAGAUACGAGGAAUAAUUCAAUUUUAUUGGCCGAAGUCUAGGAAAAGACAAAGGGAUUUUUGGACUCACAAGAGGGGCCUUGGUGAGCAAUUACAUAGGCAAGAAUGACAAGAAAAGCCUCUCCUCUGAGUAUUGAUAAAAUAAUAUAUUUCUCUUUUUUUUUUCAUAUAAUUUUGAUUACUGUCAGUAUGAGUUGUAAUUAUUAAUUUUUAAGAAUAUUUUAGGCAAAAUAUUUCCUUAUUUUCUUUUUACUUUGCUUGUACUCCAAGGAAGUCUAGGGUUAAAAUACUUCCUUAUUUACUAUUUUCUUUACUUGCACACCAAGUAGGUUUAGAUUUAGUUAGCUAUUAUAAUUAUUUUACUUGUAAACCAAGUAGGUUUAGAUUUAGUUGGCUAUUAUAAUUAUUUUACUUACACACCAAGUAGGUUUAGGUUUAGUUAGCUAUUAUAAAUAGCCCUUAUGUAAUUCUUUAUUUUUUGAUCAAGCAGUUUAAUUCUUUACUUAGAUCUUGAAUAUUUUCUACAUGGUAUCAGAGUAGUUCUAAUCUGAAAAGAACUCUCUAACACAAAUCUCGUAUUAAAAAAUCACCAUCACAUUUGUUUUUUUUUUCUAUUUAUCUGAAACUACAUGGCAGAAACUAAUUCUAUUGUUUUAACCGAACCAAGCAAUUCCAUGGUUCCAACUGUACCCGGUAACCCAACACCACUAAUUAUUGUCCACCAAGACAAUUCUGUGUUUCCUACCGGUAUUACAUUGGAUGAGACAAAUUACUCAUUAUGGUCUCAACUCAUGGAGAUGCGUAUUGGCACUUGCAACAAAGUUAGAAAUCUCACCGAAGAAGCAAAAAAACCCUACACCUGGAGAUUCGAAUCUUGGAACAUGGAUUACUGAAGAUCACAAAGUGAAAAGCUAGCUUAUUGAUUCAAUGAGUCCAUCACUGAUAUAACAAUUUAUUCGUCUUCCCACAGCCAAGGAGAUAUGGGAAGCUGUAUCAAAAACCUUCUAUGAUGGAUCGGAUGAGACUUGUAUUUUUGAAUUGAACCAAAGAUCUUUCUCUACUGAACAAAAUGGUCGACCAUUAUCAAUAUGCUAUUAUGAACUUGUGGCUAUUUUUCAGGAAAUUGAUCACAGGACUAUGUUGUAGGAAGGAAUAGUUGAAGGUGUAUUCCAAUUGUAUUCCACGAUGGCUAGGCUUUGAGUCCAUAUUUUUCUAAGUGGACUUGACUUUGAAUUUGAUCAGCUUUGUGGAGAAAUCUUACGAAAAGAUCCAAAACUUGAUUUGGAAAGCACGUAUGCAUAUGUCAGGAGAGAAUAUCAACAAAGACAAACAAUGGGAGGCUCUCAUCUGAAUCUUGAGAGCAUAGCUAUGCUAGCUAACCGAACUCGGCAAGGACCAUCAUCUAGCUCCUUAAAAAAUUAAACCAAUCAAUCAAUUAGAAAAUUUGAUAUUCUGGUAUGUACUCAUGAUGGUGAAAUAGGUCAUUCGAAAUAGCGAUGUUAUGAAAUCAUUGGCUAUCUUGAGUGGUGGGACUUCAUAAAGAAACCUUGAAAGAAGAUUGCAGGGAAAGCCAUGGUGACAUCCACGGAAGAAAAACAAUCGAAGCCUACGGCAAACAUUGCCUACUCAGGUAUGGGUGGUAAGGCAUUUGUAUUCUCUACAACUUCUAAGAAUAAUACUUGAAUUAUUGAUACAGGUGUAUUUGACCAUAUGACUAAGGACUUUAGUCAGUUACAAUCAGUCCUCCCUUCUUCUUAAUCUGUUAUCUCCAUAGCUAAUGGUAGUAGAGACAUAGCCUCUUUAUGGGAUGGGGCGGCCAUAGCCCCCCCAAAAUUGUAAAAAUAUUUUACAUAUUAUAUAAUUUUUUUUUAUAAAUUUUCUUAAUGGCACCCCUAAAAUAAUUUUUAUUUAAUAAUUAAUACAAAUAAAGAAUAACAAAAUACUUUCAUAUGUUUGACUCAAUUUUAAAGUUUUUUUUAUUUUUUUUAAUUUAUAUUAUUAUAUAUAUUUAUUUAGUUAUUUGUUUCUAUUCUAUUUACUCAUAUAUUUUAAAUCUCUACAGAUUUUCUUUUACAAAUUUUUACGAAUCAUCAGUCAUAUUCUUUUUCUUUCUUUUUUAUUAUGUUAUAUGUGAAUUCUAUCUUCUACUUGUCAUGUUCUUCUUUUCUCUGUUAUGUGGAUUUUAUUUUCUAUAAUUUUAAUCUUUAAAAAUAAAUAAAUUAUUAUGUAAUUCUCAAAAAUAUGUUGCACUGUUGCAUUGUUGUUCAGAAUUUCAUCAAUAUAUAAUUUUUUAUUCAAAAUAAUCAAUGCAUUCUAGCAUGUAUGUUGCAAACUUUAAGUAACAAGGAUAUACCUACAAAUUGAUAGAAUGAAAUAAUUAUAUUUUUUUCAAUACAAUUUUAUUUAUUAUAUUUAUUUUUAAUGGCUUUCAAAAUAAUUUUUUAUUUAAUAAUUAGUUUUAUUCUUCAAACUGUUUGAUAAAAUUAGAGUCAUUAUGGUUAGCAUAUUGCUAUUUAAGCCCAACAAAUGAAUUCUAAACUAAUAUGUUAAGCUUACCAAAUUUAAAAAAAAAUAAAAAAAUAAAAGUGAGUCUGCUAAUUCAAACCUAUUAAGUUUUCAUAUAAAUUUAAACCUAUCUUAGCAUAUUAUAUCUUAACAGUCCAACCUAAUGGCCUAUAAUAACAUAUUAUAUCUCAAUAGCUCAAUCCAGUAACCCAAUAUGUUAAUUAGAAAUUUAAAAAGCAAAUAGAAAAUAAGAAGAGAGUUAGGGCAUAUAAAGUAAAGAGGCAAUUCAUUUGAGUUUGAAAAAUUAUUUUCUCUCUCCACUCUUGCGUGCAAAGAGUGAGAGAGACUCCUUUUAUAGUUUUAUUCAAUCAUAUAUAUAAAUGACACCAUCAUUAUUGUUAAUGUGUAUUUUUUUGUAUGUUCAAUGUCUUUUGAAUAUUAUUUAAUUUUUUAGAUAAGUGAUAAUUGAAUUAUAUAUAAAGUUAUCUUUAACUAUUUAAUGUCCAUUUCUGUUUAGCCCCCUUUUGAAAAUGUUCUAGCUCCGCCCCUGAAUGGUAGUGCAUGUCCUAUUAUCGGAAAAUGGAUCUGUCAUAUUAUCCAAUACUCUUACAUUGGAUACAGUUCUUGUUAUUCCAUCCCUUGAAUGUAAUCUUUUGUCUGUUAGCCAAAUUACCUCUGCUCUUGAUUGCACUGUAACCUUGUGGCCCUUAUUUUACAUUUUUCAAGACAUUCUGACUUAGAGGGUUCUUGGUUAUGGUGUUAGGCGGACAAACUUUACUAUUUGGAGUUAAUAGAACGUGGGAGACCAAAAUUCAGCAAGGCGAAUCUAACUAGUAGUAAAGACAAGGCUCGAACGACUAUAUGGUUAUGGCACUGAAGACUGGGAUAUCUUUCUUUCGGUUAUCUUAGGAAGUUACAACCACAUCUCUUUUCAAGUCUAAAUAAUUUGAAUUUUCAUUGUGAUAUUUGAGAACUAGAUAAGAGCCAUCGUAUUUCUUAUCCACCAAGUUUGAAUAAAAGUUCAAAACCUUUUGCGGUUAUUCACUCUGAUGUUUAGGGUCCUACAAAAAUUUCUUCUAUCUCUAAAGCUCGUUACUUUGUUACAUUUAUUGAUGAAUGUACUAGAAUGACUUGGGCAUCUCUACUUCAAAAUAAGAGUGAUGUAUGCACAACAUUUUAGAAAUUUUAUACUAUGGUGGGCACUCAGUACCGAAAGCAAAUUCGUGCUUUACAAACAGACAAUGGUAUUGAGUAAGAUAGGUCUCUUAACAAUUUUUUGAGCCAUCAUGGGAUUCGUUAUCAAACUUUUUGUACCUAUAAUCUGUAGCAAAAUGGAUUGGCAAAGAGGAAGAAUAGACAAAUAUUGGAAGUGGUUCAUGCUUCUUUUUUUGGCAUGAAUCUGCUUCAGUUUUAUUGGGGAAGAGUUGUAAAAUCCAUUACCUACCUUAUUAACCGAAUACUUUCUCGAGUAAUAGACUUUCAAACCCCCUACAAAAAAUGUGAUCUUUACUUUCAGUUCCUCAUCUCCCUAAUCUUGAACCAUGAGUUUUUGGUUGCACUGCAUAUGUUCACAUUCCUAAAAGCUUGCAAAACAAACUUGAUCCAUGUGCAAAACAAUGUGUCUUUGUUGGCUAUUCUCAUUUUUAGAAAGGGUAUAGGUGUUAUGACCUUCAAACUCAUAAAUUACAUGUAACCUUAGAUAUUUCUUUUCAUGAAUUAGAGCUUUAUUAUUUAGGGGGAGUCUCUAGACAUUCUCUUCAGGGGGAGAGCUCUAGUGAAGAGAAUGUGUUACAACGAGAUGGUAGACGAAAGGAGUUUAUGGAGUUAGAGGAAGUGACUGAAUGCUUUGGGAAAAGUGUUCAACAAUGUUGUGAUGGUAUUCCUAAAAUUGAGAUGAGUUAGUUCUUCCUACAAGUAAAUCAAGUGCUUCCAUUACAAUUACAGAGUCUUCAAAAUUACCCAUGCCUACGCCUACACUAUUAACUGAAGAAUCAACCCAGAACGUUCUCCCUUAGGUAAUCCCAAAUCCAAUAUUGGAUGAGGUAAUCUCAAAUCCCAUAUUUGAUGAAUCCUAUGAAAUCCCGAAUCCCAUACUAGAUGAGUCCCAUGAAACACAUGUUCCUAUAGAAAAGGAUAGUUCCUAAAUAUUCACAAAGAUCGAAUAAGGGCGUCUCAAAGAAAUAAUAUGAACUUGAUCCUAAAGCCGAGGUCAAAUACCCAGUUAAUAACUAUGUGUCCUCCCAUAGAUUGUUUGAAUUGUAUGCACUCACUAUUAUCAAUUAUCCACUGUAUCUAUUCCUAGUAGUUUGCAGGAUGCAUUAAAAGAUCUUAAAUGGAUCAAGGCGAUGAACGAAGAAAUGGAGGCUUUGCAAAAGAAUGCUACUUGGGAACUAGUUCCCUUACCUAAAGGAAAGAAGACGAUUGGAUAUAGAUGGGUAUUUACAGUGAACCUCAAAGCAGAUUGCCGCAUUGAUAAAUAUAAAGCAAGGUUAGUUACAAAGGGGUAUACACAGAGGUAUAGGGUGGAUUAUGAAGAGACUUUUGCAUUAGUAGCCAAGAUCAAUACAAUUCGCAUUCUUAUAUCUAUAACAGCAAAUUGAGAUUGGCCUUUACAGUAAUUUGAUCUUAAAAAUGCUUUCCUCAAUGAAGACUUAGAGGAAGAAGUCUACAUGGAGUUACCACCAAGAAUUAAACACAGUUCUUUGUGUAGAAAGAACGUUUGUAAACUGAAGAAGUCACUAUAUGGGCUGAAACAGUCACCUAGAGCUUGGGUUAGGAGGUUUUCUUCUAUAAUGAAAGCAUUUGGUUAUAAGCAAAGUAACUUAGACCAUACUUUGUUUAUAAAACACAAAGAGGGGAAGGUAACAACUUUAAUCGUGUAUGUUGAUGAUAUGGUCUUGACGGGAGAUGGCCCAUACUAAAUGAAAGCAUUACAGGAAUAUUUGGCUGCUAAAUUUGAAAUGAAGGAUUUGGGGAAACUUAAAUAUCUCUUAGGGAUUAAGGUUGCAAGAUCGAAACAUGGGGUUUUCUUUUUGCAACAAAAAUAUGUGCUAGGUCUCUUAAUCGAGACCAAAAUGCUUGCUUGCAAACCAACAAACACGCCUAUAGAGAUGAAUCAUAAGUUUGGAAUUUUUACAAAUAAAGUUCCAACAGAUAAGGGUCGUUAUCAGCAAUUGGUUGGAAGAUUAAUUUAUUUAUCACACACAAGACUGGAUAUAGCUUAUGUUGUAAGUGUCGUAAGUCAGUUUAUGCAUGCAACAAUCUGUCGUGACGUGCGGGUCCGGGAACCCGUCCGUCAGACGCGGGGCGAAAAUUAAAAAUCUCAAAAGUGUGGGAGUCGCCACCAUCUUUUUUAUCUAGGUGUGUUUGGUCACCUAUUAACCCGAUUCUAAUCGACGAAGUCCUAAAUUAAUUUUAGGUCCGUCAAAAGAACGAGAACUGGUCCACGUUUUUAGAGAUUGGUUCGGGAGUGCGGUUACGCAAGGAGAAGGGUUAGCACCUCCGUGACGCCCGUUCUACGAACGGUACCAUUUAAUCUUAAGUUAUCUUAAUAUAGCCUUUUCUUAGUUUAAUCCCUAUUUUAUUAAAAAAAAAAAAUUUUUUUUAAUUGGAUUGUUAGACUGAGUUUUUCACUUGGUCUCACGUAUGCAUAUGAUGCAAGCAUAGAAUGAUGUCAUGACUUGUUUAUUUUAAAUGAUGGAGUCGGUAAUCUUUUUUUGAAAAAUUAUUCGAAGAUCAUUCCAACGCUUUGGUGAAGUCUCGCAAUUCUCCUCACCUAGAGAUAUCCCCGGAAGAAUUCGUCUCUACAAGCUCCUCGGGAAAAUCCCAUCAUCGGGAUUCCCGCGCCAUUUGCAAAAUAAGAGUGGCAUGCAAUGACAGUAUAAAANNNNNNNNNNNNNNNNNNNNNNNNNNNNNNNNNNNNNNNNNNNNNNNNNNNNNNNNNNNNNNNNNNNNNNNNNNNNNNNNNNNNNNNNNNNNNNNNNNNNNNNNNNNNNNNNNNNNNNNNNNNNNNNNNNNNNNNNNNNNNNNNNNNNNNNNNNNNNNNNNNNNNNNNNNNNNNNNNNNNNNNNNNNNNNNNNNNNNNNNNNNNNNNNNNNNNNNNNNNNNNNNNNNNNNNNNNNNNNNNNNNNNNNNNNNNNNNNNNNNNNNNNNNNNNNNNNNNNNNNNNNNNNNNNNNNNNNNNNNNNNNNNNNNNNNNNNNNNNNNNNNNNNNNNNNNNNNNNNNNNNNNNNNNNNNNNNNNNNNNNNNNNNNNNNNNNNNNNNNNNNNNNNNNNNNNNNNNNNNNNNNNNNNNNNNNNNNNNNNNNNNNNNNNNNNNNNNNNNNNNNNNNNNNNNNNNNNNNNNNNNNNNNNNNNNNNNNNNNNNNNNNNNNNNNNNNNNNNNNNNNNNNNNNNNNNNNNNNNNNNNNNNNNNNNNNNNNNNNNNNNNNNNNNNNNNNNNNNNNNNNNNNNNNNNNNNNNNNNNNNNNNNNNNNNNNNNNNNNNNNNNNNNNNNNNNNNNNNNNNNNNNNNNNNNNNNNNNNNNNNNNNNNNNNNNNNNNNNNNNNNNNNNNNNNNNNNNNNNNNNNNNNNNNNNNNNNNNNNNNNNNNNNNNNNNNNNNNNNNNNNNNNNNNNNNNNNNNNNNNNNNNNNNNNNNNNNNNNNNNNNNNNNNNNNNNNNNNNNNNNNNNNNNNNNNNNNNNNNNNNNNNNNNNNNNNNNNNNNNNNNNNNNNNNNNNNNNNNNNNNNNNNNNNNNNNNNNNNNNNNNNNNNNNNNNNNNNNNNNNNNNNNNNNNNNNNNNNNNNNNNNNNNNNNNNNNNNNNNNNNNNNNNNNNNNNNNNNNNNNNNNNNNNNNNNNNNNNNNNNNNNNNNNNNNNNNNNNNNNNNNNNNNNNNNNNNNNNNNNNNNNNNNNNNNNNNNNNNNNNNNNNNNNNNNNNNNNNNNNNNNNNNNNNNNNNNNNNNNNNNNNNNNNNNNNNNNNNNNNNNNNNNNNNNNNNNNNNNNNNNNNNNNNNNNNNNNNNNNNNNNNNNNNNNNNNNNNNNNNNNNNNNNNNNNNNNNNNNNNNNNNNNNNNNNNNNNNNNNNNNNNNNNNNNNNNNNNNNNNNNNNNNNNNNUCCAAUUUUUUGGACAACCCGGCGAGGGGGUUCUGGCACCCCUGGAGUUGGUGGCCAGAACCCCCCAUCCCGCGUAGUGGGUGGGGGAUGGGACGGCGUACGCCCAGCCAUCCCGAUUUUUUUUUUUUUUUUUUUAUUUUUUUUAUUUUAUUUAAUUUAUAUUUAUAUUUAUAUUUAUUUAUUUUUUAAUUUAUGUGUUUACACAAUCGAAGAACAUACGAAUGUAGUAUAUCGAAUCUUAAGAUACUUGAAGAGUGUUUUGAGCAAAGAUUUGUUGUUCUCGAAAAAUGGUGUCUCUGACAUUUAAGGAUUUACAGAUUUUGACUGAGCAGGUGAUCAAACAUCCAGAAGAUCCACAUCUGAUUAUUUUACUUUCGUGGAAGGUAAUCUUGUUACUUGGAAAAGCAAAAAGCAGAAAAUUGUGGCAAGAGCAAGUGUAGAAGCUGAAUUUUGAGGUAUGGCUCAUGGUUUAUGUGAAUUAUUGUGGAUUAGGAGUACUCUCAAAGAGUUGGGAAUUGAAUAUGCAAAACCUAUGAAUCUUUAUUGUGAUAAUAAGGCAGCCAUUGAAAUUGCACAAACUCCUAUACAACAUGAUCGCACCAAGCAUGUUGAAAUUGAUCGACAUUUCAUCAAAGAGAACCUUGAUCAAAAAAUUAUACAAUUUUCAUUUGUCCAAUCUGAAGGUCAAUUAGCUAAUAUUCUCACGAAAGCAGUUUCAGGGAACGUGUUCCAUGAUGUAAUUGACAAGUUGGCCAUGAUUGAUAUCUAUGCUCCAACUUGAAGGGGAGUGUCAACAUGAGUUGUAAUUAUUAAUUUUUAAGAAUAUUUUAGGGAGAAUAUUUUCCUAUUUUCUUUUUACUUUGCUUAUACUCCAAGGAAGUCUAGGGUUAGAAUACUUCUUUAUUUACUAUUUUCUUUACUUGCACACCAAGUAGGUUUAGAUUUAGUUGGCUAUUAUAAUUAAUUUACUUGCACACUAAGGAGGUUUAGGUUUAGUUAGUUAUUAUAAAUAGCCCUUUAUGCAAUUCUUUAUUUUUUGAUCAAGCAAUUUAAUUCUUUACUUAGAUCUUGAAUAUUUUCUACAAUUACAUGAUAGUUGUUUUAUAGCAUGAGUAGCUGGCUAUAUUUGGAAGGAAGUCAACAAUGGCUAUAAACAUGAUUUUAGACUCGGAUCGUUGAUUGUAUGAUCCUAGUAAUUCCUCCAUGAAAUCUUCUAUUUACAGCUCAUGUUAAUACUCCCUUAAGUUGGUGCAUAGAUGUCUCUAAUGCCGAACUUGUUAAGUGUGUUAUGGAACACUUUACUUGGAACUGCUUUAGUGAAGAUGUUUGCCAACUAUUCUUCUAACCUCAAAAAUGGGAAACAUAUUAUUGUACUUCAAGUUUUUCGUUGAUAGAGUGUCGAUCUACUUCAACGUGCUUUGUUCAAUCAUGUUGAACUGGAAUUUGAACAAUCUUUAUAGCUGAUUUGUUGUCACAAAACAUGUUCAUUGCUGAGUUUGAUGAGUGAUCGAUCUAUGACAAUAGUUCCUUUAGCCAAAGUAGUUCACAGAGUUCCUUAGCCAUACUUAUACACUCAGCCUCUGCACUAGAUAAAGCAACCACCUUCUGCUUCUUGCUCCUCCAAGUGACUAAAUUACCCCUAACAAAUGUGAAGUAUCUUGAUGAAGAUUUCUUGUCCCUGAUGCUCCCAACCCAGUCUACAUAUGUAUAGCUAGCAAUAUCCAAGUGGUUGUGUUUUCUAAGCAUGAGUCCUUUCCCAAGGGAUGUCUUCAAGUAUUGUAGGAUUUGGACUACUGUGUUCAUGUGAUCUUCACUUGGAUUGUGCAUAAAUUGACUGACUAAGCUCACAACAUAAGCAAUAUCUGGCCUUAUAUGAGACAAGUAAAUUAACUUGCCUACAAGCUGUUGAUACCUUUUUUUAUUUAUGGGGGUCUGAUUGGGACGUUCUUAUAGUCCAUGGUUUUGGAUUAUAAGAGUGUCGUUUGAUUUACAUUCAAGCAUUACCGUUUCGGCUAACAAGUCAAGAACAUAUUUCCUUUGUGAAAGAAAAAUUCCUUGGCUAGAUCAAGCUACUUCUCUUUCUAGAAAAUAUUUGAGUCCGCCAAGUUUCUUCAUUUCAAACUCAGCUACUAGGUACUUUUGCAAGUUUGUAAUUCCCUCCGCAUCAUUCCCUAUGAUUAUCAUAUCAUCGAUGUAGAUUAUUAAAGUUUUCACCAUUCCUUCUUGAUUCUUCAAGAACAAGGUUUGGUCGACAUUACUUUGUUUGAAACCAUGCUUCUUCAUGGCUAAGGUAAAGCAUCCAAACCAUGCUCUUGGUGAUUGCUUUAAACCAUAUAGUGCCUUUUGUAGCUUGCACACAGUUCUAGGUUGAGAAGUAGUAAAUCUCAGUGGGAUGUCCAUGUAAACUUCUUCUUCGAGGCCUUUGUGUAGAAAGGCAUUUUUUCACAUUGAACUGGUGUAGUGGCCAAUCCAAGUUAGCUACUAGUGAUAAUACCACCAUGACUGUAUUUAGCUUUGCUACUGGAGAGAAAGUUUCUUUAUAGUUUACGUCGCAAGACUAAGUGUACCUUUUUGCUACAAGUCUCACUUUAUACCGGUUUAUUAAUCCAUCAGCUUUGUAUUUAAUGGAAGACACUCACCUACACCCAACUACUUUUUUUCCUUUAGGUAGUGGUGUUAGUUUCCAUGUCUUCAUGUUUUUUAGUGCUGUCAUUUCUUCAUUUAUCAUUGGAUCCACUUUGAGCCAUUCAAGGCUUCUUCUAUUAUGCUUGGAGUGUGUUUGGAAGACAGUUUGUGCACAAAGGCUUUAAGGGGUCUUGAUAGUCUUUGUGUACAAAGGUGGUUCGCAAUAGGAUACCUUGUCCUCAUUUCUUCAUGGUUUGGAGAGUAUCGACAUGGUGGCUUGCCAUGAUUAUGUUUGAAAGGUAAUUUAUAGCCAAUAAAUUCAUUAGUAGCAUGGUCAAUAUGGGAAUUUCGGGACUAUACUUCAAAGUUAUUUGGCGCUAGAGUAUGAGGGAGGAGAAGCUGCUCUUCUACAAUGGGUUGUUUUCUACUCAUUCUAUUCGUCUUCAGUAGACUGUUCUUGGUCACUCAUUGAAUAGGUAGCAUUAUCUUCUUUCAUUCCUGUUAUUGCCAUCAUUAGUUCAAUGGUUUGAGCAUUUUCAUUUUCUGUAGGUCUUGAUUGAGUCUUUGCUGCUUCUUGUGAUAGUGGUUAAGCUCCGUUGGAUUCCAUUUUCCCAUUGGUAGUAUCUUCAUUUUGUUUUAGAGAGGUUAAGGGGGUUAUACCUUAAAGAGGGGGUGUACCUUCAAAUCCUGGUCAAUCUUCCCACGUAUUCUGCUUUUCACAAAAUAGCUCCCCUUAAGAGAAGAAUGGCAAUUUGAUUUUGAAAAAAACAUUUCAGACUCUCUAAAGGUAACAUCAAUGGUGGUAUAGAGGCACCUAGUUGUAGGAUCAUAACACCGGUAGCCCUUUUUAUGAUCUCUAUACCUUAGAAAAAUACACCGAACAACACAAGGAUCAAGUUUGGUUCAUUAUGUUUUGUGAAUGUGGACAAAUGCUACACAUCAAAAUAUUCGAGGUGGAAGCAUCAAGAUCAAGGUAAUGGCAUGUAUUGAGCAAGAGCUUGUAAUGGAGUUUCAAAGUUUAAGACUUGAGAUGGUAUUCGGUUGAGUAAGUACAUGAAGGCUCUAACUGCAUUUGUUCAGUAUUUGUGGGUGCAUGGGCUGCUAUCAAGAGUGUUCGAGUCGUUUCAAGAGUAUGUCUUAUUCUUUCUUUUUGCAAUACCAUUUUGUUAUGGAGUAUCCUUGCAAGUAGUUUCAGGAUAUAAACCAUAUUCUUGAAAAUAUUGUCACAAUUCAUUAUUAUCAUAUUCUCCGCCAUUAUUAGACCGAAGAAUCUAAAUGUUGGCUAAGAAUUGAGUUUUGAUCAUGUUAUGGAAAGAGCGAAAACUAGCAAACAUUUUACUCUUAUUCUUCAUCAAAUAAAGCCAAGACAUACAUGUGCAAUCAUCUACAAAUAUCACAAACCAUCUAAUGCCAGAAGAGAUUGUGAUAGGGGUUGGCCCCCAAACAUUUGAAUGGAUUAUCACAAAAGGUUCCUAACAUUUUUUAAAACUAAUAGGAUAUGGAACAUGGUGACUUUUAGCCAAAAUGCAAGUUUCACAGAGAAAUAAAGAUUCAUGUCAAGUUGAAAACAAACUUGGAAAAAGAUGCUUUAAGUAUGAAAAGGACAGAUGUCCAAGUCGGUAGUGCCAUAACCAAAUUUGUCUUCCUUUGUCACUGGUUCCACGUGUAGUGUUUUUUUGUCCAACACUAAGAUCAUCAAUAUAAUACAAUCUUUCUCUUUUAGUACCAUGACGAAUAAUCUUCUUGGUGAGAAGAUCUAAAAAAAAAACAAAACUUAGGAUACAUUGGUGCGCAACAAUUUAAUUCUUCAGUGGUUUGGACGACAGAUAGUAGUUUAUUAGAAAGGGAUGAAGCUAACAGAGUAUUUAGAAGUGAAAAAAAUGGUGAAAGUGCCACCUUUUCCUACCCCUGUAACCGGGUAUGUUACUCUAUUGGCAUUGGCAAUGCAUGUCCAUUUUGGUUGGCUAGUCUCAAUGACAACUUGCGAAUCAAAUGUUAUAUGACUAGUAGCUCCUGAAUUAAUAAUCCAUCUUUGAUUACCUAGGUUACUAAAGGCCAUUGUUUUGUUCGCUACAGCCAAUAGUGAGUCCUUUUUUGGUAUGAGGGACAACUGUGGCUCAGUAGAUGUAGCAGCUGAAGUAUCUUCGGUGUUCAUGAGGGCAGCUCGACCAGCAUCACUUUCCUUUUUUGCUUUGAGUUCAUGCCACCAUUCUAGAUAUCUGUGUAGCUUAAAGCAAGUGUUUUUCUUGUGCUUUGCAUUCCCACAGCGUGUUCAACCUACUUUUUCUACUUGUGACCUUGGCUUUGUUGACAUAUUGGGUUUCCCAUUAGAGAUCAGUUGAAGUGAAGUUUGUUGCUGUGGUUUCUGUCUUUUUGAGAUCAUAACUGCACCGUGCACACUAUCUCUUUUUUCAACAUUAUGGAUUGCCUUAAAUCUUCUCGGUGGACAUGUGCAUAUGCUUGUUCUACUAUUGAAAAUGGUUGAAGUUGAAGCACAAUACCUCGGAUUUAUCAAGUUGAUCAUCUAGCCAAUCUAGAAAGGUAUUAUAAACUCUAUCUUCUUGUAAAAUAGAGUUAUAUUUCUAUAUAUCAAAUUUGCAAUUCAUAGGGUUUGGUUGCUGAAAAUCAAUCUCUCGCCUUAAACCUUGAAGAUUGUUGUAAUAUGUCUUGAUAGAUCCUCCACCUUGUUUUAGCCUUGUCACCUUUCUUUUGAGAUCAUAGACUUAUGAAGUGUCAAUCCCAUCAAAAUACGCCAUAUCAAUAAUGUCCUAAACUAUUUUCGCUGUUGGAAAUCGAAUAUAGUUGCUGAUUAGUUUUGGAUCCAUAGAGUUGAUUAGCCAACCCUUCAUUAUUGCAUUUUCUAUCCUCAAUUUGUCUUAUGUGGUUGUGGAAGAUCCCCAUUUAUGUAUCCAGUUUGUCUUUGCCCUUCUCCACAACUUGGAACCAAACCUAAGAAGCACCUUUACAUUAUUCAAAGCUCUUAAAACUCAUUUAAUACAUUUUAGAUGUAGAGCUAGUUUCUUCUUCCUUUAUUCUUGGGAAUCAACCUUGUAACAUCCUUUUACCAAUCUCUCUCAAUCAUUCUUACCCACCACCAUGGUUUUCCAGUUGUGAAUGCGAUGUAUCCCAUUCUCAAUCCUAACAAGUGUAGCAAAGUGGGCCUAGCUGAAUAUCAGACUCAUCAAAAUAAGCAAGUUUUGAAUCAAGAAUGACAUCAAAAGCCUUCUCUAAAGAUAUGUCUAAUUGAGAUCAAAUCUUUCUUAGUUAUUACUCCAAAAUGGAUAUCAAAUCUGUAAGUUUACAACAAGGAUUUAGAAUACUAAACAAUUUCAAUAUAGAUGACAAAAAGUGGUUUUAUUCAAACAAAUUAAACAAACACCAAGAGCCAAAGAUUUUGACAAAGAAAAAAUAAACCUGAAAAUAAAAAUGACACGCCGUACAAAAGUUAUUAAAGGGAUUGAAGUUAAAUAAACCCAAGUUAUAUGAGAAUGACUCUACAUCAGAUUGAUGAACAUCGGGCUAGAGAGGAAAAAAGUAAACAAAAGUCAAGAAGAAGGCAAUGAAUGUUAAUGUCAUGAUAUAUUACUAUAACUUAAAAUAGAGAGAAGCUUGAAGAGAACUAGUGAGUUGAUAAGCAAAACAAGGGCAUUCAUAUCAGUACAUGAUGAUCACACAGUGAUCAUAUAUAUUACAAGAUGUUAGAGUUUAUAACACCUGUAACAACCGCUUAACAGGUGUUCAAUUAAGAUGAAAACAACACAGUAUCAUCCUAUCCUAACAUCAGAGGUAUUGACAACAAAGUAGACAUACUAAGCACUGAUUAUGUUAUUAAAAUGCUUGCACGUGUCCAUGCAAGUGUUAUCCUCUAACACUGAACUGUUAAGUUAGUUAAAGUGUAAUUAUAGCUUUUUCUCAAAUUCGAAUGAUUGAGAUCAACUUAAACUAGUUCUGACAAAGGAGAAAUUUAUGGUGUAACAAAACGGAAGAAGCUUGUAAAGGAAAGAUUGAGAGAAGUUAGACUCCUCAACUUACUAAACUCAUAUGGGAUUUCAGUUUUGAUUGAAAAGUUGUCUGCAAGGUUGAGCCGUUGGAGGUUUCAAAGUUGAAAGAGGUUAGUAUUUGAUUGAAGAGCACCUAUCAGCCCAUUACAGUUGAGUGCAAGCGAUCUUGUAUUUUUCUCUUUUUUUUUUUUAUUGUGGUUGUUUCUGGUUGUUAGAAAAUUACGAAUUUUUUGGUUUUCUUGCUCUUGUUUCCGCUAGGUUUUUUCAGGAAUUUUCUAGGGAUCCUGCUGCUUCUCUAGCAUUGGAGUGUUAUAUAUCUGCCCUGGAUGUUGGGGAUGUAGCCACAUAGGCACCCCCAACAUCGGAGGGCUACUGCCAGAUGUGAAAAUUUCGCAUCUGGCGAGGCGACUGCCCAGGCAAGGCGCGAACGCACCCUGUUGAGCUAUUGACUCUCUCUCUUUUUCUCUUUUUUAUUUUUUAUUUGUUGUCCUUCUGGUUUCCAGAAUACUUUGGAGCUAAUUUAGUUUUAAUCCCUUAUUAGCUUAUGUUUAGUGUAAUUGAUCUGUUUCAAAUUACUUUGGUUGCUGUGGGCCUGUUUGCCAAUCCACAUUUCCCUGGCCCAUGCCACUUUAUAACAUUAGGAAGUAAUUUGAAACUUUAAAGCCCACUGGAUCUUUUAACUAACUCGGACCAUAAAGAUAGACACAUCAAUAAAAAUGAAGGACUAAGUAACAAAAUGAACAAAUAAUAAAGAUAGAAUGAAAUAAGAGGAGAUAAACAAAUAAAUAGGAAAAUUAAAACUUAUAUAAAAUUACAGUGUCUACAGGUCUGUGCUGAUUAUCAAGGUCCACACCAACUCUUGUAAGGUAUUGUUCAUUUUGACUCGUUGGCCUUACGGUUUUGACCCACAACAAAAGGCACCUCCCAGGUUAAAGGUGAUGUGAACUCUUAUAUGUCCAGUAUCACUCUAAUACAUAAUCAAUGUGAGAUUCAUGGCUCCCUUCUUUACGACCAUGAAAUCAGCCCUUACUCCUUGUUGGGAGUUUUUCUUCGAUGUGGUAUUUUGUGGUUUUUCUCGUUGGGAGCACUAUCUCAAUGAUGUGGGAUUCACGUCCACACGAGGAUCGAUGUAGGAUUCAUGUCUAUGCGAGGAUCGUGACAUCCUCCCCCACUUCAACAAAGGUCCACUAUCCUCAGUGGCACAUUGCUAGUACUCAAAGUCUGCUAUGAUACCAAUUAUCAAGGUCUACAGCAACCCUUAUGAGGUAUUGUCUGCUUCGACCCACUGGCCUCAUAGUUUUGUCUCACAAAAGGCACCUCUCAAGUUAAAGGUGGUGUAAACCCUUAUACACCUAGUAUCACUCUAGUACGUAGUCAAUGUGAGAUUCAUGACUCCCCUUUCUAGGACCAUGACAUCUACCCUUACUCCCCGCUGAGAGUUUCCUUUCGAUGUGGGACUUUGUGGCUCUACUUGCUGGGAGCACUAUCUCAACGAUGUGGCAUUCACGUCCACACGAGGACCAUGAUACUGAUGUUGGUUGUUGUGGAUUUGAUAGAGAAUGAAACUACAAAAUUAGGCAAUAGCAGCAACACCACCACCAUAAGAGCCAAAAUGAACCGAGCGUUUCCCAUGAAGCUAUGUAGAACUGGAACUUGUGAAAGGAACAUUUUGAAUUAUAUGUGGGAAAGAUGAUGCUUCUUUUUCAAUAUAUAUUAGAAAAUGUCAAAUUUGUGAUAGGACCUAUUUCCACAUGCACCCUUCCAUAGUGAGAGAAAAUUUACCACUUGCAUAUUGGAGAGAAUUCUUAAAGAGAAAUGUUAUCAUUUCUUACUCAUUUUUAUUGACAAAUCCGAAGGCCAAAAAAAAAGUAUUUUUAUUUAUAAAAUUUAUUACAAUAUCAAUUGAAUUUGUUAUGCAUAUGAUACACAAUUACAUAAGCAAAAGUAACGCUCUUCCUUUUCAUAAAUCUCAUCUACUCUCAAAACACGAUUGCAACUUGAGAUUUCAAGUUAAAAUUGUAUAUUUUAAUCACCGAGGUAUCGGUUCAAAUAACAAGUUGGAAAUUCUUUUUUAGCUCUGUAACAGUAAAAAUGAACUUUUUUACUAUCUUGUGAGUAUAAGAGCUUUCAGUAAGUAUUGGCCCCUUGGACGAGUAAGCACCAAAGAAACCAAUUUAUUUGAUUAAAUGUCCAACAAAAAAAAAAGGUUAUCUUACAAGGCAAAGCCAAUCUCAAGUUUAUUUUAUUUUAUUUUAUUUUAUUUCAAUCAGAGUAGGAAAUGACAGAAUCUUAAGUGAGUGUUUGAGUUAGUUUAUAGAAGUGAUUUUCUACUGCAUAAGGUGAAACAAUAUGUUUGGUUGUCAAAAUUUUAGAAUUUUGGGUGUAUGUGUGAAAUUCAUUUGUUGUUUUAGAUGAAAUUAUGAAUCAAAAUUUGUUUAAUAGUUUUGGUCAAUCGAAUCAAAACUGCUUCAAAAGUAUUUACUCAAAAUUUGUUUAAUAAUUUGUAUAGUAACAACUGUUUACUCAAAAGAAAAACAUAAAAUUGAAAAAUUAUCCACACUUUGAAGAGCUCUAAUGGUGUAGCUGAACAAUUGGUAAAAGAUGGCAUAUAAAGGGAGAACGAUUUGUUAAACAUCAUUCCGUAAGCUUGAAGUUUAUUUGAGUUCUGAUUGUGGUUUUUUAAUGGCCUGCUAUAAUCAAGUUCCCACAUCUAUUUUCUCUCACUUCCCACAUCUUAUUAAUUCUCAACUAUUUAUAUCAAGUUUCAUUAAAAAUAUGUAAAAGUUAAGAUAAUUAAUAAAAUGACAUAUUCUAUCACUUCCUUAAUAUUAUGUACGUAAUAAAUCUCUAUUUUUUAUAACUUCCUAAUUCCCACAAUACUAUUAAUUCUCUAUUAUUUCUUCUAUUUCCAAUCAACAUAAUAUGUAUUUAAUAAUCUCUAACUAACGAUAAAUUUUUUUUUUUUAAUUUCAAAGAAAAACAGCCUCAUUUAAAUAUUUAGAUGCUUUAGGCCUUUAAUAUUAUUGAGCCACCCCUGACUAUUUCUAAUUGUAUUUUGCAGUUUAUAUUGUCCCCAUAUGAUGCUGUAAGUUCUGCUUCUAGUAUAUGCUUUACUACAAAAAAUGACAUUUUAAGAAUUUGGUGGGUAGCUGGCUGAAGGGGAUGAUUGAUGAAUGGUGCAAAUAUGGUUAUUGAUUUGGUUUUUAUGGUUUUUUUUAAAUUGGAAUAAAGAGGAUUCGAAUCGUGUUCUUUAAGUAAGGGGAUCAUGCACCAACCAAUGAGUUAAAUGUUCGGGUGUGAUUUGACUUUUAUGGUUGAGUGUUUUGGUUGGGUGUUAUUAUAAGUAAUGGUAUUGUUUGGGAAAGUGGGUGAUUAUUUAGGCUUUUGUGGUUUUUCAUCAUUGGUUUUUGGUGGUCGGUUACUUUGUUUCCAUUUCUUAUGACCAAAGUCUAAUGGUUAAUAUUCUGGUUCAAUAGCAUGUUAAUUAUUGGCUUCGUUUCUGUAAUGGGAUUACCCCUGCUUCAUUUUAAUAAUAUUAAAUAAUUUUCAAAAAAAAUAAUUAUGUAUGAAUAAAUUAAAGCAAGAAAUCCACAAUAAUUCCAAACCCAUAGAAUGGAAAACUGCCAACAAGUCAAGCAUAGUGAGAUCUAGUCUUUGAGAAAUUACUUGAUUUAGACUUUGUCGACCACUUCAUCCAAAAUUCCAGAAGUAAGUCUUCGUUAAUCACUUCAUCCAAAAUACUCAAAAACAAAGGCAAGUCUUCAUCCCCCACUUCAUCCAAAAUUCUCAAAAAACCAAAAGCAAGUCUUCAUCAUCCACUUCAUCCAAAUUCCAGAAAACAAAAGAAAGUCUUUGUCAAUCAUAUCCCCAAAAAAAAAAAAUGCCAAAUAGUAUAUUUCUAAUGCUCUGAUUCUACAUCUGAUCAUAAAAUGGUCUUGACUUGGGUCUCCUUCCCACUAUAAUUCUUCUCACAAGUCUGUCAAAAUGAGUAAGUGCACCCGUCAAGAAUGACAUCAAAAGCCUCCUAUAAGGAUAUGUCUAAUUGGGGUCAAAUCUUUCUUAGUUAUUACUCUAAAAUGGAUAUAAGAUCUGUAAGUUUACAACAAGAAUUUCGAAUACUAAUUGGCAAGACGUGCCAGUUGACCCAGUUUGAUUCUAUUCUAGGCUUGACUACUACUUGAUCCUAACAAACGUGUAGGAACUUGUAAAAGGAAAACUUUUGAAUUAUAUGUGGAAAUGACGAUGGUUUUCAAUAUAUAUAUAUUGAAAUUGUCAAAAUUGUGUUAGGAUCUAUUUCAACAUGCACCCUUCGACAGUGAAAGAAAAUUUACCACUUGGCAUAUUGGAGAGAAUUCUUAAAGAGCAAUGUUAUCAUUUCUUAUUCAUUUUUAUUGACAUAUCUAAAGGCCAAGAAAAAGUAUUUUUAUUUAUAAAAUUUAUUACAAUAUAAAUUUAAUUUUUGUAUACAUAUGGUACACAAUUACAUAAACAGAAACAACUCUCUUUCCUUUCAUAAAUCUCAUCCUACUCUCAAACCACGAUUGAAACCUGAGAUUUCAAGUUAAAAUUGAAUAUUUUAAUCAUCGAAGUAUCCGUUGACUGAAAACUUGAACUAUUACAAGUCAAUGAAAUACAUAAUUUUUUUUUAAAAAAACCUAAUCUUUGGACACCUCUAAACACUGUAUUUGUAUAUAUUUCUAACUUUUAUUUUUCUUUUUUCCUAUAAGAAAUAUAAGCAAUAUAAACUAAAUGUUAUAUCUUUAUAAGUGUUUUUUUAUGAGAUUAUAUUUACAUGUAAAAAUUAUAAUUACAUCAAAUAACUUUUAAUAUUAUUAUAAAAUAAAAUAAAUUAAUAAAUAAACUAAGAAGUUAUUCAUGCAUAAAAUAGAUCUAUAUAAUACAAGAAUAAAAUUUAUUUAGAGCUGGGUUAUCAUAGCAUAACAUAAAACUAAAAAUAGUUUUGAAAACUCAACAAAUUAAAGACAACAUCCAAAAGUAACCAUCUCGCAAAGAAAAGGAAAUCAAGGCAGGUACUCGCCUCCAAAAUAAAGAAAAAGGAAGCAAGCAAUUAUUGGGUAAAAUAAAAGCACCUUGACAUUGAUAAGUUGAACCUGCACUCAAACUUCAUUUUCUCGAUUUGGGAUUCAAAGGAGUCAAAUGCAAACGUUAGCAACAUGAUAAUAUUUUCAUCAAGCCCGUUUGUUUGAAUCCUUCAAAAACUUGAUUUUGAUCUUCUUCAACUUAGCAACAACGUUUUUCAUGUCAAUCCUCUCUUCUGGCAACUCUUCUAAACAUUCUAAUGCCAAUUGCAAUACAGAUGAUGCACAUUCCUUUAUUGCAAAAAGUUCUCGCUUCCUCUUAUCGAUUAGCAAAUUGGCAUCUACAACUUGAGUUAAUGCAGAUGGUAUGGACUCAUUCACCCAAUGUUUUAAACUCAUUUCUCCAACAAACAUUUCAUCUGUGGGCUUCUUUCUUGUUAAGGUUUCAAUUAGAAGAAUACCAAAACUGUACAUGUCGCCUUUUAUGGAAACCAUUCCUUGUGUUCCAUAUUCUACAUGCAAGUCAUUAAAGCAAUCAUCAAAGUAUGCAAUGAUUUUACAUGAAUUACCAUAAUGGAUAAAAAAAGUCUAAAGUUUAAGCAUUACCUGGUGCCAUAUACCCAAUUGUUGCUAGUGUUAUGGUUUGUACCAUUGAAUCCUCUUCACCUAACAGCUUUGCAAUGCCAAAAUCAGCUAAAUGUGCAACCAUAUCUUCAUCUAACAGAACAUUGCUGGGUUUUAAAUCACAAUGGGCCACAGGAAUUGUCUGACCAUGAUGGAGGUAUUCUAAUGCAGCUGCCACAUCAAUCAUAAUGUUCAACCUAUGCAACAUAUCAAGAAAAUAGUUAUGAGAAUACAACCACUUCUCGAGGCUUCCAUUGGGCAUGAACUCAAGCACCAAGGCUUUAAAGUCAACAUUGCAGCAACUACUAAUGAUUUUGACUAAAUUUCGGUGGCGAAUGUUGCGCAAGACCUCACACUCAACGUCAAAGCUCUUGAAUGAUCCUUCUACCUCCAAAUUAAAGACUUUUAUGGCAAUGUUCAAUCCAUCUGAAAGAGCACCUUGGUAUACCGAGCCAAAACUCCCCACACCAAGUAGUUUGCUUUCACAAAAACCAUUUGUCGCUUGAUAAAGCUCUUGGUAUGAAAUUCUUCUCCAUUUUGCUAAACCAAUCGAAUUUUCUAGAUCAUUUUUUUGCUUUGAAUGCUUUCUUCGGCUUUGGAAGAAAAAGACUAUUAAGGCUAGAAUUAAUAGCGUUGCGCUAAUUGGCAAUAGGAUACAUUCCAUAAGCUUAGUAGCUUUCCUUGAAUGUUUAGCAGAAUUAUGUGUGCAUGGUGGGAGUUGCAGUUGAGGUGCACCACAUAGCGCUUCAUUCCCCAUAAAUGAUUGAAUCGAGCAAUUGGCAAAGGGUCCUUCGUUAGGAAUUUCUCCAUGCAGUCUAUUGAAUGAGACAUUCAAAUACUCAAGGUGCAAGAGUUUUUGCAAGGACUUUGGAAUAAUUCCAGAGAAAUUAUUCCUUGAUAGAUCCAAGAAUUGCAAUUCUAUCAACCCACCAAAUAACUCAGGUAUAGAUCCGUACAAUCUGUUACCGGAUAAGGAAAGAUAAGUUAGGUCUUUAAGAUCUCUAAUGCUGCUCGGAAUUUCACUUGAUAAUUGAUUUUCGGAAAAAUCAAUAAUUGUAACAACCUUCCACUUUCCAAAGUCAAUUGGGAGAGCCCCGCCAAGAAAAUUGGAAGACAAAUUUAGUUGCAAGAUAUCUAUAAGCCUUGUGAAGGUUGAGGGUAUUGAGUUUGCAAACUUAUUGGAGUCCAAAUAUAGAUGCCUAAGAGAAACGAGAUCACCCAAGCAUUCUGGUAUUGGUCCAGCCAAUUUGUUACCUGUGAGAUGCAAGAAACCCAAACUCUUCUGACAGCAUAACUCAGAUGGAAUGGAUCCUUCUAAGUUAUUGUCUUCAAGAAAGAAACCUUGCAACUUUUCUAAUCUUCCAAUUGUGGUGGGAAUAGGUCCAAUCAGUUCAUUGUUAGCUAUGUUCAACCUGAUCAAGUUGAUUAGUUUGCCAAUCUCUACAGGAAUAUUGCCUCCAAUGUUGCAGUCCGAGGCAUCGAAUGUUUGUAGAGAAAUAGAGAGAUUUCCUAUAGAGAUAGGAAGUUCACCAUGAAUCAAUGGAUUAUUACUAAAUGCCAAGACUCUCAAGUCUUUGCAAUAUGCUAAAGAUGUGAGAAAGCUCAAUUUUGGGGAUGAAGGUGUGCGAGCCAAAUUAUUAAACUGUAGGUUGAGAAAUUGUAGAUCUCUUAGAUUUCCGAGGUCAUCGGGAAUAUAUCCAGAAAAUGAAUUAGCUGACAAGUCAAGCUCUAUUAGCUUAGAUGCAUUAGAGAUGGAGGUAGAGAUUGUUCCAUUUAUCUCAUUGGAACCAAGUAGAAGCUGUUCAAGUUUUGGAAGCCAAAGUCCUGUGCUCCAUGGAAGACAACCUGAGAGAUGGUUUACAUCAAGUGCAAUGGUCCUCAUAGUUGAGCUAUUAAAGAUUCGAGGAGGGAUAUGUCCAGAGAUAUUGUUAGAUUCCAAAUUCAACCUUUCCAAUUUUGGUAUGUUGCCUAUCUCAAGUGGUAUUUUACCUGCCACAAGGAGUCAUUUGGAUUUGUUCUGGUGAUCCAGAAGUAAAUAACAAAAUUUAUCAUAAAAGUUGUACGCACAUUUGUAUUUUUAUAUUUUAUAUUAUAAAUAUAUAUAACAAAGAGUGAAACAAGUAAAUUACUUCCAAAAGUGUUAAGUUACUAAUCUAUUGUGGAAUUCAACCUGCAUAAUGAAAUUGUUCCAUUAAUUAUUUUCAAAUUUAGCAGAAAAUUAUAUGGUCAAUUUGUUUGUCAAACGGAACAAUCAAAAUUAUAAAACAAAGUUUAGAAUUUAGAUAAUACAAGGUAAUAUAAUCUUACAGGCUAAUUUAUUAUUUUUCUUUCAAUUUAUAUAAUAUAAUGAAAACAUAUUAGAAAAGUUGAAAAAAAAACAGAACAUAGAUAAGUAGAUAGUAUAUUUCAAUUUAUAUAAUAUAAUGAAAACAUAUUACUAUAUUUGCAUUUUGAGAAACAAUUUGUUAUAAUUAUUGGUUGAUGCAAUAUAAUCAUAGGCAAAUUUGCUAAAUUUAAGGGUAUUUUCAUCUUAGUUUGUCCAUUUGUGUGUCCAAGAGAAAAAGGAGGCAUGGGACUGUGGAAGAAAGGGAGGGACGACGGAUAGGGCGGAGGAAUGGGGGAAGGGGGGUUGACAAGUCAGCGAAAGAAAGGCAGGAGCCGAGGAGAGAGAGAGAGGAGGAGUCAUACCAGUUUAGACAAGUUUAUUUAAAUAAUGUAUGAGUAGUGGAAAACCAGUCUUGACGAACAUCAAUCUUAUACUUUACAUCUAAAAGAAGAAGGAUAAAAUUUAAAUAAACUAAAAUGUAAUCAUAGUGAAUUUAAUAGAAGAAGUAAAAGACUUACGAGAUUGCAAAAUGUGUCAUUAUUAAAAGAAAAAACCAAUAAAAAAAAUGGAUUAGAAAUAUGUUAAAAAUGCGUCACAAUAAUAUUUAUUUGGAUUUGUUAAUAACAAAAUAACAAAAUUAAUGAUAAAACUUUUACACACAUUUCUAUUUUUAUAUUUUAUACUAUAGAUAUAUAUAUAACAAAGAGUCAAACAAUUAGUAUUUGUAAAUAAUAUUAUUCAAAUAUUUACAACAGUUGCAGCUAUGUAGAAACUAAACAUACAUGAGAGAAAAUAUAACUUAUUACCUGUCAAUUUAUUAGCGGGAAUAUCAAUCUCUAUCAGAAGUGUUAGGUUACCAAGCUGUUGUGGAAUUUCACCUGCAUAAUGAAAUUGAGCCCUUAAUUAUUUUCGAAUUGAACAACCACUUGUUUGUCAAAUGGAUCAAAAUUAUCAAAGAAAGUUUAGAACUUAGAUAAUACAAAGCAAUAUAAUCUUGCACAUUGCAGUUAAUUUAUUAUCUUUCUUUUCAAUUUAUAUAAAAGAAAAAGGAUAAAAUAUACAUAAACUUAAAAGUGAUCACAAUGAAUUUAAUAGAAGAAGUAAUAAAGAAUUGAAAGAAUUACUAGAUUGCAAAAAUGUGAUUGCGUUAAAAAAACCAACCCAAUAACAAAAGAAACUAAAAUAUUGUAGGCCCAAAAAGAGAAAAAAAGAAAAAGGCUUUUGUUAUUGUGAGAAAGAAAGGGUUAGAAAUAUGUUAAAAAUGCAUCCCAAUAUUUAUUUUUCUUUUACCUUUGAGGUUGUUCUCUGCAAGAUAUAGAAAUUUGAGCAUAGUCAAAUUUCCUAUUUCUUUCGGUAUAAUUCCCUCGAAAUGAUUAUAAGAUAAGGAUAAAUCUUUUAACUCUUGACACUUGAAUAAACUCAUUGGGAUUGGACCAGCAAGGUGGUUAAAACUCAAGUCCAGCCCUUGUAAUCUAGGUAAACGAUCAAACAUAUCUGAUGAGAUAUCACCAGUGAGGUUAUUAAAUGUAAAAUCAACCACUUCCAAGGAAGACAUGUUGAGUCGAAUGGAAGGUAUGGAACCAAUGAGCUGGUUGUUUCUGAGAAAAAUCUUUAGCAAUGAAGAUAUGCUGAAGACCGAAGAAGGUAUAAAACCUGAAAUCUGAUUAUUAUGUAAAUAUAAAAAUCUCAACCUAGAAAGAUUUCCGAUCUCCAGGGGGAUAUGUCCUUGCAGAUUGUUGUUAUACAAGCUCAAUAACUCUAGUUUUGACAAAGAGCACAAAGAAGAUGGGAUAACUCCCACGAAGUUAUUACCGCCCAAACUCAAGUUUUGAAGUUUAGAAAAGGAACCAAACCAAGAUGGGAUUUCUCCGUUGAAAUUGUUGUUACUCAAUAGUAGAGAUUUCAGCCGGCGCAAAUUAGCCAACUCGAUGGGCAAUGAACCAUGAAAACUGUUGUUUCCAGUGUCAAGGAAAGCAACGAAAGACAGAUUUCCCAUGUCUGGUGGUAUGGUUCCAGAGAGAUUCAUGCCAAAUAGAUCCAAAGCAAUGACUCUGUGGUGUCGAGAUCCGCAAGUGACACCAACCCAAUUGCAAAUAGAGGUAGCAGUUGACCAGUUCGUAGCCAGAAGAUCAUUGUUGACGCGGGUUUUUAGUGCAAGAAGAGCCAACUGGUCUGUGCUGAUGUUGGUUGUUGAUUUCAUAGCGAAUGAAACCCCAAAAUUAGGCAGCAACACCACCACCAUAAGAGCCAGAAUGAGCCAAGUGUUUCCCAUGAAGUUAAGUAGAAGUGGAACUUGUGAAUUAUAUGUGGGAAAGAUGAUGUUUCUUUUUCAAUAUAUAUAGAAAAUGUCAAAACUGUGAUUGGACUUAUAUCUUUUUUUUAAAAAGCAAUUUUAUUAGCCGCAUUAACCAUAUUGCCAUUCCAAGUCUCCUCCAAUUAGGAGACUUUCCAUGAUAUCAAGACAUGGUUAGGACAAACAAAUGUACAAUUACAAAAACUACCCCGCUCCUGCCGCUACCAGCUGUAAAAAACAUGAAGCUCAUCAAUCCUAUCAAGACCAAAAUCCAUCGACUCACUACCUCAAAAGCAAAAAGAGAGGCAUAAUCAGGUUCACUAAGCUAGAAAGUCCCUUUUGCACCCAAAAAAGAACAUAACACAGGAGGCCAUUCGACAAACCGUGGGAACCACCCCCAACAGAUCAUGCACACCGUCAAAGGCCAAAAAACAAAAACCAUAAUUCAACCAGCACGGUCGCGUCAAGCAAAUACGGGAGCAGGAAACCCCGUCUCAACAGCUCCAACCCACAGACCAGACAACAAGCACGGGCAGAAACAGAACCUUGUAACCAGGACACCUCAACUUCCAGCCUAAAGAAUAUCUAUUUCUUAUUCAUUUUCGUUGACAUAUCUAAAGGCCAAAAAAAGGUAUUUUUAUUUAUAAAAUUUAUUACAAUAUAAAUUUAAUUUUUUUAUGCAUACGGUACACUAUUACAUAAGCAAAAGUAACUCUCUUCUUCUUCAUAAAUCUCAUCUUACCCUCAAACCACAAUUGAAACUUGGGAUUUCAAGUUAAAAUUGUAUAUUUUAAUAACCGAGGUAUCGGUUCAAAUAGCAAGUAGGAAAUUCUUUCUUAGCUCUUUAACAGUAAUUCUGCCCUGCAUUUGUAGGAAAACAACAGAAUGAACUCUUUUACUAUCUUGUGAGUAUAAGAGCUUUCAGUAAGUAUUGGCCCCUUGGACUAAUAAGCACCAAAGACACCAGUUUAUUCGAUUAAAUGCCCAAAAAAAAAAGGUUAUCUUACAAGGCAAAGCCAAUCACAAGGUUUUUUUUUUAAUUUUUUUUCAAUCAGAGUAGGAAAUGACAGAAUCCUAAGUGAGUGUUUGACCUAGUUUAUAGAAGUGAUUUUCUACUGCAUAAGCUGAAACAAUAUGUUUGGUUGUCAAAAUUUUAGAAUUUCGAGUUAAUGUGUGAAGUUCAUUUGGUGUUUUAGAUGAAAUUAUUAAUCAAAAUUUUUUUAAUAGUUUUGAUCAAUCGAAUCAAAACUGCUUCAAAAAUAUUCACGUAUAGUAACAACUAUUUAAUGAAAUUUUUUAUAUUUUUACUUUAUUCUUGAAUAAUUCAUAAAAUUAAGAUAUUAGGAAACAAAUGCUCAAGUGUAAAUUUCCUCAAAAUUUCUAAAAGAAUAUACACGUAGAUAAUAAAUAAGUCAAAAUGGUACUUAUGAAAUAAAACAUAACAUAUUUUUAUUAUUAAUGAUUAUGUCUCUCAAAAGAAAGACACAAAAUUGAAAAAUUAUUCACACUUUGAGGAGCACUAAUGGUGUAGCUGAUCAGUUGGUUAAAGAUGGCUUAUAAAGGGAAAACGAUUUGUUAAACAUCAUUUUGUAAGCUUGAUGUUUAUUUGAGUUAUGAUUGUGGUUUUUUAAUGGUUUACUAUAACUGAGUUCCCACAUUUAUUUUCUCAUAUAAACAAAUAUCUAUUUUCUCUCAUGUCUCACAUCUUAUUAAUUCUUAACUAUUUAUAUUGUAUCUCAUUAAAAAUAUAUAAAAGUCAAGAUGAUUAAUAAAAUGACAUAUUUUCUUACUUCCCUAAUAUUAUGCACCUAAUAAAUCUCUAUUUUUUAUCACUUUCCAAUUUCCACAAUAUUAUUAAUUCUCAAUUAUUUCUCCUAUUUCCAAUCAACGUAAUAAAUAAUUCAUAAAAUGACAUAUUUUCUCACUUCCCUAAUAUUAUGUACCUAAUAAAUCUAUAUUUUUAUCACUUCUCAAUUCCCACAAUAUUAUUAAUUCUCAAUUAUUUCUUCUAUUUUCAAUCAACGUAAUAUGUAUUUAAUGAUCUCCAACUAAUGGUAAAAUUGUUUUCUUAAUUUCAAUGAAAUAAAAGACCUCAUUUGAAUAUUUAGACGCUUUAGGCUUUUUAGGUUUUUUUUCUUAAUUGAGGAAAGGGGGAUUCGAACCUUGCUUUCUAGGCAAGGGAUCAUGCACCAAGCAAUGAGCCAAAUACUCAGGUGCAUUUUUUAGGCUUUUAAGGUUAUUGAGCCACCCCUGGCAUUUCUAACAAUACUUUGCAACUAAUAUGUGACAAUCUUUCAGAUUGCAAAAUAUGUUUUAUGUUGUCCCCAUAUUAUGCUGUGGGUUCUAUUUUCAGUAUAUGCUUGACCACAGACAAUGACUUUUUAAGAAUUUAGUGGGUAGCUAGCUAAAGAGGAUGAUUGAUGAAUGGUGCAAAUAUGGUUGUUGACUUGGCUUCUAUGGUAGAGUAUUUUGCUUGGGUAUUAUUAUAAGUGAUGGUACAGUUGACUCCAUAUGUUUUUUAUGAUAACAAAAUAUUCUCAUUCAUUGAUGUCUAAUUACUUUAUUUAAGUGUGUGAACCCUUUAUAUAUUUGUUUUUUGGAAGCAAGUCAAGAAGCUUGCUUAAUUACAAGAUGAGUUAAUCAGUUAAAGAAGCAAAGAAGAAAAGGCUUAGUGAAGACAAAAUGUUGUUAACUGAUUAACGUGGAGCCUUAACCAAUUAAGGCAAAAGCUAGGAACUAUACAAAAGCAAGACAAUAAAACCUUAAUUAGUUACCACAAGGUUUAACUGAUUAAGAAGGUGCUAGAAGCUAAAAACAAAGGCAUGCUAAUCAGUUAAAGAAUUGGGAUAAUCAGUUAGAGCACAAGACUUAGUACCUUCAACGCCAAAAUUCAAAGUUGAAAGAAGAUUGACUAUAGAAGGGAGCCAAAAUGAAAAAGUUCAAAUUUCGAAGAUUUUCUAAUUGAUUAAAGCUGAUUUUAAUCUGUUAAGGUUGAAGGAAGUGAAGCCUCAACUAGUUAAGGGAAGAGCUAACCAAUUAAAGGAAGACUGUUGUGUAGAGGAAAAUGAAAACAGAAAGUUUGUAAUCAGUUAGAGUUUCCUCUAAUCGAUAAACACAAUGUACAUAACUACAAGACAGUGCAAGGCAGAGAAGCUAUAAUUUGUUAGAACUGCUUGUAACCAAUUAACGAAACACUGUCUGCCUAUUUGAAAAGAGCCGCUAGAAGAUAAAAUAACGGCUAUUAACGGCUAAAAAUUAUCUCUAACAGCCAGAAUCAAUCUUCUAAGUAUUUAAAGGCUCUCUAACAAUCAAAAAUUAUAUAGAGAAGCUACCAAGAGUGAUUUUGAACUUAAAACAUACAAAAACCUUCUUUUAACACUUGUAUUCCACUCAUAUCUUUGUGAAAGUGUUUGUGUUGAAGCUUUUACAACUUAAAUCAGUAAGGUGCUCAUUUGCACCUCCUUUUAUCUUCUAUUUCUUGUUUACUUAGAUUGUGAGAGAUACUCUAAGGGGUAGUCUAAGUUAGGAUAAGCUUAAGAUUUGUUGUAAAAGGGUUGAAGCUAGGGUUAGAAGCUAAUCUUGUAAAAGCUUGUUGGAAGCUAUUAAUUUCACUGGUUUUUUAAUGAAGUUUGGCUGAAAAUCUAUAAUUAGGAAUAUCAAGGUAGUGGAUGUAGGUCAGGUGGACCAAACCACUAUAAAUAUUGUGUUUUAUCCACUUCUCUUAUCUCUCUUUACUUAAUGUUUGCUAACUACAACAAGUUUUCAAACCAUUCAUCUUAAAUCUUCCAAAUGGAUUUUAAAUUUCAAAAAACUACCAUAAAAAAUAUUUUUAAAUACUAUUCACCCCUCUCUGACACUCCUUUUAGGACCAACAAGUACUGUUUGGGAAAAUGGAUGAUUAUUGAGGCUUUUGUGGUUUUUCAUCAUUGGUUUUUGGUGGUCGGUUACUUUGUUUCCAUUUCUUAUGACGAAAGUCUAAUGGUUAAUAUUCUGGUUCAUAGCAUGUUAAUUAAUGGCUUUGUUUUUGUAAUAGGAUUACCCCUGCUUCAUUUUAAUAAUAUUAAAUAAUUUUAAAAAAAUAAUUAUGUAUGAAUAAAUUAAAGCAACAAAUCCACUAUAAUUCCAAACCCAUAGAAUGGAAAACUGCCAACUAGUCAAGCAUAGCGAGAUCAAGUCUUUGAUAAAUGACUUGAUUUAGACUUUGUCGACCACUUCAUCCGAAAUUCCAGAAGUAAGUCUUCGUUAAUCACUUCAUCCAAAAUACUCAAAAACAAAGGCAAGUCUUCGUCCACCACUUCAUCCAAAAUUCUCAAAAAACCAAAAGCAAGUCUUCAGCAUCCACUUCAUUCAAAUUUCAGAAAACAAAAGAAAGUCUUUGUCAAUCAUAUCCCCAAAAAAAAAAUUUUAAAAAUGCCAAAUAGUAUAUUUCUAAUGCUUUGAUUCUGCAUCAGAUCAUAAAAUGGUCUUGACUUGGGUCUCCUUCCCACUAUAAUUCUUCUCACAAGUCUGUCAAAAUGAGUAAGUGCACCCGUCAAGCAUGACAUCAAAAGCCUCCUAUAAGGAUAUGUCUAAUUGGGGUCAAAUCUUUCUUAGUUAUUACUCUAAAAUGGAUAUAAGAUCUGCAUGUUUACAACAAGAAUUUCGAAUACUAAUUGGCAAGACGUGCCAGUUGACCCAGUUUGAUUCUAUUCUAGACUUGACUACUACUUGAUCCUAACAAACGUGUCGGAACUUGUGAAAGGAAAACUUUUGAAUUAUAUGUGGAAAUGACGAUGGUUUUCAAUAUAUAUAUAUUGAAAUUGUCAAAAUUGUGUUAGGAUCUAUUUCCACAUGCACCCUUCGACAGUGAAAGAAAAUUUACCACUUGGCAUAUUGGAGAGAAUUCUUAAAGAGCAAUUAAUGUUAUCAUUUCUUAUUCAUUUUUAUUGACAUAUCUAAAGGCCAAGAAAAAGUAUUUUUAUUUAUAAAAUUUAUUACAAUAUCAAUUUAAUUACAAAAUGAGUUAAUCAGUUAAAGAAGCGAAGAAGAAAAGGCUUAGUGAAAACAAAAUGUUGUUAACUGAUUAACGUGGAGCCUUAACCAAUUAAGACAAAGCUGGGAGCCAUACAAAAAGCAAGACAGCAAAACCUUAAUUAGUUAGCAUAAGGCUUAACUAGUUAAGAAGGUGCUGGAAGCUAAAAACAAAGGCAUGCUAAUUGGUUAAGGAAUUGGGAUAAUCAGUUAGAGCACAAGACCUUAGUACCUUCAAGCACCAAAAUCCAAAGUUGAAAAAAGGUUGACCAUUGAAGGGGGCCAAAAUGGAGAAGUUCAAAAUUCGAAGAUUUCUAAUUGAUUAAAGCUGAUUUUAAUCCGUUAAGGUUGAAGGAAGUGAAGACUUAACCAAUUAAGGGAAGGGCUAACCAAUUAAAGGAAGACUACUGUGUAGAGGAAAAUGAAAACAGAAAGUUUGUAGUUGGUUAGAGUUUCCUCUAAUCGAUUAACACAGUGUACAUAGCUACAAGACAAUGUAAGGUAAAAAAGUUGUCAUCAAUUAGAGUUGCCUGUAACCAGUUAACGGAACACUGUCUAUUUAUCUGAAAAGAGCCACUAGAAGACGGUUAGUAAUGGCUAGAAAUUAUCUCUAACAGCUAGAAUCAAUCUUCUAAGCAUUUAAAGGUUCUCUAACAGUCAAAAAUCAUAUAGAGAAGCUACCAAAAGUGAUUUUGAGCUUAAAACAUCUAAAAACCUUUUUUUAACACUUGUAUUCCGCUCCAAUUUUUAUGAAAGUGUUUCAGCUGAAGCUUGUACAACUUAAAUCAGUAAGGUGAUCAUUUGUACCUCCUUUAAUCUUCUAUUUCUUGUUUACUUUGGGUGUAUGAGAUACUCUAAGGGGUAGUCUAAGUUAGGGUAAGCUUAGGACUUAUUGUAAAAUGGUUGGAGCUUGGGUUAGAAGUUCACCUUGUAAAAGCUAGCUGGAAGUUGUUAAUUCUACUGGUUUUAGUGAAGUUGGAUUAAAAAUCCUUGAUUGGGAAGAUCAAGGCAGUGGAUGUAGAUCAGGUAGACCAAAUCACUAUAAAUAUUAUAUUUUGUCUACUUCUUUAAACCUCUCUUUACUUGGUGUUUGCUAAUUAUAACAAGUUUUCAAACCAUCCAUCUUAAAUCUUCCAAAUGGAUUUUAAAUUUCAAAAGCUACUCUCAAAAAUAUUUUUAAGUGUUAUUCACCCCUUUUCAACACUCCUUUUGGAACCAACAGGUACUAUUUGGGAAAAUGGAUAAUUAUUGAGGCAUUUGUGGCUUUUCAUCAUUGGUUUUUGGUGGUGGGUUAUUUCUUCCAUUUCUUAUGAUGAAAGUCUAAUGGUUAAUAUGCCGGUUCAUAGCAUAUUAAUUAUUGAUUUCAUUUAUGUAAUGUGUUUAACCCUGCUUCAUUUUAAUAAUAUUGAAUACUUUUAAAAAAAAAUCAUUAUGUAUGAAUAAAUUAAAGCAAGAAAUCCACUAUAAGUCCAAUUCCAUAGAAUGGAAAACGGCCAACUAGUCAAGCAUAGUGAGAUUAAGUCCUUGAGCAAUGACUUGAUUUAGACUUUGUCGACCACUUCAUCCUAAAUUCCAAAAGGAAGUCUUCGUUAACCACUUCAUCCAAAAUUCUCAAAAACAAAGGCAAGUCUUGGUCCACCACUUCAUCCAAAAUUCUCGAAAAACCAAAAGCAAGUCUUCAUCAUCCACUUCAUCCAAAUUCCAGAAAACAAAAGAAAGUCUUUGUCAAUAAGGGAAAAUAGGUAGUAGAUGUCAGAAUAAUUUUUUUACUUUUAAAAAAUUCCAAAUAGUAUAUUUCUAAUGCUUUGAUUCUGCAUCAGAUCAUAAAAUGGUCUUGACUUGGGUCUCCUUCCCACUAUAUUUCUUGACACAAGUUUGUCAAAAUGAGUAAGUGCACCCGUCAAGCAUGACAUCAAAAGCCUCCUUUAAGGAUAUGUCUGAUUGGGGUCAAAUCUUUCUUAGUUAUUACUCUAAAAUGCAUAUAAGAUCUCUAAGUUUGCAACAAGAAUUUCUAAUACUAAUUUGCAAGACGUGCCAGUUGUCCCAGUUUGAUUCUAAGACUUGACUACUACUUGACCGUAACAAACGUGUAGGAACUUGUGAAAGGAAAACUUUUGAAUUUUAUAUCGAAAGGAUGAUGUUUCUUUUUCUAUAUAUAUAUAUAUAUAUAUAGUAGUUUGUCAAAAUUGUGAUAGGACCUUUUUCCACAUGCACCCUUCCACAGUGAAAGAAAAUUUACCACUUGUUGGAGAGAAUUCUUAAAGAGCAAUGUUACCAUUCUUAUUCAUUUUUAUUGACAUAUCUAAAGGCCAAAAAAAAGUAUUUUUCUUUAUAAAAUUUAUUACAAUAUCAAUUUAAAUUUUUUAUACAUGUACUACACAAUUACAUAAGGAGAAGCAACUCCAAUUUAAAAUCAAAUAUUGUAUAAAGAUGGUUUGUAUAAAAGGUGGGUUUUUCUGAUCUGUUGUAAGCUUCCUCAUACGUGGCAACAUUACUGAUUUUAGGAUAUUAUGCAAUACAAAGGUAUAACAUCUUGAAAUCAGGAUUUUACAUAUUUCCUUCAUUAAUAAACCAUCUCCAUAAUUUUUUUUAAAAUGUUGGCAAAAAAACAAGAACAAGGAAUCCUAAGUGAGUGUUUGACAUAGUUUAUAAAAGUGAUUUUCUAUUGAAAAAGCAGAAACAAUAUGUUUAUUUGGUUGUCAAGAUUUUAAAAUUUUUGGUUUAAAUGGAAAGUUCAUUUGGUGUUUUAGACGAAAUUAUGAAUCAAAAAUGUUUUUCAUAUUUUUGGUCAAUUAAAUUAAUACUUCUUCAACGAUAUUAAUGUAUAGUAACAAAUAUUUAAUGAAAUUUUUUAUAAUUCUACCUUACUAUUCAAUAAUUCAUAAAAUUAAUAUAUCAGGAAACAAAUGCUCAAGUGUAAAUUUCAUUGAAAUUUCUUCAAAAAUAUACACGUAGGUCAUAAAUAUCUCAAAAUAGUAUUUAUGAAAUUAAACAUAGCAUUUUUUUUUAUGUAUGAUAUAAAUUAAAGCAGGAAAUCUAGUAUAAGUCCAAAACCAUAGAAUGGAAAACUGCCAACUAAUCAAGCAUCGUGAGCUCAAGUCUUUGUGAAAUGACUUAAUUUAGACUUGUCAAACACUUCAUACAAAAUUCCACAAAAACAAAAGCAAGUCUUGGUCAUCCACUUUAUCCAAAUUCUAGAAAACAAAAGAAAAUUUUUGUCAACCAUCUCCCCAACAAAUUUUUGUCAACCAUCUCCCCAACAAAAUUUACUUUAACUAAACGUUAUACACAUAUUUAACGUAAUUCUUCUGAAAAAAAAAAUUACAAGCUCUUUGAGUAGGUGUUUAUAUUUUUCUGUCUUCCUAGACAUACUCUUAGAUUCCUUUGUUUAAUAUAUUGAUUAAUAAUGGAUAUCAAGUUUAUGAUGACAAUAUUCCUUUUCAUGUAUAUGAAUAAUAUUCCUUUUACUAGUUCACUGCCAGAAUUGAACUAAAAGGAGAAUGAAUUUGUCCUUUUGGCCCUUUAAGGAAAAAGAACUGAAUAAUACAUGUUCUUGAUUUAUUGCAAACUACGAUUUGAAUCAGGUAGCCAGUAAUUAACAACCACUAGUGAGGCCUAAUCACAUAUUAAGCAACAUUAAUAAUCAAUUGGAGGUAUUAAUUAUGCCAGUGAUUGCUACGUACAUCAUCAACACUGAAUUUCAGUGUAGGCAAUCUUCCAUAAGAAAUUCCUAGGUCCUCUCAAUCUUUCUGAUCUAGUUUCUCCCAAAGACAGGAUGUGUUGGUCAAAAUCAUUGAUGAAGCUUCCUUUACAAAUUACAAUAACAUCGAGGAAAAUAAUUAGUAGAUGUCAGGAUAUUUUUUUUCUUUAAAAACAUGCCAAAUAGUAUACUUCUAAUGCUUUGGUUCUGCAUCAGAUCAUAAAAUGAUCUUGACUUGGGCCUCGUUCCCACUAUAAUUCUUCUCACAACUUUGUCAAAAUGAGUAAGUGCACCCGUCAAGCAUGACAUCAAAAGCCUCCUCUAAGGAUAUGUCUAAUUGGGAUCAAAUCUUUCAUAGUUACUACUCUAAAACGGAUAUCAGAUUUGUAAUUUUACAAUAAGAAUUUCGAACACUAAUUUGCAAGACGUGCCAGUUAACUUAUUAAUUUACAAUGAUAAUAUAACUUCAAUGUGAGGCCGAACAAAAAAAAAUAAAAGGAACAAAUAGAACUUUAAGUUAUCUUUUUUAAUAUAAGCCUAACAAUAUGGAAAAACAAACUAUAUUAUCAAUUGCAUUCAAUUAAUAUUAAUUAUGUGAGGAUGAAUUUGCUAAUUUGAUAAACUAAUUAGAAUUUAAAAGUGCAAAUAAUAAGAAAUAUAUAUACCUCUAUAAAUUUCAAAUCAAUAAUUUAUCUUCAAAUGUUUAUUUAAAUUAUAAUUACAAUUAAUAUUACUUUUAGUAGUUUAUUUAAAUUCAAAUGUAAAUCAAACUAAAAGAAAUUAGAUUCCUAAUUAAUUGAAUUAACCUAUCUCAAAGAAGGCAAACCUUUCUACUUUUCAUGUCGGUAACCUUCCAACAAAUAUUGGAUAACUAAUUAGAGCAUGACCCCAACAUUUUUAAACUUAAUUAUUCAUUAGACAUGGUCUUACUGGAUUCUCUCUUUGUUCUUGGCUGUUUUAAAUGACUAGUUUAGGACUUUGGUCUUUGAAUUAUGAUUAAACAAAUGCUCCUGAAUAUCAAGGCAUCACUGUACAUAACAUCUUCAUCAAUUCAUAAGAUAUGUCCUAGUGCAUCUAGAUGGUUAAUCCUAUUAUUGCUCAUGCUAUUUUACACUUCUAUAUAUAUAUAUAUAUAAUGUUGUUAAAAAAAUGAAUGUACUUACCCAUUAAGGAUUUAUCAAUCAUUUUUUUAAUAUAUAUAUUUAUCUACACACACAUUGAAUAAUUGAUAGUUAAAAUACUAUAUAUUUGAAAAACCGUUUUUUCAUUUAAUGCACUAUAUAUCAAAUUCAAGAAGGAACAACAUAUUAGUUACAAAUCUUUCUUAUAAAUAUUACCUUAAUAUAAAUAUAUAUAUAUAUUUGAUUNUAUAUUUUGGGAUAAAAAAGGAAACUUAUUUGAAAAUUGAGAAAAUAGCAGAGUGUUAGGGAAAUGUCGAUAUCCAAAAUAGUUACUAAUAUUUUCUUUUAAAAUUACUAAAAAAAACUCACUUAGUGUGCACUAUAUAUUCUAGAAAAAAAAAAUUCAUCUUUAUUUUUGGUUUUAUUUGAAGUUGGAAAUUGAACCUAACUCUUUGAAUAGAAGAUGCAUGUUCUUACUAUUGAAUAUAAAAACUCAGCUGUAAAAGGUUUUUAUUCAUGUGUUUGGACAGGUGAUAAUCACAAUUCACAUGGGUCAACACUAACAAGGUAACAUGUAUCCUUAUUAAUGAAUAUGGAUGGAAAAUAUCAUAAACUAAAAACUAGAGUUUUAAUGUACAUGAUUAUCUAAUGUUAACAAUAAUACAAUCCUAGUGAAUUAAAUGUAUAGUAGAGUCUAUCAGAAUUAAUGUGAAAUUAUAUAAAAUCACAUUUUCAAGAUGCACCAGAUUCAAUGUUACUAUCAAAUCUUUGACUUGAAACAAGCAUUGAAAUGGGUAAUUCUGUAAGAUGAAUUUGGAAAUUAGAUGUGGUUGAAAGAUAUGAAAAGUGGAUUACUAGAGGCCUAUAUGUAUACCAUAUUUUCAAGUCAAAGCUUUUUUUAAGUAUGUUUUUAUUGGCAAAGAAGAAAAACAAGUUUUUAACGAUCACAUAUAGAAAAGUCUAGAAGAUAUUUUAUUUUAGUAAUUAAAAUUUCAAAUUUUAGUUUGAAAAUUUCGUGAUAGAAAUAUGAAAGAUUUAUUAGUUUCGAAUCCAUUUAUCUUCUUCUUUUAUAUGAGUAAUGAUUUGAUCAUGAAUUAUAGAUCUCGCAUAUAAAUGAAUUCAGAUACAUAUGAGAAGUAAUGGACCGAAAAAUUAAUUGUUAAUUUUUUAUAGUUCUUUUAUAAUUGUUAAUAUCUAUUGUCACAUGCAUUGCACAUGAAUACUUGUUUUCAAAUAUAUUUUUAAAUUGUUACAAAUUAGAUAAAUCUUAAUAAUAUUAAUAAUAAAAAGAUUUAAAAUAAUAACUUUAAAAUAUUAUAAAUAAAUAUAAUCAUUUUCAUUGAUCAAAAAGUUGUUCUAACAUUCGUACUUUAUACAUAUUAUAAGCAUCUACCAAAAGGUGGUGGUUUUUGUAUACUUUUUAUCAAGUAAUGAGAUCAUUUCAAUGCCUUGAUAUACAUAUAUGUAUAUACAUACAUAUAUGUACAUAAAUAUAUGUAUGUAUAUAUGUACAUAUAUACAUACAUUUAUAUAUGUAUGUCAUAACGUGUGGGUUCAAGAACCCGAUCGCUAGACGUGGUUAACUUAGGGAGUCGCUACCAAUAUUUUUUUACCUAGAUGCGAUUAGCCACCUAUUAAAUUUGUUUUAUUCGACGGAGUUCUAAAUCGACUUUAGAUCCUUCUAAAGAAUAACAAACUGGUCUACGUUUUUUAUUUAGAAUUCGGUUCGAGAGUACAGUUACGCACAGGAAAAGAUUAACACCCCUAUGACGCCAAUUCCACGAACGGUACCAUUUAAUCAUAUAUUAUUAUAACCCAUUAAUUUUAUUAUUAUGUUUUCUUAAUUUUUUUUAUUUAACUUAUCUUUUAUUCUAUUAAUAAAUUAAAAUAUUCUAUUUGAUUUUACGAGUUUAACGUACACGUAAUGCAAUUGUAAAAUGCAUGGUAUAAAAUCGAGAUAAUGUCAAACGAAAACCUUUUUAUGAGUGCACUUUUUGAAUCCACCUAUCAUGCUGGUGAGAUCCAGGAGUAUCCUCUCACUUAGGAAAAUAUCUGAGAAACUCGCCUUCGCAAAUUACCUGGGUAAAUCCUAUAAUCAGGAUAGUCAUUUGCAAGUAAAAACAAUAUUUUUAUGAAUGUAAAUUCUAAUACGGACAAAGCUUUUUAUUAAAGAUAUUUCUCCGAACCCUCCCAUCAUACUGGUGAGACUCGGAGGCAUCCUUUCACCUAGGAAUUUUUCUGAAGGAACUUGCCUUCGCAAACUCUUUCAAAAAGUUCCACCAUCGGGGCUUGGAUUCAUGUACAUCAUACAUCUAUAUGCCAUGACACUUAACAAUGCAAUAAUGAUGUGUAAUAUGCUUUUAAAUUUCAAUAUUUGUUUCUUAAUCUUCCUACAACUCCUUUGAUAUUUCUUUGAAAUUCUUUUUAUUGUUCUUCUUUGUAUGUAUAUAUCUCAUGGAUAAUAUAUGUUAUAUUUAUUAUUUAUUAUUUUAUUUUUUUCAUUAAAGUAUUUAUAUAUUGUUGCUCUAUGAAUUUUCCUUUUUACCUAAAUACUAUUUCUUUUUAAACCAAAAAUCUCAUUUCAUAAUUGUUAUUUAUGUGUAUAUAUUUUUUAUAAAUCAAUUACGUUUCUACUUUUUAUUAACCUAACCUAUUUUCUUUUUGACUAGCUAUUUUUUUAAUCUUUUCUCAUCAAUCUAUUUUAUAUUUGCCUUUCAUAUUUUAGUUGUAUUGGCUAUUGUGAAUUUACCAUCAUUGAGAGUUUUAUUAUUUUAUUAUUAUUUAUUCAUUACCUUCAUUAUUUCUUUACUUCUUUUGUUUUAUAUUUUUGUUUGAUUAGUAAUUAACUUAAUACAUUUUUCAUUCACUUAGAAUUGUAAAUAUCAAGAUUUAGAAUUAAAACCUUCCUAUUAUACUGGUGGGAUCUUAAUCGAAAUCUCUUACUUAGAAAAAUUCAUCUAAUGUUGCAACUUCAUGCACUCCAAAUAACUAUUUCAUCAGUGGUUAUUCUAAUAAUAAUGUAACUUUUUUUUACCAUCAUGUUCACUAUCAUUCACUAACUUUGAAACCAUUAUAUUUUAUUUAAUAUACACUCCAAAAUUUAGAGAAAUGAGGGAUAUCCUUGCACAUAUAUUUCUUUAAUUUUACUAAACCAUAUAUCUAUUUUAUUUUUUCAUUGUUGUUGACAAUAUUAAUACUAAUUUUAUCAUUUUUCUUGUUUAAAUAUUUUUUCUAAAAAAAAUACUAAUCAACAAUAUUAAAAAUACAAACACAUAAAAGAAUUAAGAAAUAAAAAAAAAACCCAUACAAAAUAAGUGUAAGUGACCCAACACAUAAGUCCUAAAUAACAAAACACAAACGGAACACAUACCUUUUGAUCUAUCAAAGCCCAAAUUCAAUUGUAUCUUGUCAAUAAUGUGAGAUCAUAGGCUAAGCUCCCAAGGACAAAGACAAGGGCUUGUUUCAGGGUUGUUUCUCCAAGCCUAACUAGAAUCAUGGGCUUGCCUUAAAGGCUUUACAAACUGAGCUUAAAGGAAAGGGAGACGGGCUUAGUCUGCUUCAAGUCCUAAAGGCACCACUUGGUGCUGCAGCUUAAAGAAACAAAAGUAAAAAAGGAAAGAAAAUUUGAAAGCAAUGCCGUUUCAAUCUCCUCCAAAGCCCAACUAGAACACCGGUUUCUCCAAAUUUUUGGACAAUCAGAAGCCUUCAAGUUCAAAAAAAAUCCACUGAAAAUGAUUUCAAGUUUCCGAUUGCCCGAGGAGCAUUCAAUGCUCUGUAUAUUGUUGACAAUGGAGGCCAAGCGUGCUUCUAGCUUUUUUUUUCUUUUUAAAUUUUGGUUUAAUUUAUUUAUUAAUCAUUAUUAAGAAAGGUGUCUNGCUUUUUUUUUCUUUUUAAAUUUUGGUUUAAUUUAUUUAUUAAUCAUUAUUAAGAAAGGUGUCUACAAUAUAUAAUAUAUAUAUAUAUAUAUAUAUAUAUUAAUAUAUAUUAUAAACAUCUACCAGCCAACUACAAAUUCACUGAAUGAACUACUCAAAAUGCUGUUUUUCUGGAUUGAUCCUUUCAUAGCGUCACCAAUUACAAGAAUUAAGCAAUGUUAUGUGCUCAAAGUAAAAUCAUUGCCUUGUAUGUGUGUGUAUAUACAUGUACACAUGUACAUACAAUCAUGUCUAUAUGCAUAUAUCUUAUACACACACAUAAAUACAUCCAUUAGAACAAGGUUUGACCUAAAGAUCCCUACCUAAUUAUUCAAUACUAUCCUACCACUUGAGCUAAACUUGAGUGGCACCAUUCCAGGAGUUCUCUUUUUACUUUCCUUUGAUUCCCUUUGAUAGCCCCAAAUAAUUCACAAAUGGCUCAAAAGGACAAAUACUCUCCUGCCCUCAAGCUGCUUCAUCAUGUUUUAACUCCCACCACUCACCAAGGAGAACUGCAAGCUCCUGAACCAGUAGGACAUCUAUGUACCCUUUCACCCGAAUUUAAAGGAAAGACAAACUCACUCUGUUAUAUGAGACAGGGAGUAUCAUAUACAUUCCAACUAAACCAAGACAGACUGCUUCAUUUGUGCCGUUUCAUGCCCUUAUAUAUGCAGAAGGAAAAGGUCAAAUCAAGCUUAUGAUGAUUGCUUGCUCACCACCCUCCCUCCUAAUAUGCAGGGAUGAUUUGAGCACAACACAUGCCAUAGAAGACAGAUGUAACUGCCAAUAUGAGAUCAUGCCUCAACCACAAAGAUUGACAUUAAAGUACAACUAUUCAACCUCUAGCACACUGGAUAAUCAGGAGACUUGGUCCAGUUCUCAUCUGCCAGACCUGUGCAUGAUGUGGUCAAGUAAAGAUGUUCAGAUACUCAACCACUCAUUAAAAAAUGGAUGUAUAACUUCCAUAUCAAGUACAAAACAGUAAAAAUUACAGGUUUUUUUUUUUGGCUAAAUGUGAGCUCUACUAAAUGAAGUUCUAAGAGCUGCACAAUGAAAACCAUCUAGAGAAGUACUAUAGUUUUCACUCUCCAACAACACAACUUAGUCUACAACAGCAAAGCCGAAAAUCUGUCAAAUGUAUAUCCUGAAUAGAGGAAAAAUUAGUUACAUUGAAUCCACGUAUGAAAGGAUUAAAUUAAGAUGUUUGCUUAUGGAGUGAACAUAGUUUAGGAUAAUCUGUCAAUCCGUUCACACAAUUAGAGUAAUAAGUCAAUUCAUGCCCACUAUUAUUUUCACUACAAUUCUAUAAUAAUUCAAUCCCAACUAUCUUUAGUGUAACAGUCCACUUGUAUGUAGCGCCUAUGCACCCCAUAAGCAAGGAUGAUUAGAUGAUAUGGACUCACUACUAAAUAGUAAUGCAUCGUUAUCAUUGUGACGAUAAAUGUUGAACAAAUGACUUCAUCUCGGGCAAAUGAUUGAGGCUUCUCUUCUGACUUCCUGUUUGACGUUUGUUCACUCUGCCAUAUCAUUUUAGAGAAAGAACCACUUGUGGAACAUGUUGCAGACACAACUUUUGACAAAAUAGCUCCUACCAAGGAACGGUUCCUAUCUUCUGAGAGUCUUGAACAUAAUUAAACAAAAGUUUAUCAAUAACGCAGCAAAAGAAAAGAAAACGAGAAGCUACCCAUGAAAGAAUCCGUUCUUGUAAUGAAAGAUAAAUCAUAUUAUAUUUCAAAAUGCAAUGAGACUAACCUGAAAGCUGAGAUCAAAGCAUCAUCUCCAAUGGUGACUGCACAUUAGUAACGUUGACUUGACUGCCCAACAAUAAAAAAAGCAGCUGAAUUCAAAUACCAGAAUAACUUCAGAAAGCUGCACGAUAGUAAUGUUGCAGGCACAACUUUUGACAAAAUACCUCCUACGAAGGAAUGUGUUUCCAUAACUGGUAAUCUACCAUAAGAGUUUCCUAUAUCCUCUAAAUCUUUCUUUGGUUUCUGAUCCCAAAAACGAGAAUGUGUUUCUUGAAAUGACCUUUGAAGCGUACUCGACAUUACUCAUUUAAGUUAGUUAUCUAAGUUGGUCAAACACGUACACAAAUCUAAUGCUUUGCUUCUGCAUGAGAUAAACAGGCAAGGCUCUUGCCAUGUUUCAAAAUAACUAUUACACAUUUAAGCAGGGAACUCACCUGAAUAUCAGACACAUCAAAACGUGCAAUCACGCCAGGUAUGACAACACAAACCUCCUCUGAGGAUAAAUCUUGUGUCAUAUCUUUCUUACUUCCACAGACUCUUAAGUUUACAACGUGUCUUGGAUAUACCAUCUAAAAUCAAAAAUUAAACUAAUAAGUUCACCAUUCGAAUAACGAUUUAUCUCUAACUUAUUUCAACUUAAUAACUUUAGAUCCAACUGAUGUUAACAUAAGAAGACUUCAUUCGGCUCAUCAGUUAAAAAACACAUUCAACCUAUAAGUUUACAUGAAAAUCUACAAAACACACCAAAUUAUGUUCAUUUCACUUUGCACUUUCUAAAACUGUAUCAUCCAUUGAAGGUAAAAUUAAAAAACUGAACACAUAAAUAAAUCCAGCAUUCAAUAAAUACAUCAAGCUAAGCAAACGAAAAAAGCAAUCAUUUUUGAAGAAUGAAAAAUGAAGAUGUAACUUAUUUAGAUAAUGAAAUGCAUAAUUCUACUUUUAUAUGAGGUAACUAAUUAUUCCAGUCAUUGUUCAUUUAAUCAAUUACAUAAUUUUGCUUCAAAGUAAACUUUCAAGCAAUAGCAAUAACAACCAAACCAAACUCAAAACACAUAAAAAGAAAAAUUACCUGUCUAUGAAUCAAAUCACCACGCAAAGAGUAAACCAAGAUAAAAGGAAAGUGGUGCUGGCGUUGGCGAUGAGGAUAAGAGAUCGGUUAGCGAUGGCGAGACAAUGAGCAUCGAGAGCACAGAGGAGAGAGGUGCUGGCGUUGGGGGCAGCGCCGAACUCGGACAAGUCUUCGUAGGCGAUGCAGCCGAGAUCCGUCAAGUGACGAUGGCUCUGUUUCGACAUUGCGUCGGGCUUCCGGGUUUCUUUUUUCUGUGUCUCUUGUCUCUUUGGCAACUGACAUUACGGAUUGGAAAGGAAAGAAUUUUGUAUAUGAAAGGAAAGCGGUGACUGUGGGAUCCACGUGUAUGGUUGGGAAGAAAAUUCAGAAAAUUAAUUAAAAAUUAAAAUGAAUGCAUUGGAACGUUUUUAUUUUAUUUAAAGUCUUCCAAAUUACAACAUUUUCAAUACAAAUCCUAAAUUCAUCAGGAAAAAAAUAUAUAUAUAUCUUCUUCAAAACUUGUCUAUUCCACAUAAACUUCAAAUAAAUGCUGCUGAACAUGAAUAGCAAAUUAUCCACUAAGAACACCUGGAAUUGUUCAAACCACUACCAUGGAAAAGCCAGAUGCUAGAGAAACAGGGUCCAUUGGAUUCGGUUCGUAAGCUACCUUGACAAAUAGAAAAAAAAAAACAAAGGAAAAAUCAAUUAUAGAUUACAAAAGCAACGAAAGCUUUGUUGUAAUUCUACUUUGGUAAAAAAACUCACCUAUGCAUGAUGUGGAUGUAGUGCUAGUUUCUUCUUCCUCUGUUUCUGCUAAUCCACUUUGUAACAUUGUUUUGCCAAUCUCUCUCAACCAUUCUGAUAAACCACCAUGGUCUUGCUGUUGUGAACACAAUGUAUCCCAUGCUCAAUCCUAACACCACUCCACAUCCGUAGCCCAUCAUUACAACUUUCCAAAUAAAGGCUAUUUCAGAACCUUCAUCUUCCUUAGGCAUUGGUACCGGUGGUUUUGGUUCCUCAUCAUUGCCGCAUUGCUUUGACAGGUGGAGGCCACACAAUCCCAAGUUACCACUAUAAGAAUCACUCUCAAAAGUAUCAAAUUGAUUCCCACCGGGAAUUGGUCCGGUAAGAGCAUUUUGUGAAAGAUUUAACACUGCAAGGAAUGUCAGCUUCGUCAAUUGGGAAGGAAUUCUGCCACCGAGCUUGUUUGAUGAGAGAUCUAACGAUUCAAGUGCUACCAUCUUUCCAAAAGAUGUUGGGAUAGGACCAAUUAAAUGGUUGUUAGAGAAGUUGAGCGCUUGGAGCGAAAUAAGUUCUCCGAGUUCCUUAGGAAUUUGUCCAUAGAAUAAAUUGCUCGAAAAGUCUAUAGACAUGAAAAUGUCUAAGGUUCGUGCUAACUCCAUCUCCAAUCUUUUCAUUGUUACAUUCACAGAAACAUUCAUAGAAAUUUGCUGAUAGACACUUACAUAUACUUUUCCACCUUUGGCUAUGCAAUCCUGAUAGCAGUAUUUAGAACUUUUUUGAAGGGGACCAUCAGUGUCACCUGUAACGUCAAUAUACCCCCGUGAGCUUGAACCCUGAUAAUGCAUAUACCCCAGUGAGCUUGGAUUCUGAUGUCUCUUUUGAGGUUCAUCUUUCAUUGCUCUCAAAUUUUGGAAGAAUUUUGUUGGCAAGGGGCCAGUGAGCUCAUUAUGAGAGAGAUCAAUUAUUUGCAACGAGGAGAAGUUAGACGAAGCUAUGGAAUUGGGCAUGGGACCAUACAAUCUAUUAUUUCGCAAAAGAAGAACUUGUAGCUCAGGAAGUGAAGCUAACCAAUGGGGAAAGGUAUCAGUAAACUUGUUGUUCCUUAAAUUCAAAACUUUCAAAGAACUACAAUUAGCCAAAGAUUGCGGCAAUAAUCCUUCCAAUUGGUUGUCAUUAAGGAGAAGAUAUCUCAACUGAUCAUUUGUAAAAGAAUCAGGGACUUUGCCAUAAAAAUUAUUCAUCUCCAAAUUCAAGAACUUGAGAUAAAUGCUGAAAUUUCCAAUAUAAUUUGGAAUGGUUCCAUUCAAGUUAUUUCUAGACAAGUCAAGAAACACAAGUGAACUUUGAUCGCGAAUCAAAAGAUUUGACAGAAUUGGCCCUUGAAGCAAGUUGGAUCGAAGGUCAAGAACUCGAAGAUUCUUUCCUGGAAAUUGCUCCAAAGUGGUCAAAGAGUUAUUAGAAAGGUGCAACUCGAGCAAGCUUUCCCACCCUUCUGCUUCCCAUUUGGAAAUUCCACCACAAAUCUUGUUAUAGGAAAGAUCUAAAAUCUCCAAAUUUGAUUUUUGAAAGAAACUUGGGAAUUGUCUUAUGCUACAAAAAGAGAAUGACACAGUAGCAAGCUGGGGGAAGGAAUAGUUUGCAUCAUUACCGCCUGUGCUUAAUGAUAGUAAACUAUUAUUAGAAAGAUAAAGAUGGGAAAGAUUUUCGAGUUUUGCAAGCAUAUUUGACUUGAUGACACCACUCAAGUUGUUUGAUGAAAGAUCAAGUUUUUCAAGGUUCACAAGAUCAAAAAAAAAACUGGGUAUUGGACCAUGAAUGUCAUUAGAACUCAAAUCAAUGUUUCGGACAGAAUUAGGCUUCUGAAUUUGGUCGAUUGGGCCGGUGAGUUUAUUAUGGCUGAGAUCUAAAUCUUGCAACGAUGGCAAAGUAAACAGCCAAGAUGGUACUCCACCACUUAUUAGGUUAUUAGAUAACCAAAAUCCUUCUAGCAAUUGAAGCUCACUAACAUGAUUUGGCAGUGGACCUUCUAAUUGAUUAUGUGACAAAUUUAGUAGGGUAAGUUGUGUGAGGUUGAACAUAGUUGUUGGAAGUUGACCACUAAAAUUGCAAGAAUCAAAUUUCAAAGUAGUUAAUCUGUUAAGGUUUUCAAAAGCAUCUGGAAUCUGUCCUUCAAAAUCAUUUUCAGAAAAAUCUAAAAAGACAACUUGAGUGAGAUUUCGAAAUGAUGCAGGAAUUGAGCUAGAGAAUCCAGAACGAGAGAGAUUAAGAUGGGUCAAACUCACUAACUUAUUAAAUAACUCUGAAGAGAUAGAGCCAUCGAAAUUGUUGUGAGCAAGGUUGAGUUGUUGUAGUCCUUGAAAGUGGAAGAGGCUGCUGUCUUCAAGAAGAGAGCCAUGAAGGUUGUUGGAACUGAGAUUGAGCCAUUGAAGUCUUUGAAGGUGGAAGAGGCUGCUGUUCGCAGGGAGAGUGCCGUUAAGGCAACUGUUACUAAGGUCGAUGCCAAUGACAUGACCCGUCACCGUGUGGCAAAAGACUCCAUCCCAUGAACAGCAAUCCGUGCUUUCAUUCCAAGAAUUUGUCCUUGGGCAAUCAUCACAAUAAUGAUCCAAAGAAAUGGUGUUUUUGAAUUCAAGCAAGGCAGCUCUCUGUUCUGGGAGGCAUAAAUGAGCCGAAUCAAGAAAAGAGGAAGAGAAACUCAAUAAACAAUGGACCUGGAAAUGCAAGAACGCUAAAAGCAGGAAAAGGAUUGGAUACAACAUCCUAACUACCUUUCCUAUGUUUUCUCGAGAAAAAGGAAGUUACGAAACAAGGGUAGUCGAAAAAGGGCAAGCUAAGGGGGUGGAACUGAAAAUGAGUUGUGGUUGAGGUUGAGGGACAUUAAUUAUAAAUGAAGUACCUGAGAAGUGGAGACAUCUCUUUUUCAAGUCUUUGCAAAAUGUUUAUAUUAAUGAAUUUCCAGUCAAGUCUUGUCAACUUGAAAAUUUAUGUCUGGAAUCAAAAUUAAAUUAACGGAAUAAAAAGGAAAAGUGUAUGUACCGAGUGUGACAGGAUGGCACUAAACAAUAUUAAAAGAAACUUCAAGAUGAUAGAAAGGAGAGGAAUCGGUAAAUUGCUGGAAAAGUGUACACGCAUAUUUUUCUCAUCAUUCCAUUGCAUUUUCAAGUUCAAAAGCACCUACUAAAAGUUAGAGUAGCAUUAUUUUUCCUUAUAUUUUGUUUUUACUAUUUAACUCACCUGCUAAAAAAUUUAUCAAUUUUUGAUAAGUCAAUUUAUUUGUAAACACAAUGCUCAAAAUUGAAUCAAUUUAUGAUACUUCGAUAAAUAGUACAAAACAAACGACAAGUAAGAAUUAUACAAAAAGAAUAUUGAAUAUUGUUUUGAAAACAAUCCAAAAGAUUGUGACAUGAACUUUGAAACAAAAAGAUUAAUAAAAUUGAUCAUAUAAGUGACAAUUCAACUGUGAAAACUAUCAAGUCAAAAGGAAGAUGGAAAACAAUUCAUUUCUCCUUAGUUCUCUUAUAAUUAUUAGUAUUUAUUAUCAUGUGUGUUGUACAUAAAAUUCUUUAAGUUUCAUGAUGUGGAAGAUGAGAUUUUUUUCUUAAUUGGCAUAUAAACACUGAAUUUUAAUAAUCUUGUAAUACAAUCUAAUGAAAAAAACUAGAAAAUAUGGGAUUCUUUUUGGUUUUUUAACAAAAAAAUUAUGAUAUUUUUGUUGGUCUUAUAUUCCAAAAAAAAUUUAUUAACAGCAAAAAGAAAAGUAUAUUGAAAGAAUGAAAUUUGAAAAGCCAAAAGAAUAACAAAAAGAAGCAUUAUAGGCUCAAUAUAUUUUUUAUCCUUAAUAACAGCUUAAGGGUAAUAAAAUAAAGAAGAGAGGUAGAUUUAAAAAGAUUAAAUUAUGUAAUUAAUUUUUAUAUUUUAUAAAAAAUAUGAAUUUAGCUUUUAUAUAAUAAUUUGUGAAAAAUGUGGAUUUAGGGAUGGUGAGAGAGAGCAUUUUUUGUUUGGCUUGUGAAUACAAAAUUAGACUUCUAACUAGUAAACUAUCACUUGCAAUGAUGAUAAACUACAAGUCUACGAAUAAACUAGAACGGACUUAGCUUCUUCUUCUUUUUCUUUAAAGGCAGAGAGGAUUUAACUUAAUUGUAAACAAGUAUCAUAUUUGUCAAAGAAGUUAUGAUUACAGGUCUUUAUGAAAAGGAUUUCGAGGGCACGCAGACAAACAGGACAUGUCCUGAAAGCAGCUAAAAGGGUAAAAUAAGUGUGUAGUUGAGGAUUUUCGCCAAUCUUUUUUGUUAAUUGGUUGUUAAUUGUUUUUCCCUGAUCUUUGUAGUUAAUCUCAUUUGAUUUAGGACUAAGAUGUUUGUCUCCCUCUAUUCGAUUGUUAACAUUUUUUGUCUCCUAAUUUUUUUUUAAUCUCAUUUAAUUUAAGGUUAAGGUAUUUGAGAUUAAAAUUUGAUGGAUUUUUGUCCAUUGAUAUCCACAACAUUUUUGCCACAUCAGCAAGUGCACAUCAACAUUUUCACCAUAUCAACAAGUGCCAUGUUAGCAAAAUGCAUGUUAUCUGUUCAAUCAAUGCCAUGUCAACACAUAAUCAACACCAUUUACAUUUUUUUUAUAAAAUAUAGAGACUAAUUCUAAAAUUUAAUUAUUUAAAAAUUAUUUUUAUAUAUAUCAUCACUGAAAAUUUUUAAACCUGUAAGCAGAGUUAGAAAGUUACCAUGUAUCACAUAUUAAAUUAAUAGACAAAUUAAUAUAAUAAAUAAAUAAAUACAUGAAAAUAUUCUAAUUUUUUUUUGUUAAAUUUAAGAACUCAACAGGGGAUGAUAUGUAGUCCAAAAAAGAUAGUCUUUGUUUACAUUGUCAUGCUUUAUACACAGUUAGUCUUCGGCAACUUUCCCAGCAAUUACUGAUUGCUUCAAAUGUGGGAUAUGCUUUUGCUUUUCUUUGGUCUUAAUUAAUUAAUUUACUUCGAAUUCCCAUUACAUGCUUAGCUUUUGUUUGAUCUUUAAUUAAUAUAUUUACCAGGACUCUUCAGCUGAUAUGACUUCUCUUUUCUAGGUGUUGGGUGUUAAAACAAUGAAAGGGACCUCCUUCCCACGAAUUGGGUCCUAAUAAAUCAAGCUUUUUUACUAUCGCAAAUAAUUAUUUAAGGCUUUGUUUUCCUAAUAAUUUAAUGGUUUCGAACAAACCAAGACCAAGUCAUGACUCUCUUUCAAAGUAAAUCUUAAAAUGUUUCUGUAGACAUAAUUCCUGAGCAUAUAAUUUCUUAAGCAUGCUACUUGAAUUGCUAGUUUCUUCAUCCUCCAUUACUAUUAUAGGUGAUUAUAUAGGUGCAUUCCAUGUAUAAUUUUAUGUGUUUGAGAAAGUACUUCUAGGAAAAAAAUAGUAAUGAGAACAAAAACAAAUAAUUUUUUUCCUUUUCUCCCUCAAGAGCAAUUUUUCUUUUAAAAGUGAUUUUUUUUAAAAAAAAAUGAUUUUAUUAACAAUAAAACCAAUAUGCCAUCCGACGUCUCUACACGAUUGCUAAAGACUUCUGUUAGCAUAUAAUUCUAACUUCUGCGUCAUCAAGACUUAUGAGAUCUUCUCAUGUAAAUCCUUACAAUUGAUAUUAUAGCAGCAUAAAACCAUGGAGGACCAAUUAGGAAUUCAGUGGAAAAGUGAUGACAGCAAUAAAUAAUUUUAUCAUCUAUGGCAAGGUUGUUAAAUGUAACCUUUAUCAAGUUUAAAGGAUUUAUAUAUAUAUAUAAUUAAAGGAAGGGAAAUUCGAAUCUUACUCUUUAGGUAAGAGAUCAUGCAUCAAUUAAUAAGUCAAUGUUUAAAUGUUUUAUUAAGUCUAAAAUUAUUUUUAAUAAAUUCAUACAUUUGAUUCAUUGAUUGACACAAUUAAAUCAAAUUUCUUUUUUUUCAAAUAAAAUAAAAUAAAAAUAUAAAACGAAUAAAAUAGUUUUUUGUCAUAUAGAAACGCAUCAAUGGCUGUCCAGUUCACAUUUUAGAAAGCCAUUUUGAUGGGAGGUGGGGGUGCAACUUCAAUUGUCCUUUCCAAGAAAGCACCAGCAACAUCACAAGAUAUGAACUAGUAAUUACACAGCUUCUUAAUGUUCCAUAACUGGUAUUCUAUUUUUUUUUCCUUCUGGCUAUUCCAAAACGGAAUCUGUUGCUUGAAAUUACUGUUGAAGCAUACUGUUACUGUAGGAUACCAGAUGAGGGAAAAAUUAUAGUCAUAAUUUAAUUUUAUAUUUUUUUAUAUUUAAAAAAAAAAAUUACAAAAUUUUAAUUUUUUUGAAGUAAAAAAUUAUGCACCAACUAAUGAAUUAAAUGUUCAAGUGCGAUUUUGCAAUGCUUUGCUCUUACGUCAUAUCAUAAUUAACACUAUCUGCAUUCAUGUCUCGUUCCAAUUUCACCAUCUUGAUUUUUUUUAUUUUUUUUUCAAGAAAAAGAGAGAUAACUUAAAAGUAAGAAUCUAUGUCAAAAGCAAAACGUGUGUGACGGGAUGGUACUUUUUUUUUUAUGAAAAGUGUUGAUUUUAUUGAGCCAGCGUUCAACCUGCCACUUCAAGUCUUUAGUCUUGAUUGACUAAAGACUCUUGGUGGCAUAAAAGUUGUUUUAGCUGGAUAAAAGCCUGUACACUUGUGAACAUAAAGAGAUCUACCCAAAGGAAAAUUGGCAUGACAUUCCCUGAACAGAAUCCAGCCCUGAAAACAAAAGCAUCCUAAAAUCAACCCGAUUCCAGACAGCAAGACCCUCCCAGUGGUUACAAAAGAGCACUCCCACCGCAGAGAUCCCCCUCGGAGGAUGCCGAUCAUCUCAACGCAAGCAAGAAGUCCCAAAGAAGUGAUCAAAAAAGGACAUGUGAGAAAACCACACCAAACUUAACAAUAUUAAAGGAAAAGCUUCAAGAUGAUAGAACGGAGAGGAAUCUAGAAAUUGCUGGAAAAUUUUAUAAGCAUGUUUUUCUCAUCCUUGCAUUGCAUUUUCAAGUUAAAAAGCACCUACUAAAAGUUAGACUAGCAUUAUUUUUCUUUGUAUUUUUUUUGCUAUUUAACUCACUUGAUAAAAAAAUUAAAUAAUUUAAAAAUAAGAUUUAUCAAUUUAUGAUAAAUCAAUAUAUUCAUAAAUACAAAUAUUCAAUAUUAAAUCAAUUUAUGAUUCUUUUGUCAUUGAUAUAAAACAAAUGAAAAGUAAAAAUAAUACAAAAACAAAAUUGAAUAUUGUUUUGAAAACAAUACAAAAGACGGUAAUGUGAACUUUGAAACAAAAAAAGUAAUAAAAUUGAACAUAUAAGUGACAAAGAGAUGAUAAUUGAAAUAAACAUUUAAUUUUUGUUCCUUUUUAUUAACAAAAAAUUAAACUAAACUUCAUGUUUUAGUUGUAUAACUUUUAAAAUAGAUUAAACAUAAAAAAUCAGAUAGUUGAAUUGAAAAUUUUCCUAAAAUGCCCCGUUUGUUGGAGUUUCUGAUUUUACUUCUAAAAUUAAUCCAUAAUUUUCUGUUCAAUUUUUUUAACAGAAAAAUGCAGCUAUGAAAUCAUUUUUGUAUGUAGUUGAGGUAAUUAAAAAAUUAAAAAUUUAUUGAAUAAAGGAACUUCUUAUUAUAGAUUGCAACAAAUUCAGGUCAUCUUCAGAACAACUUUAAGAAAUUGGAAUGAUUAUUAUUAUUAUUAUUAUUAUUAUUACAAUUAAAGUGAGGGCCAGAGGGAGCUUUUUCUGUUUGUUUUUUUCCAAGAAAAAGAGAGAAAGCUCAAAAAGGAAGAAAUUCAUUUCACAUGCAAGAAGCCGUGUGUGACAAAACUAAAACCACUUUCACACACAAUCAAACUGCAUUUGCAUUUUCACCUUAAAACCACUUUGCUAAAACUUGAAAAGGAAAAGCAUGAAAGCGUCUUCACUCUUUCAAACAGUUUUUUCUCAAAAGAUUGGGCCUGCUACUCUUCACUCAACAAACUUAAUUCAGUCUUGCAUGGAUCCUUAGCUGCAAAAUUAAACAAAAUGACAAGAAGAGGCUAUGAAAUUAAAAGAAUAUAUACAAGAAAUACAGUAAAGAAUAUAUAUUAUUAUAUAUGUUUAAUGGCUUAUGAAUAUGAUAAUAUAGAUUCCUCGAUCAUCAUUUAUGCAUUUAAAUUAUUUAAUUAUUUAUAUUAUUUUAAUGUUUCAAUGUUAACAUUUUUAUUUAUAAUCACUAUUUAAAUUUGAUUGAGGAGUUUUAAAUUUUUUAUAUAAUGUAUAGAAUAAAGAUUCAAUUUGUAUAUACCUAUUUAAGUAUAUUAAAUUGUGGUUCUUGCCCUCAAAAUUAGAGAUCAAGAUUCUUAUUUCAAAUUAUUAUAAUGAAAGUAUGUACUACUACUUUUUCCAUUUAAUUUUUAAUUUAGAAUAUCUAAAUUAAACAAAAGGUUAACAUUAUUUUGAGUUGUUUGUAUUUUUUCCCUUUUCAUUUCUUUAUUAUUUUUUCAUUCAGUAUUUUUUUUUCUUAAUUGGCAUAUAAACACUGAAUUUUAAUAAUCUUGUAAUACAAUCUAAUGAAAAAAAUUAGAAAAUAUGAGAUUCCUUUUGGUUUUUUUACAAAGAAAAUAUGAUAUGUUUGUUGGUCAUAUAUUCAAAAAAAAUUAUUAACAGCAAAAAAAAAUGUACAUUGAAAGAAUGAAAUUUGAAAAGAAAAAGAAUAACAAAAGAAGCAUUAUAGGCUCAGUAUAUUUGUUAUCCUUAAUAAAGCCUUAAGAAUAAUAAGAUAAAGAAGAGAAGGUAGAUUUAAAAAUUAUUUUUGUAUACAUCGUCAAUGAAAUUUUUAAAAUCUUCAAGCAGAGUUAGAAAGGUACCAUGUAUCACAUUUAAGUAUAUUAAAUUAAUUAAUAAAUUAAUAUAAUAAUAGAAACAUAUAAAAAUAUUUUAACUUUUUGUUAAAUAUAUAGUCCAAAAAAGAUAGUCUUUGUUUACAUUUUCAUGCUUUAUACACAGUUAGUCUUCGCAGCUGAUAUGACUUCUCUUUUCUAGGUGUUGGGUGUUAAAAUAAUGAAGGGACCUCCUUCACACUAAUUGGGUCCUAAUAAUUCAAACUUUUUUAGCAUCACUCAUAAUUAUUUGAGGAUUUAUUUUCCUAAUAAUUUAAUGGUUACGAACAAACCAAGGCCAAGUCAUGACUCUCUUUCAAAGUAAAUUUUAGAAAUGUUUCUAUAGACAUAAUUUCUGAGCAUAUAAUUUCAUAAGCAUGCUACUUGUAUUGCUAGUUUCUUCAUCCUCCAUUACUAUUAUAGGUGAUUAUAUAGGUGCAUUACAUGUAUAAUUUUAUGUGUUUGAGAAAGUCAUUCUAGAAAAAAAAAAACAUAAUAAUAAUGAGAACAAAACCAAAUAAUUUAUUUUUUCUUUUAUCUAUCAAGAGCAAACUAUUUAUGGAAGUUGCGUGGGAUCUCCUCAUGAAAAUCCUUACAAUUGAUAAUAUUAUAGCAGCAUAUAUAAAACCAUGGAGAAUAAAGGAAUUUAGUGGACAAGUGAUUACAACAAUAAAUAAUUUUGUCAUUUACAGCAUGGUUGUUAAAUAUACCCUUUAUCAAGCCUGAAGUUGCUUUUAACGCAUUCAUACAUAUGAUUCAUUAUUUGACGUAAUUAAAUCAGAUUGCUUUUUCUUUAAAUAAAAUAAAAUAAGAAAGAAGGAAAAGGGGCAACGUAUUGUCUUGUCAGAUAAAAAAGCAUCAACCAUAUUGUCUAGUUCACAUUUCAGAAAAGCCAAUUUUCAAUGGGGGGUGGGGCACAGUAGUAAUUUUCUCAAAAAGGCAUAAAUCAUAUUUAUCAAGAACAAGAUAUGAACUUGUAAUCGCACAGGUUGUUAAUGUUCCAAAACGGAAUCUGUUGCUUGAAAUUACUAUUAAAGCAUACUUUAGGUUUAGGAUACCAGCUGAGGGAAAAAUUAGUCAGAACUUCAUUUUGCAAUGUUUUGCGAUUGCUCCUGCAUCAGAUCAUAGUUAAUACCAUCUUGGUUCAUGUCUUAUUCCAACUACAAUAUUUAGUAGAUUAUUACUCCACCUAAAAGAAAGAAGUUUUUGAAGAAAAUACAAUACAAAUCAUUUUUAGUCUUCGUGAUUUGUGCUCUUUUAAGUUUUUAAGUUUUUUGUUUAGCGCAAUACCUUUUAAUCAUCAUAAUUGAAAGGUUGAAGAGAUAUUUUUUAUUGGCAAAGAAGUAAAACAAGGUUUUAACCAUCAUAAUUGAAAGGUUGAAGGGAUAUUUUAGCAAUUAAAACUUGAAAUAUAUGAAAGGUCUAUUAUUUUUUUAAUACAUUUAUCAUCAUCUUUUACGUGACUAAUAUUCAUUUAUAAAUUAUGAAUCUUUUGUAUGAAUGAAUUGAGUUUUAUGCAAGGUAAUGUAUCAAGAAAGUUAAUUGUUAAAUUUCUUUUGUUUUAGUUCUUUUAUGAAUAUUAAUAUUUAUUGUCACAUGUAUUGUAAGUAAAUACUUCCUUUCAAUUUUAUUUUCAAAUAACAAUUAUAUGUGAAAUAAAACUAUUUCUAAAAUAUAAAGUUAAUUAUCUAUAAAUAAAAGAUAAUUCAUGUUUUAAUUAUAUAUAAUUGAUAUUUUUUUAUUAUUAACCAUUAAGGUAUUCAAAACUGUUAAAAUUAAUAAAAAUAUUUUUGAAGGAAAAUCAUUAAAUAUAAUUGAAAAUCUUAUUUAUAAAUGAGAUAAAAUAUUAUUAUAUUUAUAAUGAAAAAUAUUUUUAAUCAAAGUUAUUUGAUGUGAUUAAAUUCUUACAAAUUAGAUAAAUUUUAUUAAUAUUAAUGAUAAAAAUAUUUAAAAUAAUAAUUUAAACAAUAUAAUAAACAAAUAUAAUUAUUUUCAUUGAUCAAGAAAUUAUUCUAACAUUCAUACUUAUAUAAUUAUAUAUACCUACCAGCCAACUACAGAUUACACGACUUGGGGGAUGUUAUUUGCUGAAAAUAAAAUCAUUGUCUUAUAUGUGUGUAUAUAUACAUGCACACAUAGACAUUCAAACAUGUCUAUAUGCAUGCAUCUUACACACAUAAAUACAUCCAUUAGAACAAAGUUAGACCUAAAAAUUAUCAUUCAUUGACCAAAAAACAAGUCAAGUUUCUUUAUCAAAUUAAGCCAUUUUUUUCCACUGCAUUUGCAUUAUCAUUCAUUGACAAAAAAACAAGUCAAGCUUCAAACAGGAUUCAAAGGAGAGGAGAUAGGAAAUUGCUGGAAAAGUUUUCCCAUCCUUCCACUGCAUUUGCAUUUUCAAGUUAAAAGCACUUUUCUAAAAGUUAAAAAGGAAAAAUCUUAUAGAAAGAAAAAGCAUGAAAGCGUGUUGAAUGUAGUUUUCAAUCUCUUUGAGACAGUUGUUUUUCAAAUGAUUGCAUGUAGUUUUCCCUUAACAAAUUUGUUAAAAUAAUUAUACAAAUUAUUUAGUUAGAGGUAUUAUACAACACUAUAAUCUGGUUAGAUUAUAAAUCUAGUUAACAAUUAUACUGUAAUACUAUUAGUUAAUUAGAGUUAAAUUAUGAAUAAAAUUAAGAUAACAUACAUAAUUUAGAUUUCCCAAUCAAAAUAAAAAAUGAGGAUAGGUUUAACCACAGAAAAAAAAACUCAUCCACUUUGUUAUUGCUUGAUAUCUUGAUCACGAACUUCGCUGCCACUUGAUAUCUUCACUUCAAAAAUCUUUUACUCUUCAAGAUUUUUGAAAUGUUCUGGAUCUUUGAAUGCUUAUGAAUGAAUCAAAUGGCUUUGAGGAGCCCCAUAUUUAUAGUGUUAGAUGAGAGACCUUGAUGAGGAUGUGGUCCUUUUGAAUUAUCUCUAAAUUAUUUUAAUUUAAUUAAAGGUGAAUUAUGAUGACUCAUUGAAAGUCUUUUGAUUGGCCGAACUAUGAGUCCUUGAAUUUUGAUUGGCCAAAUAUAAGUUUUAUCUCUAAAUUUACUUAGAGAUAAAUUAAAUAAUCAAAUUUGAUUUUUAUCUCUAAAUUAUCAUUCAUUAGAGAUAAAUUAGAUAAUCAAUAAUUAAAUUUUGAUUGAUCAAAAAUAUGAAUAUUAUUUUUAAAUUAUCUUGAUUUAUUUAGAGAUAAAUUAGAUGACCAAUAAUUAAAUUAUGAUUGGUCCAAAAUAUGAAUCUUAUCUCUAAAUUAUAUUGAUUUAUUUAGAUACAAAUUGGAUGACCAAUAAUUAAAUUUUGAUUGGUCAAAAAUAUGAAUAUUAUCUCUAAACUACAUUGAUUUAUUUAGAGAAAAAUUGGAUGACUAAUAAUUAAAUUUUGAUUGGUCAAAAAUAUAAUUUUUUUUUUUAUAAUUGUGGGAGGGGGAUUCGAACCCUGCUAUUUUAAGUAAGGGAUCAUGCCCCAACCAAUGAGCUAAAUGCUCAGGUGCGGUCAAAAUAUGAAUAUUAUCUUUAAAUUAUUUUUAUUUAUUUAGAGUCAAAUUGGAUGACCAAUAAUUAAAUUUUGAUUGGUCCAAAAUAUGAAUAUUAUGAAAUGCCCCGUACUUUGAUAUGGUGACAAAUAAAACUUAUCGGAUGUGAAUUGAGGUAUAAUAAGGUAUUUUGAGAACUAAGGUGUCAAACCCUAUUCUAUAAAAUAAUUACGACGUCAUUUACAUGCUCAAUAGAAUGUUUGCAUAUUUAGGAAGUUCGAGAAAUCGUUAAAAGACGAUAUUACCCCUAAUGGUACCAUUAAGUCAAUUAAGCCUCGAAUUAGUUCAAAUAGGAAUUUUAAGGUGAAAUUAAGAGUUUCACAGUUUAGGGGUGACUCAAAAUGGUAAUUCAGAGUUCGAGGAUCAAUUUGGAGUCAAACCGAAAUUUUCACUAUCUAGGGGCAAAAUGGUCAUUUUGCAAUUUGAGGACAAAAUGGGAAUUUUAGAAAAGAUUUUCUUAGCCCCAUUUGACAUGUUUGAGUAUGAUAUGAGUAUUGAAGUACAAUUGGAAGAUUUAGCAGUGAAAAAUAUGAGUUUGCGGUAUUUUUAGUAUAUAAGGGCAAAAUGGUAAUUUUACCACCCGAAAUUGAAAAUUUAAUUUUUGAAAGGAUUUUGAUCAAAUUUAAUUAUUUGGAGUGUGAAAUGAGUAUGAGGAGUGAAAAUUAUGCAUUAUGGCAAAUUUUCAAUUUUUGGGGCAAAAAAAAAGGUAAUUUUUGAAAAGUUCGGGGGCAAAAGUGUAAUUUUGAAAAAUUUACUCCACCAAAACUUUGAAAAAAUUUGAAAAUUUCACUUAAGACUUGGAUAAGUCAAAGGGAAUGCAUGGUGGAAAAAGUAGGACAAGUGGAUGGGUCAAAAAAAAAAGAAUUAAUAAAAUAUUCAAAAUAUGAAUAAACUAAUAAAAAGGCAUAAAAAAAUCAGCCCAUAACCCAUUCUUCUUCUUCAACAUUCGGCCAAGCAAGAAACAAGAGAGAGAAAGGAGAAAAUAAAACCCUAGCCAAGAAAUUUAAAGGGAAAAUUGGUGGAAAUUCAAAAAUCAAGCAAAAAAAAAGGUAACAUUUCUUAAAUUUGUCUUGUGCUUUACCUUUCCCAUGCAUUUCCCAUCAUUUUUCAUGGUUGAAUCAUGUGAUUUGAGGAUGAUUUCAAUUCUGGUCAUAUAUGUUAGUGUUUAGUGUUAGUUUAGCAUAUUUAUGAGUAAAACAACAAGAAAAAUAUUUAUUUUCUCCCUGAAUUUCUCUAGGCCGAAUCUAGCCCAUGGUAUGUGAGGAUGAGGUUGACUUUAUUUUAAGAGAAUUGGGUGGAAAAAUGAUGAAUUAUGAGGUUGAAAAUUAAAUGGGAAUUUUCGGUGCAAUAAAUUAAAAUUUUUACCCACUAGGGGUAAAAACAUAAUUUAUAGUCCGGACUGAUAAAUGGGACCAAAUUCACAGUCAUUGAGUUAUUGUGGAUAUAAUUGGAUAAUUGAAAUUGAAAUAGAUGGAAUUGGAGUUGAAUUGGGGAUUUUAGGAAUUUACACUAUGUAUAGGCGAGUUAGGUCGGACACCGCAAUUAAGCGAUUGUUUAGACAUUUCAAACCCUAUCUAGUGCAUACGCAUGGAUAAGAGCCUGAAAUAAUUUAUGAUAAAUUGACACAAUUUAUUGAAUUUUGUGUCAUGGAUUAUGGAUAGGUGGUGAGUCAAUUAUUUCGGGUAAGAGACUGCACCCGAGGGCAAAAGAUAGGAGUAUUUCUACUCCUAAUACUGUGAGUAACUUUAUCAUCAUUUUAAUUAUCUAAAGUAUGAUUUUAAUCGAUUUUGAUGGAAUUUUAUGAAAAUGAGUUUAAAUGGUUAAUUUUUGGUUUUACAAAUAAAAUAUGUUUAAAUAAAAUGAUUUUAUAAAUUGUUUUGAAACGAAAUAACGAUUUUGAAAAAUAGAGCAAUUGGAGACCACUGGUAUGUUGUAGAUUUAUGAUUUGAAUAAAUGGCUUAUGAUAAUAUUUUCAUGAAUGACUGAAUUGGUAUUUAUGUUGAAAUAUAUGAAAUGUGUAUUUAGCCUUGACAGGCUGUGAAUUACAAUAAUUGCCAUGUCAUGCUAGAAUGAAUUUUAUUGUAUGGUGGGUUAUUUAACUAGCCACUGCAGUAGGCGGAUUUUCGUGGGCCAGCCUAUUAGAGGGGCACGAUAAAUCCCGUUAUGUCUUACCUCGGUAUGAGAGGCGCGGGUGGAUAACUCCUGAGGCUAACAAUUUUAGAGUUCACUUCACGCCGAACCACCUCGUGAUGAUGAACUCCGCUAACGCCAAGGAACAGCUAUAUGUUUCAAAAUAAAAAUAUGAUUUAUGCGAAAUGUGAAUUUUUUUAACAGCCUUGACGGACUCGGUUGGGAUAGCCCUCGAUCAAGGUAUCCUUGAUAACUGAGUAUGAUAAUGAUUUCGACACGAGCUAAAGUUUUAAGAAGUUCGUAAGCCAUACUGAUUACUUGAUUUAAAUAAAUUGAUUUCAUUUGGUUGAAAUAAGUCGAUAAAUGAUAAAUUACUGUUUAAUGAAAUGUUUUUAUAGUCUCAUUUUACUCGCCUUUAGAUGUUUUAAAUUAUAUUUGUUUACUCACUGAGAUUAUAUAAUCUCACCACCCUCCUUUCCAUCAAUUUCAGGCUCAGGAUAGUCGGUAGAUAGCUCAUUUCAUCGAUGGUUACAAUUGGACUGGCAUCCUCAAAAUAUGUAGGUUUAUCUCUUUGGAUACUUUUAGUCGUUCAUGGGCCCACGUGUCACUGCAAAUUUAAUUUUAUACUUUGAUUAUCUGUAUUACAAUAUAUAUGAAUUUAUUUUACUUUUACUCUGUAAAAAUUAUUUAUGCAGUGUUCUUAAAAUAUUGUUUUAUGAGAAAAUUGAAUAUUUUAUUCAAUAUUUUUAUUUUAUACUAAUAGUCAUAAUUUCAUUUUAAACGAAUGUUUUAGACAUCCAAAAUUAUUUUUGAUUAUAAAAUAUGUGUUUUCCACUUACAUACUAUAUUUUUAACUAAUUUUGAGAUUUUUUAGAAAAAUGACUAAAAUGCCCAUGUGAGAAAAUUUUCGUUUUAUCUGUUUUAAGUUAGAAAUAGCUCAAAAUCCUUUAGAACAUAAUAUUUGGCAAUAGUUACUCACCGGGGAAAACGAAAAACUGAUAUUAAGCCUUGCGGGAUUCUGGAUGGCAUUUUGAGAGAUAAGUGCCCAUCGGGACACUACGACAGUUGUCACGGGCUUAAAGGGAGUUUCGGGUCGUGACAAUUUUAGUGGUAUAAGAGCUUUUUGUUUUAAAGAUAAGAGUUUUUGGUUUUAAAGUUAUUUUAAAAACUACAAUGUCAGUGUGGCCCAAGUUAAGUUAAGUUAGUUAGGUUAAAUCAGGUUAGGUUGAGUAGAAUAUAUGCAUUAGUAUAUACAGCCUGAGGUAGCGUAAACACGCUUUGUUUCCUCUUAUAGAUUAGUAUGCCUCCUCGAUACGAACACCCACCUCUCACUAGAUCGGUUGGGAGGAGAAGAGGUCGUUCCCAACAUCGUCAGCUAGAUCCUAUAGAGGGGGAAUCGACUGCGUCUACUAUUCGGGCAGCACCUACUGUUGAACAGACCAAGACUUUUCCACUUCCUCCGCCUUUUCCGCUAUCUACUAGUAUUCCUGCCAUGCCUCCUGAGGCAGUUCAGGCAUUGGCAGCCUUUUUUAUUACUCUUGCUGGCCAGGCUCAGGCUGGUCCAGCUCUUCCUACAGAUCCUCCAACUGCUCCUUCAAUACCACCACCCCCACCUCCUGUCCCACCACCAGUGCUGGAUGUUUCUAAUUCUAAAAAGCUUAAAGAGGCUAGGCAACAUAGUUGUGUUUCUUGUAUGGGUGAGUCAGACGCAACUGUAGCUAAAGAAGUGGUGCGAAUGGCUUUAAGAGUUGAGAAGCUUAUGAAUGAAAAUAGGAGUCUGCGAGCUGAGUUAACAAAAAGGAGAAAUCUGAAUGUAUCUUUUAGUCAGCCACCAAAGAGGGGCAAAGACUCCUCUAUUUCAGGAAGUACUACUACUGUUUUAGUGACAUAUCCUCAAUCUCCAUUUCCACAAUCACAGCAGAGACCUUCGAGGUUUAGCGGAUCUACUAUGGCUGGUUCUGGGAAGAGUUCUAGAGGUUCUCAUAGAUGCAAAAAUUAUGGGAAUUAUCAUGUGGGGCUGUGUAGGGGGCCUGCACGAUGUUUUUAUUGUGGUCAGCCGGGUCACAUUAGGAGUGACUACCCACAGUUAGGACGGGCUACGACAGUUGCUCCAUCUCCACCAGCUCAUACAGAUAUGUAGAGGAGAGAUUCCUCUAGAUUACCACCGAGACUGGGAUGAUUUUGACAUACCACCAAGGGUAGAUUAAAUAUGCUGAAAAUAGUGCUCUAAUAAAGUGCAUAUGAUAGAAAGCUAGUUUGUAAGUUGUAGUUUUCAUGAUCAUAAAAUAUAUAAGGAUUAUUAAUAUAUGGACAUACACUUGGAGUUGUAAAUUACAAGUUUGGAGUAUUUACGAUAUGAUUAAAUGGAAUUAGCAUUAGGCAAGGCAUGUAAAUCUUCUAAUUAAAUUCUGUGGAGUGUGCAUGAUAGUAGAAUGGAGGAACAUAGUGUCGUGAUACUAUAUGGUGAAGUUACUAUACAAUAUGGAAAAAGCAUUCUAAAUUGGGAUUUAUUGAUUGAUGAUAAGUGACGGGCAAUCUGAUGAUACAUGUAGCUAUGAAUAAAUUUGGAGAUUUUUGCUUAAGCAAAUUCGUACUAAAUGUUAUGGUAAAGAUAUAUGAAUGUUAGUGGCAAAAUAAAUACGUUAAAUCAAUGUUUUGAUUGUGCACUUGUGAUGGAAAGUUAGUCUUGCUAAUUGUGGUAUAGACUCAGAGGGAAGCCACACGAUUGUGAAUAAUUGAGGUAGUAACUUUAAAGGUAAAAGAGUUACAGGGAUAAAGUAAAUUCAAACAGUUGCAACGCUAUACUACUGAUUAUCAAACGCUGUCACGUUAAGAACGCCUUAUGGUUAGAAAGCAUGAGUAGACUAUGAGCGGCAUAAAGAUGAAACUCACGAGUUGAAAUAUGGCUAUUGGUUUUGAUGCUAAGCUUUGUUGUUUGGAGUCUUCAGUGCAUUAGGGAGGUAUUAAGAUAAAGAUGAUGAGUGAAAUUGUAAAGUUUCUUUAUUGCCUUAUAUAUUGGCAUGUAAGAGAAAGAAAAGUUAGAGAGUUUUUGAGAUGGUUACAUAAAAAAAAUAAUAAAUUAACAUGUGGAGUGUUAAGAUGAAUAAUAUGAUGAUUGAAGUCAAAUCUUAAGAAAUAAGGAAGACAAGAGAUUAAGUCUUGUUAAAGACUAAUGAGGAAGCGAGCAAAAGGUUAGAUGAAUAUAUGAGAUGUUGAUAAGAGAUGUCAAUACCAAGUGAUGAGAGUGUGAAUGGAGAUUUCAAGAAUGAUAUAGCAAAUGAGUUUAUAUAGAAUAAUGUUAUGAGAAUGUACAAAUCUUGAUUUGACUUUGUUGAAAGGAAAGGAUUAGUGACAACACAAGUAAAUUAUGGGGUAUGAUAGAAACCCUUGGAGAUAAGUUGAAGCAUGAGUAGUUGGGCAUGCCUUUAUGGAAAUGAUAUACUUGGUGUAUAAAAGAGUAAAUAAGUGAUUAAGUGUUUCAAGAAUGUUUAAACAUCUUCAAGGAAGAAUUAUAAAUUAUAUGAGAUGAGCAUAAGAUGUGAGAUUUUUAAAACUUGUUGAGGAACUUAACGGCUAAGUCACAAGUUCAGUGAUCAUAUGUUGUGAGACAUAAGUUUAAGAUAGAUAUUCUCAAGGAAAUACUCAAGAGAAGUUUUGCUUUGGAUCUCGUUAAAGCAAGUACUAAGUUAUGUGAUUAUAAAAAGGAAGCUGUAAGCUGAAAGUGAUAUUCAUAUUAAUAUUAAAAAGUACUUGGGGGGAAUCUAGUUUCAAGUUUUACAAUUUCAAGUACAAUUUAUAAAUUGGAUAAGGAAGAAUGAUGUUAUGUUUAUAUGAAAGAGUGGAACAAAGGAUGAUAGAAGUUAACCUUGAAAAUGAAGUCAGAUAAAGAAAUUUUCCUAAGAUAGUAUGGGAAUUGGAAUUCAAAAAUGCUUGAGGCAUACAUGAUUCAAAUGAGUUUGAGUCUUAAGUGACAAAUUAAUAUCGGAAUGCAAUAAGGAUACAAUAUAUGUAAGAGGCAUGAAGGAUAAUCAAGGAAAAAUGAUGACUUUUAGGAAUUAUAGUAUUGCAUAAGAUGCAAUGAUUAAGUCAAGAUAAAUCUUUGAGAUAUCAAUGGGAUUAUAAAGCAUACACGUACAAUAGAUUAUAAUUCAAUGGAGAUGACAUUGUGAUGCAAUGAUAUAUAGUACAAGAAAACUCAAGCAUAUGGUUGGAAAUGAUAUGAAUGAUAUGAAGUUAUACGCAAGUAUAAUAAGAAGGUUGACAUGCACUAUAAGAAUUAUUAUAUUGAACUAGGAUUGGGAUGUGAAUAAAUAAAGGGAAAUGUAGUCCAAGGCAUGUGAACACAUGGAUCCCUAUACAUAACGAGAAAUGUUGACAUUUGAAAAUGCAUGUACAUAUGUAUAUAUGAAAUUGAUAAUUUUACUAACUAAAGUGAAGAAUGGUUCUUAGUGAUUGAGAGAUUUUGAAAUAGUGUCUAAAGAGGUCAGUGAGCUAAAGUGUUAACAGACAUGCAAUGAACGAUUAAAGUUAUGAGUGACUUUGAAGGUAAACUUUGAAUUGUUUAAGUUCUUAAUGGAACUCUAUCAAAGGAAGGGUAUGGACCAGUAUAAGAUGGAUGAAUCAAGGUUGAGAAAUUUGGCAUGAAGCAAAUUAAUAAAAUGAUGAUUAAGUAUACAUAAGUAAGUAUGAUAUGUGAUCGAAAUCAGUAUAAUUNNNNNNNNNNNNNNNNNNNNNNNNNNNNNNNNNNNNNNNNNNNNNNNNNNNNNNNNNNNNNNNNNNNNNNNNNNNNNNNNNNNNNNNNNNNNNNNNNNNNNNNNNNNNNNNNNNNNNNNNNNNNNNNNNNNNNNNNNNNNNNNNNNNNNNNNNNNNNNNNNNNNNNNNNNNNNNNNNNNNNNNNNNNNNNNNNNNNNNNNNNNNNNNNNNNNNNNNNNNNNNNNNNNNNNNNNNNNNNNNNNNNNNNNNNNNNNNNNNNNNNNNNNNNNNNNNNNNNNNNNNNNNNNNNNNNNNNNNNNNNNNNNNNNNNNNNNNNNNNNNNNNNNNNNNNNNNNNNNNNNNNNNNNNNNNNNNNNNNNNNNNNNNNNNNNNNNNNNNNNNNNNNNNNNNNNNNNNNNNNNNNNNNNNNNNNNNNNNNNNNNNNNNNNNNNNNNNNNNNNNNNNNNNNNNNNNNNNNNNNNNNNNNNNNNNNNNNNNNNNNNNNNNNNNNNNNNNNNNNNNNNNNNNNNNNNNNNNNNNNNNNNNNNNNNNNNNNNNNNNNNNNNNNNNNNNNNNNNNNNNNNNNNNNNNNNNNNNNNNNNNNNNNNNNNNNNNNNNNNNNNNNNNNNNNNNNNNNNNNNNNNNNNNNNNNNNNNNNNNNNNNNNNNNNNNNNNNNNNNNNNNNNNNNNNNNNNNNNNNNNNNNNNNNNNNNNNNNNNNNNNNNNNNNNNNNNNNNNNNNNNNNNNNNNNNNNNNNNNNNNNNNNNNNNNNNNNNNNNNNNNNNNNNNNNNNNNNNNNNNNNNNNNNNNNNNNNNNNNNNNNNNNNNNNNNNNNNNNNNNNNNNNNNNNNNNNNNNNNNNNNNNNNNNNNNNNNNNNNNNNNNNNNNNNNNNNNNNNNNNNNNNNNNNNNNNNNNNNNNNNNNNNNNNNNNNNNNNNNNNNNNNNNNNNNNNNNNNNNNNNNNNNNNNNNNNNNNNNNNNNNNNNNNNNNNNNNNNNNNNNNNNNNNNNNNNNNNNNNNNNNNNNNNNNNNNNNNNNNNNNNNNNNNNNNNNNNNNNNNNNNNNNNNNNNNNNNNNNNNNNNNNNNNNNNNNNNNNNNNNNNNNNNNNNNNNNNNNNNNNNNNNNNNNNNNNNNNNNNNNNNNNNNNNNNNNNNNNNNNNNNNNNNNNNNNNNNNNNNNNNNNNNNNNNNNNNNNNNNNNNNNNNNNNNNNNNNNNNNNNNNNNNNNNNNNNNNNNNNNNNNNNNNNNNNNNNNNNNNNNNNNNNNNNNNNNNNNNNNNNNNNNNNNNNNNNNNNNNNNNNNNNNNNNNNNNNNNNNNNNNNNNNNNNNNNNNNNNNNNNNNNNNNNNNNNNNNNNNNNNNNNNNNNNNNNNNNNNNNNNNNNNNNNNNNNNNNNNNNNNNNNNNNNNNNNNNNNNNNNNNNNNNNNNNNNNNNNNNNNNNNNNNNNNNNNNNNNNNNNNNNNNNNNNNNNNNNNNNNNNNNNNNNNNNNNNNNNNNNNNNNNNNNNNNNNNNNNNNNNNNNNNNNNNNNNNNNNNNNNNNNNNNNNNNNNNNNNNNNNNNNNNNNNNNNNNNNNNNNNNNNNNNNNNNNNNNNNNNNNNNNNNNNNNNNNNNNNNNNNNNNNNNNNNNNNNNNNNNNNNNNNNNNNNNNNNNNNNNNNNNNNNNNNNNNNNNNNNNNNNNNNNNNNNNNNNNNNNNNNNNNNNNNNNNNNNNNNNNNNNNNNNNNNNNNNNNNNNNNNNNNNNNNNNNNNNNNNNNNNNNNNNNNNNNNNNNNNNNNNNNNNNNNNNNNNNNNNNNNNNNNNNNNNNNNNNNNNNNNNNNNNNNNNNNNNNNNNNNNNNNNNNNNNNNNNNNNNNNNNNNNNNNNNNNNNNNNNNNNNNNNNNNNNNNNNNNNNNNNNNNNNNNNNNNNNNNNNNNNNNNNNNNNNNNNNNNNNNNNNNNNNNNNNNNNNNNNNNNNNNNNNNNNNNNNNNNNNNNNNNNNNNNNNNNNNNNNNNNNNNNNNNNNNNNNNNNNNNNNNNNNNNNNNNNNNNNNNNNNNNNNNNNNNNNNNNNNNNNNNNNNNNNNNNNNNNNNNNNNNNNNNNNNNNNNNNNNNNNNNNNNNNNNNNNNNNNNNNNNNNNNNNNNNNNNNNNNNNNNNNNNNNNNNNNNNNNNNNNNNNNNNNNNNNNNNNNNNNNNNNNNNNNNNNNNNNNNNNNNNNNNNNNNNNNNNNNNNNNNNNNNNNNNNNNNNNNNNNNNNNNNNNNNNNNNNNNNNNNNNNNNNNNNNNNNNNNNNNNNNNNNNNNNNNNNNNNNNNNNNNNNNNNNNNNNNNNNNNNNNNNNNNNNNNNNNNNNNNNNNNNNNNNNNNNNNNNNNNNNNNNNNNNNNNNNNNNNNNNNNNNNNNNNNNNNNNNNNNNNNNNNNNNNNNNNNNNNNNNNNNNNNNNNNNNNNNNNNNNNNNNNNNNNNNNNNNNNNNNNNNNNNNNNNNNNNNNNNNNNNNNNNNNNNNNNNNNNNNNNNNNNNNNNNNNNNNNNNNNNNNNNNNNNNNNNNNNNNNNNNNNNNNNNNNNNNNNNNNNNNNNNNNNNNNNNNNNNNNNNNNNNNNNNNNNNNNNNNNNNNNNNNNNNNNNNNNNNNNNNNNNNNNNNNNNNNNNNNNNNNNNNNNNNNNNNNNNNNNNNNNNNNNNNNNNNNNNNNNNNNNNNNNNNNNNNNNNNNNNNNNNNNNNNNNNNNNNNNNNNNNNNNNNNNNNNNNNNNNNNNNNNNNNNNNNNNNNNNNNNNNNNNNNNNNNNNNNNNNNNNNNNNNNNNNNNNNNNNNNNNNNNNNNNNNNNNNNNNNNNNNNNNNNNNNNNNNNNNNNNNNNNNNNNNNNNNNNNNNNNNNNNNNNNNNNNNNNNNNNNNNNNNNNNNNNNNNNNNNNNNNNNNNNNNNNNNNNNNNNNNNNNNNNNNNNNNNNNNNNNNNNNNNNNNNNNNNNNNNNNNNNNNNNNNNNNNNNNNNNNNNNNNNNNNNNNNNNNNNNNNNNNNNNNNNNNNNNNNNNNNNNNNNNNNNNNNNNNNNNNNNNNNNNNNNNNNNNNNNNNNNNNNNNNNNNNNNNNNNNNNNNNNNNNNNNNNNNNNNNNNNNNNNNNNNNNNNNNNNNNNNNNNNNNNNNNNNNNNNNNNNNNNNNNNNNNNNNNNNNNNNNNNNNNNNNNNNNNNNNNNNNNNNNNNNNNNNNNNNNNNNNNNNNNNNNNNNNNNNNNNNNNNNNNNNNNNNNNCAUUUUGAGAGAUAAGUGCCCAUCGAGACACCGCAGCGAUUGUCACGAGCUCGAAGGGAGUUCCGGGUCGUGACAUAUUAUCUCUAAAGUACAUUGAUUUAUUUAGAGACAAAUUGGAUGACUAAUAAUUAAAUUUUGAUUGGUCAAAAAUAUGAAUUUUUUUUUAUAAUUAAGGGAGAUGAUUCGAACCUUGCUUUUUUAAGUAGGGGAUCAUGCACCAAUCAAUGAGCCAAAUACUCAGAUGCGGUUAAAAAUUUGAAUAUUAUCUCUAAAUUACUUUUAUUUAUUUAGAGACAAAUUGGAUGAUCAAUAAUUAAAUUUUGAUUGGUCCAUUUUAAAUAUUAUCUUCCAAUUAUCUUAAGUGAUAAAUAUAUGACACAUAGGUGAAUUGGUUCAACUAUGUGUCUUUGAAAUAAUCCAACCAAUAAAUUAAUUAUUUUAUAAUUAAUUACAUGAUUAUGACAUCAUCAAGUCCACAUGGUGGCAAUUGGAUUAUAAUGUUUCUCCUUCUGGAAAUGCCCCCUCAACUUGAUAUCUUUAUCACGAACUAAACUUGAUAUCUUGAUCACAAAGUUUGUUGCCGCUUGAUAUCUUCACUUCAAAAAUCUUUUACUCUUCUCGAUUAUUCAAAUGUUCUCCAUCUUCGAAUGCUUCUGAAUGAAUCAAAUGGCUUCGAGGAGGCCCCUAUUUAUAAUGCUAGAUGAGAGACUUUGAUAAGGAUGUGGUCUUUUUGAAUUAUCUCUAAAUUAUCUUAAUUUAAUUAGAGGUAAUUUUUGAUAACUCAUUGAAAGUCUUUUGAUUGGCCGGACUUUGAGUCUUUCAAUUUUGAUUGGCCAAAUUUAAGUUUUAUCUCUAAAUUUUCUUAGAGAUAAAUUAAAUAAUCAAAUUUGAUUUUUACCUCUAAAUUAUCAUUUAUUAGAGAUAAAUUAGAUGACCAAUAAUUAAAUUUUGAUUGGCCAAAAAUAUGAAUAUUAUCUCUAAAUUAUCUUGAUUUAUUUAGAGACAAAUUAGAUGACCAAUUAUUAAAUUUUGAUUGGUCAAAAAUAUGAAUAUUAUCUCUAAAUUACCUUGAUUUAUUUAGAAUCAAAUUGGAUGAGCAAUAAUUAAAUUUUAAUUGGUCUAAUUUAAAUAUUAUCUUCAAAUUAUCUCAAGGGAUAAAUAUAUGACACAUAGGUGAAUUGGUUCACCUGUGUCUUCGAAAUAAUCCAAUCAAUAAAUUAAUUAUUUUAUAAUUAAUUACAUGGUUAUGACAUUUCAAGUCCACAUGACGACACAUAAUUGAAUCAUAAUAUUUUUCCUUCUACAUACCUAUUUAAGUAUAUUAAAUUGUUGUUCUUGGCCUCCAAAUUAGAGAUCAAAAUUCUUAUUUCGAAUUAUUAAAUGAAAGUAUAUACUAUUAACUUUUUCAUCAAAAUUUUAAUUUUCAAUCUCUAAAUUAAACAAAAAGUUAACAUCGUUUUGAGUUGUUUGUAUCUUUUCCCUUUUCAUUUCUUUAUUAUUUUUUCAUUCAUUACUUAUCAUUCGAAAAAAUAGAAUAUAAAUGCUAAUAAUUGGAUAUCUGGAACUUGAUUCAUAAUUUCCAUCAACACUUUAACUAUAAGAUCGUUUAUUAUACAAGUACGAAUUUAAUUAACAAGUUCUCUUCAAAUUUUUUUAUUAUUUCCCAUUCUAAUUUGUUGCUUAGGAUGUUAGUAUUUGAUCUAGAAUAAGCUCAAUAAGAUAUUUAGAUUUUUAAAUGCUUUACUUUUUUCAAACAUUGACAUUACCUACUAUGUUUAAAUUGAAAAAGGAAGUACCUGAGGAGUGGCGACAUCUCUUUUUCAAGUCUUUGCAAAAUGUUUUAAGUUGUUUUAUAGUAAUGAAUUUCAAGUCAAGUCUUCUCAAAUUGAAAAUUUAUGUCUAGAAUCAAAAUUAAAUUAAUGGAAUAAAAAAGAAAAGUGUAUGUGUCAUGUUAGAAUGAAAAGCAUCAAAGCCACUGUAUCCUAUCCCUUGUGAGACGUUAGUAGGAUUUGUAUAUUUUUCUUGAAUUCUCAUUUGAUGUGUACUUUUAUUGUAGGCUUAUUGAGAUAUGCUUAUUAGACUGAGAAAUAUCUCAUUUGAGAUAUGUUAUUGAGAUAUGCUUAUUGAGAUAGGAAAUUGCUGGAAAAGUUUUCUGAUCCUUCCACUGCAAUUGCAUUUUCACGUUAAAAGCACUUUUCUAAAAGUUAAAAAGGAAAAGCUGUUCUUGUAGAAAAAAAAAGCACGAAAGCGUGUUGAAGGUACACAUUUAAAUUCAAUCUCUUUCAUACAGUUGUUUAUCGAAUGAUUGUAUGUAGUUUUUGCUCAACAAAUUUGUUAAGAUAAUUAUACAAAUUAUUUAGUUAAAACUACUAGACAAUACUAUAAUCUAGUUAGAUGACAAUAUUUAAUUAAUAAUUAUAUUAUAAUACUGUUAAUUAAUUAGAAUUAAAUUAUAAAUAAAAUUAGGAUAACAUACAUAAUUUAGAUUUCUCAAUCAAAAUAAAAAAUGAGGAUAGGUUUAACCAAAGAAAAAAAAACUCACCAACUCGGACAAAAAGCAUCCCAAAGAAAUGCAAAAGCAGCAGCAACAACAAAGAUUAGUCGAGGAGCUGAAACUAAUCUGCAAAAAUAAAAGCAGAAGCCAUCACGUAAUCAUCCCUCAGCAGCCAAAAACUAAUAAAACAGAGAACCAAUAGCGCAAGAAUGAAGCAAAGAAAUGCAAGCUCACACAACCAGCAGAAACGAAAAUCACAUCAAAGGUUCAAAGAAGCGAGAACCAACCAAUAAUUAACCGCAAUGAAUCCCAUGAAACAAUCGGCAAAAUCAAAAUCCAUUCAAGCAGAUCAGGAUGAAGCUUAAACAGAGUGAAGUAACAACAGAUAUUGAUCCCCCCCAACACCGGGCUUGGCAAGUGAAUCAGCAAUAGUGUUUCCAGAUCUAAUAGCGUGUUGAAUUUGCCACUGUUUAACUUUACUAGCCAAAACAAGGAUAUGAAGCACUUGAUUCCUCAAAUUCCAUGGAGCCAAAUCAGGGGACUUAGUCCAUUUAAUAGCUCUAACUGAAUCACUUUCAAGAAUCUACCAGUGAGAAGAUGCCCAUGUUGAAGGCUUGUAUGAUCUAAUUCUCUUUGGGCCAAAUCCGUGGACAUUAAGUUCUUAAGUUCUUUUCCAGUUCUUCUGGAAAUCUUUUCGCAAAAACUCUACAGUAACUGGCAGCAGCUAAUUUACUGAUUUAAUGUGCGUUAGAGAAAGAUUGUUGGAGUUAAAUCAAUGCUGCAAACCUGUGUUAAAAAUCAAACUUGAGGAAGGCUAACUGUUAAUGACUUUUGACACCUUACCAUAAAUCAAAUCUUUUCCUUUAGAAUUAGAAACUGAACAUAGCCAUCUCAGCACUUUGAUUUUACUCUUAAAAGAAAUAAUUAAGUAUCAAUGAUGUAACUAAUACAUACAUGAGGUGCUUGUAGUGAGUUUCCCUCCACUUUCCUUUGGUAUUUUAGGAAAGCAAAUUGAAAAGGAAAAAAUGGCCCUUCUUAAUAAAUUUAGAAAUCUCUGAGUCAAGAAAACAUGGAUUUCCAAAACCAAUAUAUCAGAAUCAAAAGUACCACCGUUAGGUAGGUAGCCUUAAAGUGAAAUUGUGAGAUCACUAGUAUUUAUCUUUUGGAUUGAUUAUAUAGUAAAUGUGAGUAAGCAUUGAAUUAAACUAGAAGAAAAGAAAAUCCAGAUUUGUCGAAAAAUCUAAUCCAAAGAGCUAAAAAAACAAAAUAUUAUUUACUGAUCUGAAACUUUCAGUAAUGAAAUCUGGAAUUUCCUCUAUGUACUUCAAACAUUUCCUAGUAUAGAACUCAACAACUAGAAGACAUAAAGUUUUGAAACAAAAAAAACAUUCUCUGCAAUAUUACUAAAAGGACUAAAUGAAUCCAAGCAGCAGUAUGUUACAUGCUUACAAAGAAUAGCUGAAGCUUACAUUUUAGCAGAUCCUACAGAAGUAAAGAACCCCAACAUCUUGACAACUAGGUCACUAUGGGAAAAAAAAAAAAGAAUACAUAGAGUUAAAAACUUUAUUGGAAACUAUUUAUCAAAGUUCGAAGAGUUGCUUAUAGUUAUAUGGAACAGCUGUCUUCAGAGUACUAGUCGUAUUGGCUUAUUUCUUCCUCUAGGUUUGUGGAUUUGCCUUCUGACUCUUUGGUGUGGGGCUCUCUGGAUUAUCUUCACUAGCCAAGCUGGUUUUCCUGUUGUGAAUACAAUGUAUCCCAUGCUCAAUCUCAACACAAGUCCACAUCCAUAUCCCAUCAUUGCAAAUUUCCAAGUAAAUGCUCCUCCUUUAUCAUCAUCUUCAUCAAAUAUUGACGGAGGAGGUUCUCUUCCCUCACUUUCGCCACAUUCAUUUGACAAUGGAAACCCACAAAACCGUAAGUUACCUACGUAGGAAUUAUUUGUGAAAGUAUCAAACUGAUUUCCUUUAGGAACCGGUCCCAUGAGAUUGUUUUGAGAAAGAUUUAACACCGCAAGAAAUAUCAGAUUCCUUAAUUGCAUAAGGAUGCUUCCUUCAAUCAUAUUUGAUGAGAGAUCUAAUGAUUCGAGUGCUAACAACUUCCCCAAUGAUAGUGGGAUAUGACUUGUAAGGCUGUUAUGAGAGAAAUUGAGCACCAAAAGAUCUUUAAGUUCUCCGAUUACUUCAGGAACCUGUCUUUCGAAUUGAUUGCUUGAAAAAUCAAUAGUUGUGAAAAUAUCUAAUUUUUUUCAAAAUUUAUCUCCAAUCCUUUGAUUGUUAUAAUUAUGGAAUCAUGAUAAUAUAACUCUUCAAUAUAAUAUGGACCGGUAGGAUCUACAUGGAUAUCCUUCAUAGCCUUCAAAUUUUGAAAGAAUGUAGUUGGCAAGUGGCCAUUGAACUCAUUUGAGAGAGAUCAAUGAUUCUCAAACUAGUAAAGAUAGAUGUGCCCCUCAAAUUUGGUGCCGGCCCAUGAAAUUUAUUCGAUUGCAGGACAAGGAUUUGCAGACAUGAAAGUACACCUAACCAAUGAGGAAAGGAGUCUUUCAAGUUACUGUUGCCCAAAUCUAAAACUUCCAAUUCACUGCAAUUCAUCAAAGAUCGUGUUACGGAUCCUUCUAGAUGGUUGUCAUUGAGGUUAAUGCUUUUCUACAAACUACCUUCUUGGGAUUUUGCCAUCGAAGUUAUUCAUUCGUAAAUUCAUAACAGACAGGGAACCACAAUUUCCAAGACAUUUUGGAAUGAUCCCACUCAAGUUGUUCUUUGACAAGUCGAGGACUUGAGGGAAAGUUAUAUCGUAAAACCCUGAAGGGAUUUCUCCAGUCAAUUCAUUUUCUGAAAAUGAAGAGGUGAUGUAUUGACAUUGGUGGAGUUGGAAGUGGUACUUGAAGUGAAUUUGAGUGAAGGUCAAGAGUCUGAAGAGUCUUCCCAGGAAAUUGCUCUACAUUUGUUAACAAAUUGAAAGAAAGGUCCAAGUAUCUCAACUCUCCCACCCUUCGGCUUCCCAUUUGGAUAUGGAACCCUGAAUUUUGUUAUUAGAAAGAUCUAAAUCGGACAAAGUCUCGGAUGCUCUUCAGAAACUUGGGAAUUGUUGUAUGUUGCGCAAAGAGAAAGACAAAGUAUAUAGCUCGGGGAAGGUAAUUGACAUCAUUGCUACAUCUACUCAAUGAUAAUAAACCGUUAUUUGAAAGAUCAAUCUCUUGUAAAUUUCUAAGCUUUGAAAGCAUGCAUGGCUCAAUGUUGCCACUCAAAUUAUUUGAUGAAAGAUCAGGAAAAGCAAGGUUCACUGGUAGACUAAACAGCCAACCUGGUACUCUGCCAUUAAGCAAGUUUGCAGAUAAAGGAGGUUUUGACGAUUUGAAAGUCCACUUACGUUGUCUGGAAGGGGUCCCGCUAAAUGGUUAUUGUUCAAGCCUAUGUCAGUAAGUCUAGUGAGGUUAAAUGCUGAUGAUGGCAAUAAACCAUGGAAAUUGUUAAAAGAAAAAUACAACUUAAUUAGUUUCUUGAAGUUCCCAAAAACAUCUGGAAUAUGACCUUCAAAAUUGUUAAAUUUUAAAUGUAAGAAAGUAAUUUUGGUGAGGUUUCCAAGAGAUAAAGGGAUUGACCCUGUGAAAUGACAAAAAGAAAGGUCAAGUUCUUCCAAGUUUUCAAGAUUUCCCAUUGAGUCUGGUAACUCCUCUAAGAAACUUGUUCCUGAAAGGUGCAAAAAUCUAAGAGAAGUACUCCGAUUUGAUUUAGGGAGAUAACCACUGAGAUUAGGAUUACGGAUUAAUAAGAUUUUUUCUAGAUAUGGAAAGCUGAAAUUUUCACUUGGAAAUUUCCCUUGCAGUUGACAGACAUAGAGACUCAAACACUUUAACGAGGAAGUCAAGUUCAGAAAGGAAUUUGGUCUAACCAAACACAUAUCCACUUGGUCAAGGAAAAGAUUUUCUUACUUUGUUAGGUUAUGCACAAGCAUGUUAAAAUGAUGGUUGUCGAGCUUUAAAAGAAGAGAUGACUGAUCAAGUGAACCCAGUUCUGCCAAAGGAGAGAUAUGCUCUGUAACUGAACAGUCGAUGCCUAUAUGAGAAAGAUUGAGAUAGGUUAGACUCCUCAAUUUACUAAACUCAGGAGGAAUUUGAGAACCAGUGAACUCGAGGUGAGCAAGGUUAGGCCAACGGAGAUCCUGAAGCAGGAAGAGGCUGCUGUUGGAUGGAAGACUUUCUUUAAGUCGACUACAACUGAGAUCAAGGCCAAUCACGUGACCCGUCAUGCUAUGGCAUGUGACACCCUCCCAGGAGCAACAGUCUCUACUUUGGCUCCAGAAUUCUGUCUUAGGAUAAGAAUCACCACAGGCAAAGCAACUAGGAAAAGACAGGCUGCUCUUGAACUGGAUCAAAGCAGAACUAUGUUCAGGAGGGCAUAAUUGUGGAAGAGGAGGAGAUGACAGAAGAUUGUUCACAAGAUUAUUAGGCUUAGUUUGUAGGUAACAUUUAGUUUCCGGAGUACCAUAAACAAAGAUUUGCACAACGAACAUUCUUGAGCUUUUAUUAGAGUAGUGCAAGCUUCAAACUUUUAUUUAGGAACUAAGUAAGUGAGGUGGUUUGUCCGUCUCCAAGGGCUGCAAUGGCACCAUAUUUGUUUUUUUAAAAAAAAUUAAUUGGAUUUCAUUAUCAGAAACCAGGAAUAGGCUCCCUAGAGAACAAAAGAGCACAUGAUUUUAAGAUGCUAUGCCUUGAUCAGCAUAUCAUCUCAAAAUUUUGUCAUCUUGCCAAAAGAAAACCAGCUUACAAAGAACCCCAUAAAAACCCCUAUCAUCAAUAUACAAAAAACAAAAUGAAACAGCAAAUAGCCUCAAUAAGAAACCACAAGUCUCCUUGUGCAAAAGUCAUUCUUGAAAGGAAAGUCAGCAAGCUUGCAAUCUGAUCAAAAACUCAGGCCCUUAUAUCACGGACCUUGGCUCAAAAGCCUAACCAUCUCAGCCAAGUAAAUGUCAAAAAGCAACAGAGAGAAACGAUCAAACCUGAAGCUUGAAUUCUUCACGCAGCCGUUCAAAGAAAAAGAAUAAAAAUCUCCAGCCUCUUUACUACUCAAAGGCAUUCAAUAAAUCCUCUUAACGUCUGACCCCUUCUGUCGCUAGACUAUAUGCAAAUUGAUUCUUUUCUCUAAAGAUAUGGUUGACUUCCCACCCUUUAAUGUUCCUUUUCAAACUUUCAACGUGCAUGAUCCACUUCCUUAGCCUCCAAAAAUAAGGAGACUUGUAAGGACCGACCGGAGUAAAGUGACCCUUCCACCUAUUAUUAGCACCUUUGCCUUCCAUCUUGCCAACCUAGCCUCAAAUUUCUCAAUAAUAGGAUUCCACAUUCUAACAGAAUUCUGCUUGGCUCCGAUUGGAAGUUCUAGAUACACAAAGGGUAUUUCUCCUAUUCUACAAUCUAUACUUUCCACCCCCCUUCUCCAUGUUUGAUUAUCCACUCCUAUUCCUAUCACCCUACUCUUGUUGAAAUUGAUUUUUAACCCCGAAAUGAGUUGGAAACAUCUCAAGACUCUUUUGGCAAUGCUGAGAUUCUCAACUUUCGGUCUACAAAAAACCAUGGUAUCAUCGGCAAAUUGAAGGUGUGAGAUUAAGAGGUCAUUGUUACCUAUUGGUACGCCUUGAAGAAUAUCGAAAGCUUCAGCUUUCUCCAUGAGUCGACUAAAAGCCUCUGCCACAAUGUUGAAGAGAAAAAGGGAGAGUGAGCAACCCUAUCGAAGUCCUCUCUCCAUCCUAAAAGGUUCCGUAGCAACUCCAUUCACAAGCACAGAGAUUUUCACUGUUUGAAGAUAGCCCCUCAUCCACUUUCUCUACCUUUCCCUAAACCUCAUUUUUUUUCAUAAUAAACUGAAGGAAUCCCCAAUCCACACUAUCAUAGGCCUUUUCAAAGUCAACUUUCAAAAGAAAGACUACCUCUUGUCCCUUUUUCAGCAGAUCAAUAACUUCGUUUUCAAUGAGAGCACAAUCCAUAAGCUGUCUUCCUUUUACAAAAGCAAACUGUUUCUCUCCAAUAACUUCACCAAUGACCAGUCGGAGCCUAUUAGCUAGGAGCAUUGCGACAAUCUUGUAUAAGCUCCAUACAAGACUAAUCGGUUUAAACUCCAUGAUGGGGCUUGGAUUAGAGACUUUCGAGAUUAGCGUAAUGAAAGAGUUAUUCAAUCCCUUUUCAAGCUGUUCUUUUUCCUAAAAAUCCUCAAGACACUUCAUAACUUCUUCUUUAACCAAGUGCCAUUAGUUCUUAAAAACACUAAGGUUGAAGCCGUCCUGCCUAAGUGCUUUUUCUCCAUCACAACUGCAUAUAGUCUCCCACACUUCUUUGCUAGAGAAACCUUUUUCUAAAAAAUUUGAUGCCUCUUCACUCAAAUUUUUAAAUUGACAAUGAAAUUCUUUUAAAGGCAACACUUUUCUUCUUUUGUAGAAAUCAGUAAAGUACUUGGCAAUCUCACUUUUGAUACCUUCUGGCUCACUGAUGCUUAGAUUCCCCAUUUGCAGAUGUCGAAUUGUGUUGUUACGCAUUCUAAUGGAGGCCAUGGUGUGAAAAAAUCAGGUAUUACGAUCCCCAUCCAUUACCCAUUUAAGACAUGAUUUUUAUGUCAUUCCCUAUCUUCUUUUUUGUACAAACCCCAAAGUUCAGCUAUUUUGUUCAUCACAACUUGACGCUCUCCCUCUUCCACCCUUCCCUGUUGCCACUUUUCAUUAAUUUCAUGUAGCUCAACUUUUAAUUUUGUAAUUUUUUCACUUAUGUUUCCAAAUGCUUUUUUCUGCCAUUCUUUCAACACUGGCUUUAAUCCCUUGAGUUUCAUCCAUAUACCUUUUUUCCUCCCCCCACAGCCUUGCGAAGUCCUCUAGUACUCUUUCACUAACUUAUGGAAACUCUCUUCUUCCAUCCAGUGGUUGAAGAAUUUGAAAGGUCUGGGGCCCCAAUCCACUCUCCCUAGGCCCAAGAUGAUCGGGUUGUGAAAUGGAGACUGGUAAACACCUCUGGACCAGUUCGUUGUCAUUUUCCAUCAGCUUCACAUCCACCAAGAAUUAAUCAAGUCGACUAAAAGUAGGAUCCUCUAGAUUGUUACAUCAAGUGAAUUUAGAUCCGACCAGUGGUAAAUCAAACAACCCCACCUCAUUGAUGAAUUUGUUGAAUCAUGCAGCAGCUUUUCUCACAUCUCCUCUUUCAAUUCUUUCAUCUUCUAUCCUUACUGUGUUGAAAUCUCCUCCCAGUACCCAACAUAAAUCAUUACCAGUGACAAUUUGUUUUAAUUCUUCCAACAUUUCAUUUCGAUCUCUUUCAUCAUUUGGUGCAUAAAUGUUCCCAAGACCACACCUAGUAUUGCUCUUAGUAAUCACCCCAAUAAGAAUAAUGUAGUUUCUGUGACUAAUCACCUCUUCUAGCUGAAAAAAAUUUUCCUACCACAUACAUAAUAAACCUCCUACUCUACCAUCUAAACUAACAGCAUUACUCAUAAUUUUAUCUUUAACCCACAGUCUCUCAUACAUUCCUUCAUAAACAUUCUGCACUUUUGUUUCCUGUACAAAAACCAUAUUUGGCUUACAUCUGCCAAUGGCUCUCCUCAGUGCUCUCCUUUUUUUCCCCUACCUAAACCUCUGAUAUUCCAUGAUAGUAGAUUCAUAAAAAAAAAACACAACACCGAAAUUCUUACCUGACUCCCUGUUUUGGUGUUCCUUACUUCUUCCCUUCCUCUGCCUCUGCCAUUUGUUUCAAGACCUCGUUCCUCUCAGCAUCAAAUUCCAAACUUAAGCAUCUGCUUACCUCCAUAGUCUGCAAUGCCUCCUUCCAUAUGGUUUCACAUCUUGAAUCAACCCUUGAAAUUUCUCCAUGAAGUCCCUCUAAUUUCUUUUUUCGUGAUUUCACUCUAUUUUUUUUUAAUUCUUUCUUACCUUUUUUUAUUGUUUGUUUUUUUUUUUUUUUACAUUAACUUUCCCUUCCCUUAUUGCCGUUAUUUCUGUUUGUUCUGUUUCCUUUGCUCCUCCUUCUGUUUCUUGAUCCUUUAUUUUCUUUUGUCCCAUAUUGUUCUUUUUGUCCUUGCUUUCCCUCGACUUAAUUCUCCUUUGCCUUCCUUCAUCUUUCUCUUUAACUAGGUCCAUAAGCAUUAUAUCAUUUGACAUUGACAAACCCGGAUCUUUAAACUUCUGUUCCAACACCUUUCCUUGUCUUCUUAGCUUGGUUUCCACCACCCUUAACCUCUCUUCAUGGACUGAGCUUUGAGCUCCUCCACCAAAACACCUUUCUCCUUCACUAGAUUCUCUUUGUCCUAUCGUAUUAUCUUUCUCUUAAUUUUUCUUCCCCUUUCUAUUUUCCUGAUGAUUAUCAACUGAACCAACUUUUGAGCUGUCACACAAGUUGUUUCUCCUUUGUAAGCCUAAGCUUACUUUUCUCCUAUCUUGAUCUUUUGCCCCACUAGGCCCGUAAUCCAUUCUCAGGUAAUGAAGGCCCUCUCUCCCUCUUUGAAAUGCAGAAUUCCAGCCUCUCAUCUCUUCUUCUGGGCUUGUAGAACCUUCACUAGUGGCCCACUCUCUUUAUGAAACUAUACAUGUUUCCUUGCCCUUUCUUGAUGGCCUACAUGUUGCUUUUUUUGACUUUGGACUACUACUUUGUUGAUUGGCCCCACUUUCUUUUUCGUUUGACCCUAACUUCUCCUUUUCCAUUUCAAUGUGUGUGGCUUUCUUCCCCGAUUUCAAAUUUCCCUCCCUUUUCUCUUUUCCCCCCUUUGGCUUGCUCUGAACAGUCCUAUCAACUUUCUGUUGUGUUCUCUUAAGUGAAACAAGUGCAUCAUAUCUAUUUUCUAUCACCUUUCCUUGGUUUUGUUCCCUAUAAUUUAUCUGACCCAUUGAUUUCCCCUUAAGUGCCACCUCAUCAUCAUCCAUGGUGGUUGAUUUCCUCCCCAUUGUGUUAUGUUUCUCCACCCAUCAGACCUCAUUUUGCUCUAUCGGUCUUGGUUCACAACAUGCCCAUGCUUUGCAUAAGGCCUCAUCGCAGGCUUGCCUCUCCAUAUCACAUGAUUCCUCCCUAAUGAUCGAUGUUCUCAUUAUGUAUGCUUUCCCAUUCACUAUGAUCUGUUGGUUCACGGGGACAUUCUUUUUGCUCAUUAUUUCAACUUUGAUGACAGCCACAUCCAACCGACUUCUCCUUUCAGUUUCCUGGUCAACUUUAAGAAACUUUCCCCAGCAAUUACCAAUUUCUUCAAACAUUUUCAAGUUCCAUAGAUGAGUAGGAAGUUCCUCAAUUUUCACCCAUACUUGGUAUCUCCGUUCAUCUUUCUCCAUGUUGUAUGGCUUGAUGUUUUCAAACCAAACUGAGAAAAUGUCAUAAUAUUGGUCAAGCACGACUUCCAUUUCACCUUUGUUGCCAAAAGUGACUAUCACGUUGAGGCCUCCUGCUUGUCUCACAAGCACCAUAAUACCUUCCUUUUGCAAAUAACUUUGCACCUCUCUAUAACAUAUAUGACUUUCGAGAUGCCCUAAAGCACUACAUCUAAGCCAUUCAACCUCAUCCCCUGUAAUUUCAACUCUUAUUCCAUCCACCUUAUUCAAACCAAUCCCUGCCUUUGAGAUAGUUCUCCUAUUAUACCAUUAGUUACUACUUCUUUGUAUGACGACAUGCCUCUUUCUCUGAUAAGUUCUUUUAUCUUUUUUUGGACCAUUUGGUUCCUUCCUCUGCUUCCAUCCUUGGCCUUAUCAGCUUAUUUGACUAUCAGAAACCUUCCAUCCAGUUCAAUAUUUUGGCCAUACCUUAUCGCUUUUAACAGCUCAUCUUAAAAGCGAUAUCGGACAAAAGUAUAUUUUGUUUCUCUUUUUUCUAACUGUUUUGGAAUAAAGAAAUCCACAACGAUUCCAAAUCGGUCAAAAAAGUUUUUUAGGUAUUUCCAUUGCACUCUGCUGCUCACGUUAUUGACGAAAGCAGUGAAGACCCUAUUUGUCCACCUCAAAAAAUCCUAUAUUCUGUUCCUCUCUUCCCAGUUUGCCGCCCGUGUCCACCCUUCUCCCUCUCUUGCAGUCUUUCCUAAGCUACGGUAAUCUAACCAAUCUCUUACUCUCACUCUUUCUCUUCCUCAACGUCUAUUUCUCUCAACUUCUCUCUCUAAUUCUCUCUUAUGCUCUCUCAUUUUUUUUUCUUUGCCACCAUUUUUGUUACCGUCAGGCACUGUAAGUACUAAGAUUACCCUGGAUUGUUAUAGUAACAUAUUUGGAUCCUUUUCAUUUCGAACUAGCAAUUAUACAACAAUUAUAGAAUUAAUGUGGUUUGCAACCUACCUCUUCACGGUUAAGAGUCCAUUCCAGGAGCUGUCGCUUAGAUCAUUUGCAACAAUGAGUCAGUUGGAAAAUUUCCAUAACAAAACUCAUUGUUCUCAUCAAAAGAUUCAUAGAAACCUCCAAAGAAAGGCUUAUAAACAUUUUGAGAUAUUUUUAAUGGCUUUUGAUUAUAGAUUUGCCGUGGACAAAAAGAGUAGGGAGUGAACAAAAAAGAAGCCAUGAUUAAUCGUGGCUAGAUAUUAGCUUUGCAAGUUUGAUCUGUAUUUAAGAAAAAUGUUGGAGUUAAAACUUAAAACCAAUGCUGAAAAAGUUUAUUAAAAAUUGAACACAUAGCUAUCUCAACAUUUCAGUUUGACCUUGCAAACAAAUAAUUAAAUAAUAAAUAAAAACAGGUUAGCAUAUGCAGGCCAAAAAAUUGAUUUGUAAGCUAAUAGUAGUGUAAUAAAAGAAUGAAGCAAAUCCAAAACUAAUGUGCAUCUAAUUAAUUUCUUCCUUCAAAUUUUCUUUUGAUGAUUGGAAAAAUAAACUUAAAAGGAAAAAUAUAGCUUCCUAAAUCAAGUUAAAUAAACUGAGCAAACAAAACAUGAAUUUCCUUAUUAUCUUUCUUAUGUAUCUUAAGUUGCUGUAGCAGAAAGUGAAACUUACUUCAACGUAGAAUUGUGAAGAUGAACAGUGAUCAAGUUAUUAUGAAUAUAUUGUCUUAUUGUGCUCUAUUCCAAUGCCUGUGGUGUGUAAUUAUUUGAAAUUUUGGAGAACUUUGAGAGAACUCAAAUCAAAAUCAACCAUCACUUGGUUGUUCAAAUCAUCACCUUAAUUUCUCCUGGGCUAGGCAACUACAAUCCAAUUCUCACUAUGUAAACCCCAAUUUCAUGACCCUCCAUCGCCUACCUAUAUGUUAUGUAAUGUGUUGUGAGCAAGCCUAAGGCCCAAAGACAUAAGGGGUCUCAUCAGAAGAUUCUUAUGUGACUUCAACAAUAGAUAUUCCAUCUGUCCCAAAAAUAAAAAGGAUAGGCUAUAUAUAUUCCCUAGCAAUUGUCAACAGUCGGGGAUCGAAAGAUACUAACCAUAAUACUAUCUCUCCUUUCUUUCUCAUAUCCUCUCCCUCUCUAUUCUUUCCUUCUAUUCCGCCUUCGAUGAGUUCUUACUCACUUAUAAAGCAUCAGUAAAGGAAUCACAAGAAAACCUCUAAUGUUCAUUUUUUUUAGGCCCGAACGCAUCAUCUUAGCCCAGAUCAUCCAACAAGAUAAUUCACCUACAAAGACAAAUCGAAAGUAAUCUCUAAUAUUUAUUGGGAUAAUUUUUUCAACCUUUAAAGAUAGAGUAUUUUCAAAAAUAAAUUUUUUUAAUUUUAAUUAUUUUUAGCCAAGAGAAAAGAUUUUUGGACAAAAUUACCCUUAAUAAACCUUUUCAUAUUCAAGUUCUCCUAAAUUUUCUCUCCCACCAUUCGUCUGCUUUGCUCCGUAUUGUGCUAUGCUCUCAAUUUUUCUCUAUUGUCAUCCAACUUUCUCUAAUUUUACCACCAUAACUAUCUCUUUGUCUAUCUUUUGUCAUCUCGUCAUAUGAUCAAAGAGCGUGACAUGGAAGGUAACAACAAAUUCUUGGGUUUAUUAGUCUAUAUUUUGAAAACCCUCUCUCUGUCUAUCUCUUGCCAUUUCAUCGUCGAUCUAUAGACCAAAAAGCAUGGCAUGGUGGGUAACAACGGGUUCUUGGGUUUAUGGGUGUUAAGUUUCUUCAGUGAUUCAAGUCUUGUAGAACAUGCCUUAGCAUGUAAUAAAGUGAUUCAUGCUUUGGCAUGUAACAUCAGUAGAAAGAAAGAAGAUUUGGUGUGUAACAUAUGGUUCUGAAGUUUUGACCUUGGCAUGUAACAUCUGGUGUUGAAUCUUUUUUAUGAUUAUAGGAAAUGUAACAAAUAAAAUAACCUAAAAACUAAUUAUCCAAAUUUGAGAAUUUUGGAUUGUAUCUUUUUAUCUAAAUCUAUUUCAUCCCAGCCAUUUCACCCCAGUAGUAAUGUUGACAUUAAAUAAUUUUUCAAGACAUCUUCCUUUCCAUGUCAAAUUCCUUUUUGAUUAAACGUUAUCUUUAUCAUGAAUAUGUUUAACUCCAAGGGUUUAUGUUCCAUUCAAAUACAAAGAUAGAGACCACAUUACAUUUAAAAAAUGUUGUCAUUACAUGUUAGGUUAAAAAAAUGUCAUUACAGUUGAAAAAAAAAUCAUUACACACUUUAACUCCAAGAGUUUAUGCUGUAGUAAAAUAAAAAGAAGUUACAUGUUUAAAAAAUAUUAUUGUUACACGUUAUAUUAAAAAAUUUUAAGCAACACCAAAACUUUAGCACCCAAUGUUACACACCAAGGCCAAAGGUUCAACACUAGUUAUUACAUGCCAAGGUUAAAGCUUUACCACCAGAUGUUGCAUGUCAAUGUCAAAACUUCACCAUCAAAUGUUACACGCCAAGGUUAAAGCUUCAACACCAUAUAUUACAUGCCAAAGCUUCAUUCUUCCUAUUGAUGCUAAAUGCCAAGGCAUGAAUCAAUUUGUUACACACUAAGGCAUGUUCUACCAGACUUAAAUCACUGAAAAAACUUAACUCAUAAACCCAAGAACUUGUUAUUACUCACUAUGCCAUACUUUUUGGUUUGUACAUCAAUGAUGAGAUGGCAAGAGAUAGAUAGAGAGAGAGUUUUAUGAAUGUAAACCAAUAAACCCACGAAUAUGUUGUUACCUUUUAUGUCAUGCUCUUUGCUACGUAGAUCGAUGAUGAGAUGACGAAAGAUAGACAAAGAGAUAGAGAUAGUGGUAAAAUUAGAGAAAGUUGGAUGACGAGAGAGAAAAAUGGAGAGCAUAGCAGAAUAGGGAGCAUAGCAGAAUCGGACCGCUAAACGUGGUUAACUUGGGGAGUCACCACCAAUCUUUUUUUACCUAGGUGUGAUUGGUCACCUAUUAAAUUGGUUCUAUUCAACGAAAUCUUAAAUUGAUUUAAAGUCCGUCGAAAGAACGAGAAAUUGUCUAUAUUUUUUUGUCAAAGUUGAGUUCGGGAGUACAGUUACGCAUAUGGAAGGAUUAGCACCCCCGUGACGCCCGUUCCACAAAUGGUACCAUUUAAUCAUAAAUUAUCCUAACCCAUUAAUUUUAUUCUUAUGUUUCCUUAAUUGUUAUUUAUUUAUUUCAUCUUUUAUUAGAAUAUUCUAUUUCAUUUUUUACAGGUUUAACACGUAUAUUAUGCAAUUGUGAAAUGCAUGGCAUAAAAUCUGGAUAAUGCCAAACGAAAAUCCUUUAUUGAGUGUACUUUCUGAAUCCACCCAUCGUACUAGUGAGAUUCGUAAGUAUUCUCUCACCUAAGGAAAUACCUCAGCAACUCGCCUUUGCAAGUUUACUUGGUAGAUCCCAGCAUCGGGAUAGUCGUUUAUGAGUAAAAAAUAGUGUUUUCAGAAUGCAAAUCCUAAUAUGGGUAAAAGCCUCUUAUUAAAGAUAUUUCUCUGGACCUUCCCAUCGUACUAGUGGACUUCGGAGGUAUCUUUUCACCUAGGGAGUUUACCGAUGAAACUCUCAUUCGCAAGCUUUCUCGGAAAGUCCCAUCAUAGGAGCUUAUACCCGUAUAUAGAAUAUAUCUAUAUGCCAUGACAUUUAACAAUGCGACCAUGAUACGUGAUGCACUCACAAUUAUAAUGUUUGUUCCUUAUUUUAUUAUUUCUCCAUGUGAGUGUAUGCACGUUGUUUUUUANCAAACCUUCCCAUCGUACUGGUGGAGUUCGGAGGUAUCUUUUCACCUAAGGAGUUUGCCGAUGAAACUCGCCUUUGCAAGCUUUCUCGGAAAGUCCCAUCAUAGGAGCUUAUACCCGUAUAUAGAAUAUAUCUAUAUGCCAUGACAUUUAACAAUGCAACAAUGGUACGUGAUGCACUCAUAAUUUUAAUGUUUGUUCCUUAUUUUAUUAUUUCUCCAUGUGAGUGUAUGCACGUGUUUUUUAUUUACUUAUUAUCCCAUUUUUAUUUCGUUAUGUAUUUUGCUAUGCAAAUACUUAUUCAUUUCAUUAUAUGCAAAAUUUUCAAAAUUAUAUUUUUAGACCAAGUAUUUUCAUUUUAUUUAUUUUUAUUUCAUAAUUAUUAUUUGUAUAUGUAUUUUAUACAUUCCUCUUUGUGUUAUUAUUAUUGUUAACAUACUUAUUGUUAUCAUUAAUUUCUUAUUUUUUUGCAUUUUUGACCAAUUGGUAAUUGAGUAUAUGAUUUGUAUUUAAAAUUAGAAUCAUCGAAAUUCUAAAUUAGGACCUUCCCAUCAUACUGGUGAGGUCCUAAUCAAAAUUCUUAACCUAAGGAAAUCCAUUUAGAAUUGCGACUUCUCAUGUUCUGAACGGACAUCCUAUCAUCGGUAUUGAUUCUAAAGUGGUUGCUAUAUAUUUUAUAUCAUUUUUUAUUGUUAUUGUUGUUUAUUAUUAUAUUCUUAAUUAUUGUUAUUAUUAUUUUUGUUCAUUACUUUUUAUUAUUAUUAUUAUUAUUAUUAUUUAUUUUAAAACAUUCUAUAGUUUUUUUUAUUUCUAUCUAAGCUAAGCAAAUUUUUAAUUAAAUAAGCUGGAUAAGCCCUAAAUAACAAGUCCAAAUCGACAAUAAAUGGGAAAGGCCUCACCUUACUUGGGCUAGAAUGAUGGCCCAAGUUAUCUGGGCUGCACGGAGGCGUCCCAAGCCUGCUUCGUUGGUCCACUGGGCUUUCCUCCCCAAACGCACCGUUUGGGGCUCCGGAGACUCCCUCAAACGACGCCGUUUAGACUCUAAACCUGGGUAUAUAAGCCCUUUUUUUUUACCUUUUUUCUUAUUUUCACCUUUCAUUUUCUCUCUCUAGUUGGCCACUCUCUCUCUCUGCCUUCUCUCUAAAUUGACGGCAAACCUUUCUCCCUCUCUCCCUUGCUGCGACAUUGCAACUUCCUCUUUAUCUCCGUAUCCCUUUACUCCUUGUCACUGGCCGGAUUAGGAAACCAGAUUCGAGACCCCUUACGGACUGCCCUCUCUUCUCCAGCAGCCUUCCUUUGCCGCUGGCGUCCCUUCCGAUUCUCACCCUACCCACGCAAUCAACUCUCUCUUUUGCACCAAAAAUCGCCUCUCACCAAAUCUGACUAGUUUUCUCAUCUUCUUUUUUUUUUUGUUUUUGUGUUGUGUUUGUUUUGAUUUUUGAUCUUUUGUUAUUGUGGCUAGGGUAGUCUGCUGGUAGAAAACUUGAGUAUUUUGGAUUUGCACGUCUCAAUUGUUUGAAGAAAAAAAUGAGAUUUUUUGUUGAUGGAUCUAGUUUUUUUGUUUUUGCAGGAUUGAUGUUUUUUUUUUGAUCUGGCUUUCUCCGAUUUUUUCAAAAUCUGCCUACAUUUUAAAAGAUCUGGAUUGUCUAAAAUUUUGGACAAUCUCAAGAGUGCAAUCAUGUGAUUUUCGUAGGGCUCCUGGCACAAGCAAGCCCGGGGCAAGUAGUUGGAGGUGACGGGAGAGGGAGGCUGAACAAACGUUCAGUCUUUUCCCUUCUCUGUUCUUUUUUUUAAAUUUUAUUAUUUUUUAAUUUUUUUAUUAUGUUAUUUGAUUAUUUUAUUUUUAUUAUCAUUUAUUUUUUUUAAAUGGGUGUCUACAGUUGCCCCUCUUUGUACAUUCUUGAGAAUCAAGAAUAGUGCAAAGACGUAGACACCUUCUUUGGACCAAAUUAAAUAUCUUUGUUCCUUUUUUUAAUAAUCAAAAAGCUCCUCAUCUCAAAACGAGGCUAUGUAACUUAAAAAAAAUCUUGAAACUAAUUACCUGAAGGUUUUAGGAAAGGUUUUAUGAAUGUAUCCGGAGGUUUUGAAGAUGUUCCCGAAGGUUUUAGAAGAAAAGGUUGUUCCUCAUCUCAGAAUAAGGCUACAUAACUUUGAAGAAAUCUUGAAACAAAUUACCCGGAGGUUUUAGGAAUGUACCCGGAGGUUUUAGAAGAAAAACUUGUUCUCAUCUUAGAAUGAGGCUACAUAACUUUGAAGAAAUCUUGAAACCAAAUACCUAGAGGUUUUGGGAAUAUACUUGAAAGUUUUACAAAUGUUCCCGGAGGUUUUGGAAGAAAAAGUUGUUCCUCAUCUCAAAAUGAGGCCACGUAAUUUUGAAAAAAUCUUAAAACAAAUUACCCAAAGGUUUUAGGAAUGUGCCCGGAGGUCUUGAAGAUGUACCCGGAGGCUUUAAAAGAAAAAGGUUGUUCCUCAUCUCAAAAUGAGGUCAUGCAACUUUGAAGAAGUCUUAAAACUGAUUACCCGGUGGUUUUAAAGAUGUACUCGAAGGUUUUGAAAAUGCACCCAAAGGUUUUAAAAGAAAAAAGUUGUUUCUCAUCUCAAAAUGAGACCACGUAAUUUAAAUUUUCUCGUGCCAAGAUAAUAGGGCUUAGACGUGUUGGAUGCCAGCUACAGUGGGCUUAAACAUAUCGGUGCCAAUAUAACUGGGCUUAAACAUCUUGGAUGCCAGCUAAAUUGCGCUUAAACUCCUUUUGUGCCAACGUAACUGGACUUAUACAUAUUGGAUGCUACUUUAAUUGGGCUUAAAUCUCUUUGUGUCAAUAUAACUGGGCUUAAUCAUUUUGGAUGCCAGCUAAAUUGGGCUUAACUCCUUUUGUGCCAACAUAACUAGACUUAAACAUCUUGAAUGCCAACUAAAUUGAGCUUAAACUCCCUUGUGCCAAUGUAACUGGACUUACACAUCUUGGAUGCCAGUUUGAUUGGGCUUAAACUCCUUUUGUACCAACGUAACUGGACUUAUACAUCUUGGAUGCCAGUAUAACUUGGGCUUAAAUCUCUUUGUGCCAACGUAACUGGACUUAUACAUCUCGGAUGCCAGUUAAAUUGGGCUUAAAUCUCUUUGUGCCAACGUAACUGGACUUAAACAUCUUGGAUGCCGGUUAAUUGGGCUUAAAUUCUUUCAUGCCAACAAAAAUGGACUUAUACAUCUUGGAUGCCAGUUAAAUUGGGCUUAAGACUCAAAUCUUUCUUCACUUAAUUGCUUGAAAACUGCAUUAGUCUUGAUAUUCGUUUGAAAAUUUCAAUUUUGAUGAUGCAAGGUCAUGUGCUGAUUGGGCAUGUAUGCAUAAUUGAAUGAUGGACAAAUGAUGUAUUGCUUCCUUUUGUUUUGCGCCAUAUAUUCCUCACUUGAAAGAUCAUUUUUCUUGUCUUCACAUUUUUUGACGAUGUUCUUGUGCAGUAGCCAAUUUCUUCGCCUUCAAAGAACCUUUUUGUUAAUCUCGUCAUAUUAAUUUAAAUUCUUGAAACCACUUUUCUACAAUGGAUGCGAACAAAAGCUCACCAGUUCAAAUUGGAUUUCAAUGCUUCCACACUUAUUGAUCAUGAAAGCUCUUCCUUGCAUUGCUUUUUCCCAUCUCUUCUUUUUUUUUUUUUGAAAUGAAUUUUGUCUUUUUCAAAAGUGCUUGUCUGAUCUCACAAAGAUCAUAAAGACUCUCAUUUUUCUUUUUUCCUUUUUGUUUUCAAAAACAUCUUAAUUUUAACAAAAUCACAACAAAAUUGCCCCACACAAUUAUUUCCAUGAUCAAAGAUAGUUGAAUCUUGGAGCAAGAAUGUAUCAAAUCCACACUUUUCUUGCGGAAGUGAUAAAAUAUCCAAGUUUGGAAAAACAUGUGAUAUUUGAAUCUCUUAAAAAUCAGUGAUUACCAUUUAAAAUGACUCGGGUGGGUCAAGUCAUAAUUUGAUCUUUCAAAUGGAUUGAAAGGUUUAACAAAUUAAAGUCUUGCAAAAAGGUCUUGCUAUUUUAUGGGGAAAUGAAGGAUCAAUAUUUCUUCGUCCAAGCUCACAAAUGUUGCACGAUUUUCUCAAAUUUGUACUCUCUGAAAAUCAAAUUCUUUACAAAAAGACUCAUUUCGGAUUGCAAAUCAAUUUUGACACUCUCUUGUCUCAUGAUGUGUGGCAUUUUGAUAGAUGUCAAGACUAGCUUUAGAGACUUCAGAUUUGUAAGGUUAUUUUGGAAGAGAAUGGCUCAAAGUUCAGCAUUGGUUUUAUGACAAAUCUUGAAUUUUACAUUCUUGGACAUUUGAAGGGUCUCCAAUGCACUCUAGUUGCUUUGAAAUGAUCUCUAUUGUGCUUCUUAUCAGUCAAAAUCACAAGUGGUUUCAUAAGUUCCCAUUUUUGCUCUAGGUUGCCUUUUCAGGUUUUCACCCUAGAGCUCAUUUUUUUCUCUUUUCUCUUUUUUUCCCUUUUUUUUAUUCUCCUUGUCAUCUCUUUUUUCUUUUUUUCAUCGAUUGUUCCAUCAUGCACUUGAAAAAGAUUCAAACUCUAUCCAAAAUGGAUUGACGGAUUGACACGGAUCAUCAUGGCAAAGAAAAAGAGACCAAGGCCUCAUGGAUUUUAUAAUGUCUUUUUCUAGAAAAAAUCUCUUCAAUUUAAGCAUCCAUACUUGAUCAAAAUGGACUUUUUUAAAACAUGUAAUGUAGGUUAAGGUUAGGGGCUUUGAUAGAAUGGGUAAAAAGGCUCAAAACAUUAUAUUUAAGGGUGUUCAACCAAGGAUCAUUCAUGUGAAAAUCUUCUAAGACAUUUGUCUUUUCAAUUUUUCAAAGCAUAUUUUUCCAUCAAUUUUCUUUUUCUUUUUUUUUCAUCACUUUUGAUCAUCUUUUCCAAUUUUUUUUUUGAUGGGUUUAAAACUCGAAUUCUUUUGCCUUCGCCUCUUUAUACAGGGUGUUUUAUUUCUUCAAAUGAGAUCUUGUCCUCCUUGUUCUUGGACAAUAUUCUCAUACAUAUUUGCCCUUCCAAUAUGAGAGGUGAUCCUUGGUCAAGGUGUAUUUAGAAAGAAUUUGAUAGGCUCAAAGGGGUAGCAAGCGGAUAAUUUCUCAUUUGCAAAUGGGAGAAUGAAACAUGGCCACUUCUCAUAUCAAAUAUGGUUACUUGCCUUGAAGAGCAAUCCUUAGAAUGGAUGAAUAUUGAAGUUCUUUUUUUUUUCUUUCUUUGGCAUUGUUUGAAUGUCUCAAGUACAUGCUGUUACUAUCAACUUUUCUCACUAUUCUCUUAUUUUCUUUUUUUCCUUUUUUUUUUCAUACCUUCACAACUCACAGCUUGACUCAAAUUUUCUAAAAUGAAAGAUUCACUGAAGAUGCCCUUCCUCGAUCAACCACUCAAACGAAGACUUAAGCAACAACUCUAAGCAAUUAUGACCAUUUCAAAGCCUUCAGAGAUCUCAUUUCAAUCCUCAAUUUCAAAAAUUGCUCUUGUUAGCAUUUCUAAAUGAGGGAGAAACAAAGGUUAUUUUACAAGUCAGUUGUCUUGAAAGUAUUGGAAAAUUUUUCCUCUUCUAACCAUCUUGCCCCCCAAGUAUGGAUGGAGGACAACUUUAGGCAAUGGGUGGAAAGGUUCACAUUUUGGAUCAGAUUGAAAAAAGUUAAGUGGUUUUGAUGUAUUUGAAGCUCUGGCUAGUCUUGACACUUAUCAAACUACCAAAUUCAGAUUCUCUCCAAGAGUGCAAGAUUUUCUUUAUUUUUGGAAAAAUGAAUUUUACCUUGUCACAACAUUGAUCAUUACUUAGACGAAGACCAUCAUCCUUAGAUGUCAAAUGAUAAAACAAAUGAAGUUUCAGAGCUUUUGCUUAUUUUUGGAUUCUGGCCCUUGAAUGGCCUUUAUUCACUUGGUUAAGGGAUUGAGAGUGUUUAAAGGUAUGGUUUGAGAAUGUUUAUGAAAAUGAGUUCAUUUGCAAAUAGCAACCACCAAUUCUUUCGAAAUUCUUUUCACCAUUUAUUUUACAAGAACCUUUUCUUUUUCUUUUUUUUUUUAUGUAUGAUUUUGGAAACAAGUAAUAUGGGGCUUUAUUUUUAAAAUUGCUAACAUUCAAAGAACUCAUUUCUUUUUUUUUUUUAGAAAGAGAAAUAAAUAAACAAGAACCACAAGAAAUUUGAGCAAUUUUGAAACUCAAUUUGACUCAUGACAGCAUGUGAUGAUGAAAACUAAACAAUCACUCAUCUCAAAUUACAUGAUCAUGCAUGAAAGACAAAAGUCCAUAUUUCCAAGAGUUUCUACCUUCAAAGCAUGUACACAACUAGAAAAUGAUCAAGGAUUGCCCCCGAAUUGGCAUACCACUCAAUUAUUCCAAAACCCAAGCCUUGUAUCCAUCACCCUUGAUUUUUAUAGUUGUUGACAAGUUCUUUGAAUUUAGUUGGGUUUUCAUCGAUUAAACCUUGAACUUUGUUCUUGAAUGCAAUGCAAUUCUCUGUGGAAUGACCUUCAACCCCAUAAUGGUAAUCACAUUUAACAUUUGGGUUAUACCAUCUUGGGUAAGGAGAUUUCCUAGGCUUGGGAGGAAUAAUAGAGAUCUUAUAGUUUUGUACCAAUAAAGGGAAAAGCUCUACAUAGGGCAUUGGUAAUGAAUGGUACACUUUGGCUUUCUUUCUCCUGUUGCUUUGAAGGUAAUCUGGAUUAAUUUCUUGGUCAUUUGAAGUGGACAUGUAAGGUAAAGGAGCUUGUGCAAGUGAUGAUUGAGUGAAAGGUCGAGAUAGAUUAUGGACAUAUGCUGAUGGGUGUGAAUGAGCGCCCAUAAGAUCUCCUUCUAUGUCACAAAAUUUCCUUUUAUUUCUCUUUUCAAAAGCCAUUGCUUGAACUCCUUUAUCAAAAACAUCAUAUUCUCAUUUGACAAGAUCAUUUGCUCGAAAGUCUACAAUCUUUCCCUUUCUUAUUCCAUCUUCAAUCCUUCCCACGGAGAACACCAAAUCCAAAAAAUCUGAAUUAGCAUUACCCACCAAUUUGUCGUAAUAUGGAGGAGGAAGAGUAUCAAUAAAUAGAGAAUUUAAUUCUCUAUUAGUAAGGGGUGGUUGGACUUGUGAUGCUACUUCCUUCCACUUAUAAGCAUACUCCUUGAAACUUUCAAAAGGGUUUCUUUCCAUGUUUUGGAGGGUUAUUUGAUCAGGAAUUGCUCUUAGCCUAUGCAUAUAUUGUCCCAAAAAUGCUCGGGCUAAAUCUGUCCAUGUGCAAAUACGAUUUUUCUCUAGCUUGAAGUACCAUUUAACCGCAGCCCCUUUCAAACUAUUUUGAAAAAAUGAAUGAGCAAUUUCUCAUCAUGGACAUAUGGAGACAUCUUGUUGCAAUACAUGAUCAAAUGUGCUUUAGGGCAUUUGGUUCCAUCAUACUUUUCGAACUCUGGGACUUUAAACUUGGGUGGGAUAACUACAUUAGGCACCAAACUUAAUUCCUUUGCCUUAACGAAAUCAUAGAGAUCCAUUCCUUCUAUGGCUUUAAAGCGUUCUUCUAAAAGGUCAUACUUCUGUUGUACUCUCGAUUUUUCUCUUGAACUUGAUAAGUCAAGUGUAGGAACCUGAUUAGAAAAAAUUACCCUUGGAAUUUGCAUAGUUUGCCUUUGUGUCGACGACUGACUUAAUCCUUGAAAACUUGAAAAUCCUUCGAUAGUCACCUUCCUUUCAUUGGCAUUCACCAUCUCCAUUAGCUUUGUCAACUGUUUUCUAAUCUCUUCCUGGGUCUUCUCCAUCUUGUUUAUCAAAUUUGAUUGAUCAUCUCCCAUAAUUCUAGCUUGAGCCCCUGUAUUGUGCCAAUCGUAAGUGGGCUCCCUUGAACUUUUCUCUUUUCACAAUAUAUAAUGUGAAAAGCAACGAUAAUCUUGCUUCUUCUUUCAUGAAAUGUAGUAAAGUCAAGUGAUGCUACUUGCCACAAAGGAAGGUGAAUGAUGCAUGCAUGUGUAUCCAAAUCGAAGAAUGUUUGAAUGCAUGAUGGGAUGAUUAAAUGUUUGACAAUUGAUUUGAAACACAAAGACACUUGAUUAUGAAUAAUGCUCCAACACGAUUACAUUUCAAACAAACUUUCUUUUUCAUUUUUUUGAUUUUUUUUAAACAACAUCUAAGAAAAUGUCUCAAAAGUUAACAUAAUUCUUCACGAACACGAACUUACUCUUACAAGAUUCAAAAGAAGUUAAAGAUUAAAAUGUCCUAAGGUCUAAAAAACUUAAAAAAAAAUCAACACAGUCAAUCCUUCUUUCGUCUGACACUCAAUUGUACUCUCCAUAACCAUACCCCAUCAUCUUUGCUAGAUCGAACCAUUUGGCAUCUAUUAAUGUUUGCACUCGAUACUUGAAGGCGUCACAAUCUUCGAUGGAAUGUCCCAUAGCUCCACCAUGAUAAUCACAUCUUGCAUCAGACUUGAACCACUUUGGGUAUAGAGGCCACAAGGGUUCCAAAGGCACCGAGACAAUAAGAUGAUCAUGAACUAAUUGAUAAAAGAGUUCUUUGUAGGUGACAGGUAUAGGGUCAAAUUAUUUUUUCUUUUUGGAUUAUUUUUGAGGGGUGCCUAUACUAGGAGUAGGGGUGAUUGAUAAUUGUGCUCGUGGUUGGCUUUAAAAGGCCUGUUGAAAAUGAGGUCGAAAAGUGCUUGAACAGGAGUAAGAAUUUAGCCGUAAAUUGAUUUUCGUAGGUUGAAAAGUGGUGGGUGGAGAAUAUGACCUUGGUUGCAACCCAUUGCUCUGGGGUUGUGUAGCAUUUGGAGAUCCCAUCUUGGUCAUGAAACUUUUGAACUCAAUCAUUUGCAUGUUCAACUCAUCCAUCCCUUUUACAAUUUUUUUUAGACCUUGAUAUUUACUUGAGCCACUGAGCAACGUGUUGGGUUCAUCAAGGACAAAUUGAAUUUUAUUCAGAGAUUGUUUCUAGUGUGGUUUGAUUUGAAGCAAUGAGGACUCUAGAAGGUGAUUUCCUUUGGCUUCAUUGAGACAUUCAACCAUUUCCAUCAAUUUGGUUAUCUGCCCUUUGAUCUCUUGAAGGUUAUGUCUAAAUUCUUCUUGAUUGCGUUCCAAUGCACUUAUCCUUGCUUCCAAUUGAUGUUCCAUAUCGUUUAAUCCUAGCUUGGGUUCAGAUGAUGACCUAAACCAAAAUAACUUAGAAACAAAAGUUUAGAAUUUUACUAAAAAUUUUUCAAAAAGGGAUUUAUUUUCUUUCCUAUAAAGCUAACAACACUGUAGGGUUUUUCUUUAUUAGAACAAAUAUGAAAUGAUUGCAUGUAGAUGAAAAUAUGAUAUUUGCAUGUAUGCAUGAAAUGUUAUGAUGCCUUGAUGCAUGGAUGGUAUGAAAUGAAAUGGAAGACCAUAUUAUCGAAAAUCAUGUAUAGUGAGAGGUAGAAAACUUUAUUCAAAACUAAAGUCCCUUUCUUUUUGUGGUUUUUGAAGAAAAUGGAAGAAGUAAAAAAACCUUUUUAUGUUCUCUCUUCUUGCUGCUUAAAUGGAUAACCAUUUUCUUUUUCUUUUCUGUUUCACAAGAAGCAUUAUUUUCUCUUUUUACAUUCCUCAUUUAUUUUUGUAUGAGAAGAAGUUUUUCUCUCUUUUUUUCUUUUAUUUUUAUGGAUAAAAGGAACUAAAAACCUCUCUUUUUUUUUUAGAAGACCUCACUCGAAAGAAAUGCCUUUCUUUUUUUUCCUUUCUUUAUAUAUUUUUAUUUUUUUUUUCUCUUUCUCUCUUCUUUCUUUCUUUUUUUUUUCAUGAAAGAAGAAACACACUCCCUCUUUUUCAUGUUUAUCCUUUAUUUUUAGGAGAAAAUAAAAAAGCUAUUUUUCUGAGAUAUUUAAAGUAAAAGUACAGAGAAAAGUGUUCUAAAAAUAAUGAACGUAAAAAAUCUUGCUCCUCUCUUUUUUUUUUAUGGAAACAGAAAGAAAAUUUUUUUGUUUUUUUUUUUUUUUUUUUAAAAUCACUUUAACAUGUGUUACUUUUAUUUUAUCAAAAAAGGCUAUUAAGAUAGAUUUGUUCCUUCACGUGUCCUAAAUUAGGGUGUACUGCUCAUGACAAGUUCAGUAAGGUUCUGUCUAUGGGAUGGCCCCUUAUGGUUUUUUAUAUAUUGAGUUUGGUUUUGAAUGAGGCUAAAGGUUCCCAAAUUGUUCUUCACUAUCGUCCAUAUGGACUAGUAAGGCACCCCAGUCCUCACCCAUUACAAGCUUCAAACGGACUAGAUUCGAUCUGAGUGAGAGUUUUCACUAGCCCAUGCAGAGAUUAUCACCUCACGAGAGCGUAGCUACUAAACUCUCUCCUAAUAAGGACAAAACUUGGGUAGAAGGCUUAUGCAUGAAUGCAACAUGUGUUGUGUGUGUGAAGGAACAUACCAGCCUUUGACGGACAAUCUCACAUCCCUUUAUCCUAAAUGCCCCACAAUUUAAAAAAAAAAACAACAAAAAUAAAGAUCGUGAAUCAAUUAAUGCACAAAACCAUAAUGCCAAAAGAAAAUGCUCAAAUUUAAAGGAAACACUACAUUAUUUACGGCUUUAGGAUAACUUAUGAUUAAUUAUGUCUCGACUCUCUAGUGUCCCCAGUGGAGUAGCCAAGCUGUUUGUAACGUGCAGGUCCGGGAACCCGACCGCUAGACGUGGUUAACUUGGGGAGUCGCCACCAAUCUUUUUUUACCUAGUCCUCAUUACCUAUUCAAUGAAUCUUAAAUUAAUUUUAAGUCCGUCGAAAGAACAAGAAAUGGUCUACGUUUUUUUGUUAAAGUUGAGUUCGGGAGUACAGUUACGCACAGGGAAGGAUUAGUAGCCCCAUGACGCUCGUUCCACGAACGGUACCAUUUUAUCAUAUACUAUCCUAACCCAUUAAUUUUAUUCUUAUGUUUCCUUAAUUGUUAUUUAUUUAUUUAAUCUUUUAUUAGAAUAUUUUAUUUUAUUUUUUACGAGUUUAACGCGUACAUGAUGCAAUUGUGAAAUGCAUGGCAUAAAAUCUGGAUAAUGCCAAAUGAAAAUCCUUUAUUGAGUGUACUUUCUGAAUUCGCCCAUCGUACUGGUGGGAUCCGGAAGUAUUCUCUCACUUAGGGAAAUACCUCAGCAACUCGCCUUCACAAGUUUACUUGGUAGAUCCUAGCAUCGGGAUAGUCGUUUGUGAGUAAAAAACAGUGUUUUCAUGAAUGCAAAUCCUAAUACAGGUAAAAGCCUCUUAUUAAAGAUAUUUCUCUGGACCCUCCCAUCGUAUUGGUGGAGUUCGGAGGUAUCUUUUCACCUAGGGAGUUUACUGAUGAAACUCGCCUUCGCAAGUUUUCUCGGAAAGUCCCAUCAUAGGAGCUUAUACCCGUAUAUAGAAUAUAUCUAUAUGCCAUGACAUUUAACAAUGCAACCGUGAUACGUGAUGCAUUCACAAUUCUAAUGUUUGUUCCUUAUUUUAUUAUUUCUUCAUGUGAGCGUAUGUACGUGUUUUAUAUUUACUUAUUAUCCCAUUUUUAUUUCGUUAUGUAUUUUGCUAUGCAAAUACUUAUUCAUUUCAUUAUAUGAAAAUUUUCAAAAUUAUAUUUUUAGACCAAGUAUUUUCAUUUUAUUUUUUUUUAUUUCAUAAUUAUUAUUUGUAUAUGUAUUUUAUACAUUCCUCUUUGUGUUAUUAUUAUUGUUAACAUACUUAUUGUUAUCAUUAAUUCCUUAUUUUUUUGCAUUUUUGACCAAUUGGUAAUUGAGCAUAUAAUUUGUAUUUAAAAUUAGAAUCAUCGGAAUUCUAAAUUAGGACCCUCCCAUCAUACUUGUGAGGUCUUAAUCAAAAUUCUUAACCUAAGGAAAUCCACUUAGAAUUGUGACUUCUUAUGUUCUGAACGGACAUCCUAUCAUCGGUAUUAAUUCUAAAGUGGUUGCUAUAUAUUUUAUAUCAUUUAUUAUUAUUAUUGUUGUUUAUUAUUAUAUUCUUAAUUAUUGUUAUUAUUAUUUUUGUUCAUUACUUUUAUUAUUAUUAUUUAUUUUAAAACAUUCUAUAGUUUUUUUUUAUUUUUAUCUAAGUUAAGCAAAUUUUUAAUUAAAUAAACUGGAUAAGCCCUAAAUAAGAAAUUCAAAUCCACAAUAAAUGGGAAAGGCCUCACCUUGCUUAGCCUAGAAUGAUGGCCCAAGUUAUCUAGGCUGCACGGAGGCGUCCCAAUUCUGCUUGUUUGGUCCACUGGGCUUUCAUCCCCAAACGCGCCUUUUGGGGCUCUGGAGACUCCCUCAAAUGACGCCGUUUAGACUCUAAACCUAGGUAUAUAAGCCCAUUUUUUUGCCUUUUUUCUUAUUUUCACCUUUCAUUUUCUCUCUCUAACCAGCCACUCUCUCUCUCUGCCUUCUCUCUAAGCCGAUGGCAAACCUUUCUCCCUCUUUCCCCUGCCCCGACGCUACAACUUCCUCUUUAUCUCCCUAUCCCUCUACUCCUCGUCGCUGGCCAGAUUAGGAAACCAGAUUCGAGACCCCCUACGGACUACCCUCUCUUCACCGACAACCUUCCCUUGCUGCCGGCGUCCCUUCCGAUUCUCACCCUACCCACGCAAUCAACUCUUUCCUUUGCACCCAAAAUCGCCUUUCACCAUAUCUGACUAGUUUUCUCUUCUUUUUUUUUUGUUUUUGUGUUGUGUUUGUUUUGAUUUUUGAUCUUUUGUUAUUGUGGCUAGGGUAGUCUGCUGGUAGAAAACUAGGGUAUUUUGGAUUUGCAAGUCUUGGUUGUUUGAAGAAAAAAUGAGAUUUUUUGUUGAUGGAUCUAGUUUUUUUGUUUUUGCAGGAUUGGUGUUUUUUUUUUUUGAUCUGGAUUUCUCCGGUUUUUUCAAAAUCUACCUACAUUUUACAAGAUUCGGAUUGUCUAAAAUUUUGGACAGUCUCAGGAGUGCAAUCAUGUGAUUUUUGCAGGGCUCCUGGCACAAACAAGCCCAGGGCAAGUAGUUGGAGGUGACGGAGAGGGAGGCUGAACAAACAUUCAGUCUUUUCCCUUCUCUGUUCUUUUUUUUUUUUAAUUUUUUUAUUAUGUUAUUUGAUUAUUUUAUUUUUAUUAUCAUUUAUUUUUUUUAUUUUUUUAAAAUGGGUGUCUACAAAAUGACUGGCAGGAGAGAAAAUUUUAGAGCAUUUAAUUUGUUUGAAAUGGUUUUAAGGGUAUUUUUGUCAUCUCAUGGCUAAAAUUGGUUCAAAACAGUUAACUUUAUAUUGAAGGUUAUGUUUGAAAUGAGCUUAUGAGUAGCAUUGUUUCUUACAAUUUCCUCAUAUUUAUUUGUUCAGAUUGGUUGCUUCAAGACUACGCAUCACCAAUAUUACAUGGAUAAUCAUAUUAAAAUAUUAUAAUGAUUAACAAUGUAACAAGUAGAACCUAAUUGUGUCCUUAUUGUAGAAUUCACUGAACACUUGAGCUAUUACAAGUUGAUGAAAUACAUAAUUUUUUUUUAAAAAACCCUAAUUUUUGACACCUUUAAAAGUUAUAAUUGUACAUGUUUCUAACUUUUAUUUUUCUUUUUUCCCAUUAGAAAUAUAAGCAAUAUAACUAAAAUCUUAUAUCUCUUUAUAAGUGUUUUUUAUGAGAUUAUUUUUACAAAUAAAAAUUAUAAUUACAUAAUAUAACUUUUAAUAUAUACUAUAAUAUAAAAUAAAUUUAUAAAUAAACCAAAAGUUAUCCACCCAAUAAAAUAGAUCUAUAUAAUACAAUAAUAAAAUUUAUUUGGCUUGAGUUUUCAUAGCAUAACAUAAAACUAAAGACAAUUUUGAAAAUUCAAUAAAUUAAAGAUAACAUCCUAAAGCAACCAUCAUGCGAAGAAAAAAAAUCAAGACAGACACUUGCCUCCGAAAUAAAGAAAAGGAAACAACCAAUUACUAGGUAAAAUAAAAGCACCUUGACCUUGAUAAGUUGAACUUGCACUCAAACUUAUUUUCUCGAUUUGGGAUUCAAAGGAGUCCAAUGGAAACGUCAUCAACAUGAUGGUAUUUUCAUCAAGCUUGCUUGUUCGAACCCUUCAAAAACUUGAUUUUGAUCUUCUUCAGCUUAGCAACGAUGUUUUUAAUGUUAAUCCUUUCUUCUGGCAACUCUUUUGAACAUUCUAAUGCCAUUGCAAAAUAGACAAUGCACAAUCUUUUAUUGCAAAAAUGUUCUCACUCCUUGGUAGUAAUUAGCAAAUUGGCAUCUACAAUUUGAGUUAAUGCACAUGGUAAUGACUCAGUCACCCAAUGUAUUAAGCUCAUUUCUCCAACAAACAUUUCAUCUGUGGGCUUUUUUCUUGUUAAGGUUUCAAUUAGAAGAAUACCAAAACUGUACACGUCGCCUUUUAUGGAAACAACUCCUUGUGUUCCAUAUUCUACAUGCAAGUCAUUAAAAAAGCAAUCAUCAAAGUAUGCCAAGAUUUUACAUGAAUUAUCAUAAUGAAUAAAAAAAGUUUAAAAGUUAAGCAUUACCUGGUGCCAUAUACCCAAUUGUUGCUAGUGUUAUGGUUUGUACUGUUGAAUCCUCUUCACCUAAUAGCUUUGCAAUGCCAAAAUCACCCAAAUGUGCAACCAUAUCUUCAUCUAAUAGAACAUUGCUGGGUUUUAAAUCACAAUGGGCCACAAGAAUUGUCUGACCAUGAUGGAGGUAUUCUAAUGCAGAUGCCACAUCAAUCAUAAUGUUCAACCUAUGCAAAAUAUCAAGACAAUAGUUAUGAGAGUAUAACCACUUCUCGAGACUUCCAUUAGGCAUGAACUCAAGCACCAAGGCUUUAAAAUCUACAUUGCAGCAACUACUGAUGAUUUUGACUAAAUUCCGGUGGCGAAUGUUGCGCAAGACCUCACACUCAACUUCAAAGCUCUUGAAUGAUCCUUCUACCUCCAAAUUAAAGACUUUUAUGGCAAUGUUCAAUCCAUCUGAAAGAGCACCUUGGUAUAUUGAGCCAAAACUCCCCACACCAAGUAGUUUGCUUUCACAAAAACCAUUUGUGGCUUGAUGAAGCUCUUGGUAUGAAAUUCUUCUCCAAUUUGCUAAACCAAUCGAAUUUUCUUGAUCAAUUUGUUGCUUUGAAUGCUUUCUUUGGCUUUGGAAGAAGAAGACAAUUAAGGCAAGAAUUAAUAGCGUUGAGCUAACUGGCAAUAGAAUAAAUUCUAUAAGCUUAGUAGCUUUCCUUGAAUGUUUAGUAGAAUUACUUGUGCAUGGUGGGAGUUGCGGUCGAGGUGCACCACAUAGCGCUUCACUGCCCAUAAAUGAUUGAAUUGUGCAGUUGGCAAAAGGUCCUCCGUUAGGAAUUUCGCCAUGCAGUCUAUUGAAUGAGACAUUCAAAUACUCAAGAUGCAAGAGUUUUUGCAAGGACUUUGAAAUAAUUCCAGAAAAAUUAUUCCUUGACAGAUCCAAGAAUUCCAAUCCUAUCAGCCCACCAAAUAGCUCAGGUAUAGACCCAUACAAUCUGUUACCGGAUAAUGAAAGAUGAGUUAGGUCUUCAAGAUCACC